UUUUUUUUUUUUUUUAGGUGUAUCCCGCAGGGAAUGGACCCCGCAGACUAUUCACCACCCUCAACAACUUGCUGGCAGCAAGGUUCGAACCAGGAACCUGAAGUUCCAUCUUCAGCAACCUUAACCACUAGACCAAGCCCCUAAGGGCACAUUUGAGUGUACAUCACGUUAAGUGAUAAGUGAAUAGUUUAUCACUUAUUUUCGGAAGCAAGUUUUGUCCAGAAAAUUCAGUGCUACUUAAUUAAUUCAGAUAUUCAAUUUUUUGUAUCAAACGCAUCUAAACAUGUUAAGAUCUGAAUCUAUUAAGUUUACAUAUUAAAUUAGAUUAUCAAACAGGGUCUAAGAUCCAUUGUGGCACCUAAUUGGUUUAAGCGAUUACAUCCGGGUUUGCCUCCCGGCAAGCAAAAUCCUUUUUCUUUUUAUUAACAAUUUGACUCCUUUUUUUUUUUUGUCCAAGGAAAACCAAUUAUUGUAAAAUCGUCUUUUAAUCUUCACAUGAACGCUCAAUGUUUGAAAUAUCAGAAUUGAGUAGAGGUAAAAUUUUGGGUUUAAUAAGUCAGGGAAGCAAAUUACAACUGAUUUGUUGAGAUAUUUUUAUAAAUUGACCCUUUUUUAAUGCUCAAAAUUUAACCAAGUUAGUUGAGUUCAACUUCAAGUCUUGCAGCAUGUUGAAGCCCUAAUAGAAAAAAAUAAAAUAAUAUCAAGUUUCAAUAGUACUUGCAAUAGCGUAUAAGCUUUUAAUUUGCAAGUACUAAUUAUUUAGUGCUUAAGCAAUAUACUUUUCAAGAUUUAUUUUUUUUCUGGUUAAAUCAUGAAUUUGCAAAAAUACUAAACUGAGAAAGAAAAAACAGUAUCCAAAAAUUGUAUAGAUUUUCAGAACAAAUGUGACCAUAUCCUAAAUUUUAUAUGUAUGACAAAAAAGAACAGAAAAUUGAAAACCUAAAGCUCUUUUUCUUGUACUAAUUAUGAGACAAAUGGUUUAUUCUUCUGCUGAUAUGAUGUUGCUAAUUGCAAUAAUUGUUUUCUGAAAUUCUCAAGCUGCAAAACUCAGUCAAAGUGCGACCUGAAUUUCCCAUCUGUACAAAUAUUUGAAAUCCUGUUUGAUAACCCAAUUCAACACUUAAAUUUAAUAGAUUUAGAUUGUAACAUAUUCAAAUCGUUUGAUAAUAAAAAAUUGAACAUCGGAAUUAAUUAAGUGGCACUGAAUUUCCCAGGCAAACUUGCUCCCAAAAUUAAGUGAUAAACUAUUCACUUAUCACUGAAUAUGAUAUACACUCAAAUAUAUUAGAUUUAAUACGUAACAAUUCAAUAACUUAAUGGAUUCAAAUUUCAGAUUUCAGAUUUCAAACUUCAGUUUUAUCAAAUGCAUAUAUAUUGCUGGAAUAAACAAUCAAAAAUGACCAUAAAGAUCAUUGAUCUGUUUAGCUUAGAUAUUCAAAAGUAUGUGUAAAUUUGCAGUGUUGAUUGUUAAAUCCUUAAUCAUCACAUUUAAUACCAGACGGAUGCUGAGCCGUUUCAUGCCAUGUCCUUUUCUAACUACCUCUGCAAUACAAUGUCCAACAAAAUUCAUAUCCUUUUCAACAAUAGUCCAGGCAAUACAAUAAGAUGUAAGUCAUGCAUUUGUUUCUAGAAAUGGAUAGUCAGUAUAACCCACGACUGGAUCAGGUAUAUAGAAUGUAGCUCGAUUAUACUUGUUCAGGGGAGCAUUUAACUCAAAUCUCUUGGGUAAAUCAGGAUUGGCUAAGAAUAUACGCCCAUAUGCAAUAAGAUCAGCAUGAUUUUCUGCCACAGCUUUGUUUCCAUCUUCCCUUUGAUAACCACCAGCAGCAAUGAAAGUACCUUUGAAUGCCUUUCUCAUUGGCAGAAGACUAUCGGCACAUUCAAAUUUUUCUCCAACUUUUAUCAUCCUUGGCUCAACCACGUGCAAGUACAGAAUUCCAUACUUAUUCAAGGCUUCAGCCAUAUGCAGACCUAGUGCUUUCGGUUUUGAAUCGCUUGCUCCAUUGUAAUUCGCAAAGGGCGAAAGUCUUAUACCAACUCUAUCGGCUCCUAUUGCAUCUGACACGGCUUCAACUAUUUCCAAAGCAAAUCUGCAGCGGUUCUCCAAAGAUCCUCCAUAUUCAUCUGUUCUGUCAUUGACUUGGUCCUUCGAAAACUGGUCUAUUAGAUAACCGUGAGCUCCAUGGAUUUCAACCCCAUCAAAUCCUGCAGAAUAAACUUAAUAUGGAUAGGGCAAAACAUGAUCUUCUGAUAACUUUAAGGUUGCUCUCUCAUCUUCUUUGCAACAUUGGUAGAAUGAAUGAUUUAGCCAUUUAGGAAAUAAAUUGUAAUCUUAACAAAAGAAAUGCAGAUAAGGCACUCGCAAAUCAGAAGAUUAUUUUGUAGCAGUUUCCAGUAUGUUACUAGCUCAAAUUUAUCCUACUUGCUGAAAAUUAAGUUAAAGUUCCUAAUGAACAAGUCUUUUUUUGUUUUCAUUUACGCUUCUACCUGCGCUGAAUAAGAAAAGUAUACAGAAGAGCAAGAACUCAAGAACAAUGUCAUUCUUUAACCAGGAUUCCAUCUUUAUCUCCAAAAGAUAGAUUUUAAUUUUUCAGUUCUUCAACGUGUUCUGCAUAUACUGAAAGUCUUACCAGCUUCAAUAGCACUCAGAGCAGCAAGCCUAAAAUCAUUGACAACCUGAGGAAUUUCUUCUGUCCUUAACCUUCGAGGAGGUGAAAAUUCUGCAACAUCAAUACCAUUUGUUCGAACUUGGGGAGCUAACAGCUUGUCUGUAGAUGAUAUUGGAGCUUGUCCGUUGGGUUGAAAAUCUGCAAAUGGAAGUUAAUUAAAUCAACUUCAAAGGAAUAGAAGUCUAGCACUCAAAGAGUGAACAGGAACUAGUGCCUCCAAUAACACAUUAGACUGAAACAAGAAAUCUCAAUUGCCAUAAGCAAUCCUCAGAUUUAUAUCCAUGCUUGAUUCCAGAUGAAAUUUUAAGGUGUAAAUGCAUCAUUCAGAGUGGCCUUGCCAAAUGAAUUAGUUUACAGCAGUUGUAUUCCUGUUGAAUAUAUGGUAAAUCUUGGUCCACAACUAGCAUGUCUAAGAUAGCACACUUAACCAAAAAAAAAAAGUAAUCAGAGAGAAAAUUACCAUUGUUUGAAACCCGUCCACCAUGCCAAAGUUGGCAGAAAAAUAUACCACCUUUGGCAUGAACUGCGUCUACUAUUGGUUUCCAAGCCUCAUUUUGUUCCUUAGUCCAUAUUCCAGGUGUCAUUGGAUAGCUUUAUAUAUAAGGAAAAGUUCAACACUUGGUAGAAAUGGCCAAAAUAACAAACAUAGGGUGAAUGCUUGAAAUAUUUAGAUCAAUGGAAAACAAGGAAUGCUAAUAGAAUUACCCUCGGCCUGUGUCAGAGACUACAGUGGCUUCUGCUAUGAGCAAACCUCCUUUCGUGGUUCUCUGAGAGUAGUACAAAAUAGCAUGAGGCUGUGGAAUAUCGUUGUAAGAUCUCUGUCUUGUCAAAGGUGCCAAAACAAUUCUGCAUGGAAUUAAUAUUAGAUGGUGCAAAAUUUAGCCCUGAAACUCUUUCUGAUGUAGGGGUUAGAGAUGGAAUCUCAAAAUUGAUCAGUUAAAGUUGUGGUAAUUCUGAUAAGAAAGAUGCAAUAUCAUACAAACUUCAGUUACAAUUUUUUUUUUUCAAUUGAGUUGUUGCCUCCAAAGAGGAAAGGAGAAUUCUAAGUUCAGUCUCAUUCGAAAUAGUAAAUCUUGUGAUAUGGAAGAUUUCUUCACUGAGCUUAUAAGUCCAGUCCUAUUUCUAUUUAAGGAGGACAGAAGAAGAGUUCAUAGUCUAAAUGCAGAGCAAACUUCUUCUUAUGCAAAAUGCGAAGUAGGGUGCUUACUUGAAGGUGGUUCUCAUUGUAUUGACAUAUUUUCUGCCUCCAUGUAACUUAAAAAGGAACAACAAACAGUCAAACUAACAGAGUAAUGAAGUGUAUAAAAAUUUAUCAAUUGCAGUAAAAAGAGAUGAUCCUGACCUGCAAUCGGAUAAGUUACAUUUAUACGCAACGACAAACUACACAAAGUUUCAAGCCAAUUUGUCAUUGAUCUUCUAGAAUCUUUUUAUUUUCUAUUUCGUUUUCUGUGAGUUCAAACUGAGCCAUUGAUCACUUUGAAAGAUCAGGAAAGGAAAAGAGGAAAAGAAAAAUUAGAAUGUGCUCUCCCACAAUGAGGCAGGGACAGAGUGAUAGGACUGCUCAGCUUGGAGCAUUUCUUUAAUGCGUGACUCUUUGAAGUUCAAACUGAAAGUAGCCUCUGUGACUCCUUCACAACAUAUAGCUUUUAUUUCUUCUCUUCAAAUCCUUAGGACAGCAAAUUUCUUCACAUAAUGACAUGAUCAGAAAAGUAGGUACAAAGUCUGUUAAUGUAACAAAUUCAGAAACUUUUUUAGUGCAUUUUCUUCCAAAUCAAAUUAUGUUAUUCAUAGUUACAGAACAACUUUACCAGGUGUAUAAAUACAUCUUUCCUAUUAGCUAUCACUUAAGGAGGAAAGAUGGCACUUCAGCCCAGAUUAUUGAGACAGUAAUCCCUCCUUUAAAACACUACAACCAAGUCCUUCGUUUUAGUAAUCUAACUUUGUCUGCUUCUUGAAUAAUAUAAAGGUUGAAAUUACUUGCCUGCAUGGUUCAAAGUCGCGGUCGCGGUCGCGGUCGCGGCUUGGAACGUUCCACAUCGGUCUCGGCAUAUCGGUCACGGUCUCGGUGAGACGCAAAUUUUAAAGAAUUUAAUAUUCUAAAAAUUGUUAAUAAUAUAAAAAAAGUAUGCUAAACAAAAAUAAUAAAAAAUAGCCAAAGCAAUGCCCGAAUCAAUCCGUCGCGGUGUAACUCGGCCGAUUUCUCGUCUUGACUCGGGAUAACUCGGAGUAACUCGGUGUGACUCGGCCGAGUCAAUCCGUCGCGGUGACGUCUCGGCCGAUUUCUCGGCGAGAUGAGUAUCUCGGUCUCGAUUCGUCGCGGUCUCGUCUCGGACUAGGCCGAGACGGUGACGACUCGGCCGAGUCGUCUCGGUCUCGGCCGAGUCUUCGAACCAUGCUUGCCUGAUGAACCUGAUUUCACUGCAAGUCAAAAGCUAGCAACUAGAUAAAUACAUACAUCAAAGUGAUUUCCCAAGUGGGAUUUUCCUAAAAAAUCAGCUUCUUAAUCCAAAUUCAGAAAUUUUCAACAGUGAACACAAGCUGAUCGUUUCCUUCAUAAAAAAAAAAGGUUCAAAACUAUAUAGCCUGACAGAAAUAUAGGAAGAGAAAUUCUAGUACUAAAUAUAUACAGAUAUAUUACCUGUGAGAGAGCUGGAAAGGUCCCAUUUGAUAGGGAGUCAGCAAAGGGAUUGUUUGCUCCUCCGGUCUAUCAUCUGCCUUCUUUUCCAUUUCUGUUUACUAUCUCUAAAUCUCAAGUGUUCUUGGUCUUUGAUCUCAAAGGACCAUGCAACUGAGUGAGCCAGUGUGGGAGCUGAAAAAAAGAUUUGGUUAUUCUGGCAACUGCAGGCACCAGUAUCCACUAUCCAUCAUGUAGCUGAUCAUAGCCUAAUUUGUCUAGUCACCUAUACAAUUAUUAAUUAUACCAGUGGAUUAGAAUAAAGUACAAAGAAAAAAAAAGUACAAAGAACCUUUUACUUUCCAAAUUACGUGUUCCACUGAAACUUCACACUGAAUUUUACUUUAUGUACACAUAAUAUUGCCAAUUUGUCUUGUCUUUGUACAACAUGUUUUGGGUCUAUUUUAUGCUUUGUGUGCAAAAAGAGAUCGAAACUAAAUGGAAGAAGACGUGUGUUUCAACCUAGUACAUACAAGAAGAUUAAUCUAACUAUUUAUUACACUUUUUUCCAUUUUUAAGAGUAUCACCUGUGAUAUACUUUUGUUUUUUUAAUAAGCGUGAGUUUUUUAAUCCAAACUUCCUACUUAUAAUUUAUUCCAUCUUACCACGCAAUCAUCCCUCAAGUAUCAAUUGUGAUAAUUGUGAGAUUCCACUCGUAUGACCCUCUCAUCACAAAUGAAAAUAUUUUUACCAACUAAAUUGCAUUUCAUUGUCAAAUAUUUAAAUUGAAGAUUGACUCAAAUACUUUCCUUUCUAACAAGAAGAAAAACUGAAAACUCUACAAUCUUGUGGUGUGUUUGGAUAGGAGAUUAUUUCAAAAAAAUUAUUUAGAAUAAUACAGUAACACUUUUUAUGAUGUGAUUUAUGAGAGAUAAAAAUAAUGAUUAGGAAUGUAUUUAUAAUGCAUGCAAGAUAAUAUUUAAAAAAAUUUUCCCCAAAUUUAUGUCUUGUUAUAUAAGACUAUUAUUUUUUAGGUGAUACGCUUCUUGACUUUCUUGCAUUUUGCUACACUUUUCCGUUGACGCCAAAGGGCAAAGGUCCGCCGGGCGGCAUAAAUUUAUUAGUUAUUGUCCUCUCUUUACGUCCAUGUUCAUGGCUCUAACAAGAAAAAGAGAUCCCAGUACAUUAAAAGCAACAAAAGGGUAAUUUUCUAUUAAGACCCUCAUGUUCAUUAGAAAAUUUAAAUUUGAUCUUUCAGUUUUAGAUCUUUAUUUAAAAUUUUUUUUUUUCUAAUAGGGGAGAGAUAAAAUUUAAGAAACGGAAAGAGAGAAGGAAAAUAAGAUUUCUACCUCCUUAUUUAUGAUGUUAUGUCGCUUUUACUGCUCUUAUUUGUAUAUUAGUAAUUUUAACCUUUUUUGUAUUGGUACUUGGUGAUUUAGUUGUUUGAGGAAAACAUAAUUUCAUAGCAUAGAAGUCAUAGAAAUAAAAGUGCACAAUAUAUCAAUAGUGGGAUAUAAGGGGCUAAAUUUGAUUAAGUAUACUUUACAAGGACUAAAAUGGUAAAUGAGAAAUAAAAGAGACUAAAUUAUGUUAUGAUUAAUGUUAUUUCAUAGACGUAAAAAGGAACAAUAUUAAUUCAGUAGUCCCAUUAAGAAUUUGUUAAGGCUCAGGUCAAUAGAUUAGGAGGGAUUUCUUUUUUGUUUUUUUUUGGGGACAAACCCAAUGAGACCAUUGGCCUAAGAAAUUAUUAAAGCUUAGGUUGACAAAUUAGGAGGGAUUUAUUGGCCAUUAGAAUUUAGAGGGGACUAAAAUCAGUUGGGAAACCAAGAAUUGUUGGCAUUUCAUGGUGGUAAGGAGAUUUGAUUUCGCAACCAGCACCCGGAGGGGGACUUAAAGAGUCCCUCCUGGUGGUUGCUGGACCAAUGGUCCGAUUAUCUAAACAUUGUGGGCAGAGUCCCCUCUUUUGAGAGUGUUUUCUAUUCUAAUUUGUUUAAAUAGUUUCAGUUACUUUUCAGGAUGAUUAUUGUAAAAGCUGUUUAAGAUUCCAAUUCCAACAAGAUCUAAUCAUUGCUUUGGCCGUUGAGACUCGUAUAACUGAGAAAGAGAGACAGAUAAAUUCAUAAUGCAAUCGACAAAUAGUAGUAUCAAGUUACAAUUGUACCAAAUGCUUAAAUUAGCAGUCCCGCAGUACAAAUUGCACCUAAAAAAGACCUUAACAUGGUUUCAGUGGUCCUGCAAUACAAUGUUGUUGUCUUUUCGUACCCUUUCCAGAUUUCAUGCAAUGGUUUCAAGAAAUGGAUAGUCAGUGUAGCCAACAACAGGAUCAGGUAUGUAGAAAGUGGCUCUGUUGUACUUGUUCAGAGGAGCAUUUAACUCGAAUCGUUUUGGCAAAUCUGGAUUGGCCAGGAACAAACGUCCAUAAGCAACAAGAUCAGCAUUAUCUUUGGCCACUGCUUCGCUGCCAUCUUCCCUACCAUAGCCACCAGCAACGAUGAAAGUGCCUUUGAAUGCAUUCCUCAUUGGCAGAAGAGUAUCUGCACAUUCGAAUUUUUCCCCCACAGUUUUCAUCCUUGGCUCCACCAUGUGACAGUACAGAAUUCCAUAUUUAUUCAACGCUUCAGCCAUGUAGAGACCUAGUGCUGCUGGAUUUGAGUCUCCUGAUUCCAUGUAAUCUGCAAACGGGGAGAGCCUGAGGCCAACUCUAUCAGCUCCUAUCGCAUUGGAGACAGCUUCAACGAUUUCCAGAGCAAAUCUGCAACGGUUCUCCAAUGAGCCUCCGUAUUCAUCUGUUCUGUCAUUGAUUUGGUCUUUCAGAAACUGUUCUACAAUAUAACCAUGAGCUCCAUGGAUCUCUACCCCAUCAAAACCUGCAAAUACGAACAGACUGCAUCAGCAUUCACUUAUCUUCUGCUCGUUCUCCCUCCUAUAUCGUGUCUCUCGCAUGUUUAACUGUAGUCUGCUUCUACAUUAAAGAUCUAUAAAGAUAUGACCUGAAUUUCCAUGGCCGAGAAGUUGACUUCAAAAUUUCCUAGGCACGACUUCAACAUGUACUCCUAGUCAAUGACCUUAGACAUGCAAAAUAUUUUAGAACAAGAAAUGCAAGCUAGGUCACCCCAACAGCAGUUUGAGAUGGAAGUUUCAAGUAAGUACUAUUUCAAAUCUAGGAAAACAAAAGGGUUGUAAUAAGAAAACAAGUAAAUCAAAAACAAGAGAAUUGAUGAUGAAGUUCUAGGAAAAUUGCAAAGAUACAAAAUGAGGGGAAUCUGAUAACACUAAGUGAAUUCAAGGCGUGUAAUCACUUUUCUUGAAGUUUGAUUGCCCCCACUAUCUUGCUAAUCAGGUAUUGGGUAAAAACUCUAGAAUACAAUGAAUUCGAGAAGACAACCAAAUAACAAGUUCUUGGAUUGUCUUGACAAGAAUUAGAAUGCUGAAAAAUCAGUUAGUUUUUUUCUUUUAUUGAAGCAGUUAUUUAUUUUGCUAUAACACCCAGAAAAAUGUUCAUGUUAAUAGGCAUGAAUUGACAGUGCCACCUUUCAGAAAAUUCACAUGAAAAGGUGCCAAACAAAUUUGCAGAAAAUUCACAGGCAAUCUUUUAGAAAAUUCACAUGAAAAGGUGCCAAAUGAAUUUGCAGAAAAUGACCAUUACAGGGAUCCAAAUUCGCAUCUUAAUCGAUUGCACACUUCAACUUUUUUCAUUCGCAUCUUCAACUAAGCGGGGGAAUGUUGCAAAUAGUUUGUAAUAUAAUUCCAAAACUAACAUCGAAGAGGUCAUACAUAAAAUGAAGGUAAUUUUCAUUUCAACUUUCUUCAUAAUGUUCAUAUAUCACAUAUCUAAGUUAAGUCAAUGGUCACUAGGUUGCUUAAACCAAGACUCAACAAAGAAAGAAAUAUUACACAUAUGGACUUUCAAAGCAUUCAUAAAUUCACACUUAGUUUUGGCACUAUACAGACCAUGUGCUCAUCUUAAUUGAUGAUCAUAUACAAAGAUUAUCCCAAACUUUGUUAGAAGCGGAAUCAGUUCUAUCAUCAUAUAGGUAAACUAUAUUUCUAACUUUAAUACAUAAAGCACUAAGAAACAUGUUUAUUAAGAGAAGCUUCACAUCCUACUCACUUGAGAGUAACAAUUGGUACUAUUCCUUGGAAUAAUCUACACCUAAAUUGUAGGCUAAUUCCUUAGAUUAUAGAUGAGAAAAAGAAAAAUCGGACAAUUGUAGAUUUGACAAGGGGGUUUUGCAAAACUAUAGCUAUCGUGCUGAAUCAGCACGGCAGGAAGAAGUAAUAUAUAUAUAUAUAUAUAUAAAGUUAGAUGCUGCUAAAAAAAAAAAGCCUGCAAAUCUUGUCCCUCCCGGGCUAACUUGGCCUGGCAAGGGUGAUCCUUAAAAUAAAGGCAACCUAAAGCCUUUUUUAUAUAUAAAACUGCCUCCUGCUGGGCUGUGUUUUGAAACUCGGACCGGAUCGGCCGAUUCAACCGGUUGAAUCGGAAAUCGGGUAGGCAUCUGGUCAGAGUUGCUUUAAAAAACCAGGAAACAAACACUCGGUCAAAAUUCGGGUUUGACCGAACCGCUUCAACUGGAAUCUGAGGUCUAAAGAAGAGAUGGUAUGGGGACCACUUAAAAACUAAAGCCACGGGACGAUGGGACAUGUGCUGUACAUAAUUGCUGCCAAGAAUUAACAUCUCUGUCUUGUGUGCCGUUUCUGACCUUUGACCGUUGUUGUAUUCGGAGCUUUUUUAAUUUUUCCUUUUUUACGUGUUUUACCCUUUUUGUUUUCCUUUUUUUAUUCUUUUUUUAAUUACUCUCAAAUCUCUUCACAUAACCUACCAUAAAUCUCUCUCAAACAACUCCAAUGGAAGAUCUAAGUUCAAAAAGGGAUAAAACAUUAAAAAAAGAAAAUAAAAUUUCACCUAGAAAUAUUUUAUUAAUUUUAUGAUUUGACCCUUAGAGUACUAGAAAACUAUUAUUACACCUAAAAAGAUUUUAAAACUUAUAGCUAUAGCCCUAAAUUCUUGUAUUACUUGUCAAAUAAGCCCUCCAAUUUGGUUCUAAACCUGUUGAAUAUGCACUAAAUUAUAAAUUGUAUAAAUUGCUACUUAAUUAUACUACCUUAUUUGUAUUAUCUUGUAAAGUAUCUUAGAAAUAUCAAAUAUAUAUUGAACAUGCAUUUCUUAGUAUUAAUAUAUUUUUAUAAAAUUUACAAAAUAUAUUAAUUUUUAAAAUUAAAUAUAUUUAUGACGUCAUCCGGUUCUUGAGCGGGUUUGACCUCGGUCGAAUCCAUUGACACCUGACCCCUGACCUCGACCGAGUCGAUGGCCGGUCCGAGUUUCAAAACAUAGCCGCUGGGCUGAGUAAGCCCGGUAGGGGGUGAUUGUUUUAUAAAAAAAGUGUUAAUUAUACUUUGCCCCUUCAACUUGGAUCUUUGUAACACUUUGUCUCCUUAUACUCCAAACAUAGACACUUUAUCUCUUGUGGUCAACUCUUUGAUGGAGUUAAGAUGAAAUAAUAUUUUUUAUGACCAAAAUAUCCCCGAUUAAUUCUUAAACACAUAUAAUAAUUGUAACAUAAUAAAUAGCUAUUUCUUUAAUAUUUGCUAAAUGUAUUUAAAUACAAUUACAUUAUGCAUUUUGAUCUUUUUAUUUAAAAGAAGUAUUGCUACGAAAUUGAGAUAAACUCAUUGAGUUGCUUAGACUUUUUUUUAUGAAUUAUUUAAUUCAUUUUAUUGCUAAAAGAUCAAAAUGUAUAGUGUAAAAAAUAUUAUUUCAUCUUAACCCAUCAAAAAGUUGAUUACAAGAGAUAUAGUGUAUAUGUUUGGAGUUUAGGGGGACAAAGUGUUACAAAAUCCAAGUAGAAGAGAGCAAAGUAUAAUUAACCUUUUUUUUUAUAAAACAAUCACCCCCUGCCGGGCUCGCUCAGCCCAAUAGGAGUCAACUUUCUAUAUAUAUAAAACCUUUAGGUUGUCAUUUUUUUUUAAGGAUCACCCUUGCCGGGCCAAGUCAGCCCGGCAGGGGACAAGAUUUGCAGGCUUUUUUUUUUUUUUACAGCAUCUAACUUUAUAAAAAAAAAUUGCUUCUUCCUGCCGUGCUAACAGCUAUAGUUUUGCAAAACCCCCUUGUCAGACCUACAAUUGUCCGAUUUUCCUUUUUUUUUCAUCUAUAAUCUAAGGAUUAGCCUAAAUUGUACGGCUCACUACCACUUAAAACAAUUUGUUUUUACCCUUUAAACCUUUCAAACUAGAGGUAGUACUAGAAGAAGGUUGGGUUACCAUUGCUAAGUGAUUUUAGUCUAAAAGUUUUAAUCUCAUUCCAGAUAUUGUCAUAUUUACCAACUCUCUUACUAAAGGAUUGGUCAACGAAUGCACUAAGUUUUUGUGUGUCCUUACAAACACAAUACUAACAACAUCGUUUGCAAGCAUUUCUUUAAUAAAUGCAUAUCUCAAGCUUAUAUGUCUAGACUUGCCAUUGUAAACCUUGUUCAACACUCUAGACACAGUAGAUUCACUAUCACAAAAGAUAUUAUUAGAGGCAUUGGUUUAGGCCAAAAAUCAAUUUCAAGUAAAAGAUCCCUUAGCCACCCAACCUCUUUACAAGUUGAAGAUAACGUAAUAAGUUCAGCUUUCAUGGUUGCAUGAGUUAACACUAUUUGGUUCUUUGAAACCCAUGAGAUAGCUCUGCCACCAAGUAAGAAUAUCCAACCACUUGUAGGUUUUUGAUCACUAAUGCUAGUAAUCCAACUAGCAUCUAAAAAUCCCUCAAGAACACUAGGAAAACUAUUAUAAAAGAGUCCAAUAUUCUUGAUUUUUUUAAAGAUAACCAAGUUCUCUACCAAUGGCUUUUCAAUGAUCUAUUCCUGAAUUUUUAGUGUAUCUAACAAGUCUACAAACUAAUUAUGAAAUAUAUGCUCUAAUGCAACUCAUUGCAUACAUAAGACUACCAAUUACACUGACAUAUUCCAGCUGAGCAAUUUGUUUACCGGUAUUUUCAUAUAAUUUAAAGUUAGGAUCAAAGGGAGUCUCAAUUUCCUUCACAUUUAGGUGCUGAUAUUUCUUUAAUAUCUUUUCCACAUAAUGUGAUUGUGAUAAGGCAAAACUCGGACUAUGUCUCUUAACUUUAAUUUCUAAGAUAGUAUCUAUUUCAUCAAGAUUUUUCAUCUUGAAUUUAGAAGAUAAAUAUUUCUCUUUCAUCUUGAACUUAGAAGAUAAAUAUUUCUUAGUCUCUACUACACCUUUAUUCAUAGUACUAACAUUGAGCAUAUUAUCCACAUAAAGACAAAUGAUCACACCAUACUCACUAUUAAAUUUAUUAUAAAUGCACUAAUCAGCAUUAUUGUACCUAAAUCAAAUAGAGAGUAAAAUAGAUUCAAAUUUCUCAUAUCAUUGUUUCGGAGCUUGUUUUAAGUCAUACAAAGAUUUGACUAAUUUACACACUUUAUAUUCAUUACCCAACAACAUAAAGCCAUCCGGUUGUUCCAUAUACACCUCCUAAUGUAAGUCACCAUUUAAAAAAGAUAUUUUAACAUCCAUUUGAUGUACAUAAGGCUAAAUACAGAACCUAAACCUAGAAGCACCCGAACAGAAGUAAUUCUAGCUACAAGUGCAUAUGCAUCAAAAUAGUCUAUUCCUUUUACCUAUAACCUUUAACUACUAACCUAACUUUGUUUGAUGAAAGGGUUGUAAUAAGACAACAAGGAAGUCAAAAACAAAAGAAUUGAUGAUGAAGUUCUAGAAAAAAUUGCAAAGAUACAAAAUGAAGGGAAUUUGAUAACACUAAGGGUACGUUUGGUUCUAUAGAAUUAGAAUUGAAUUAGAAUCAAAAUUCUAUAGAAUUGGAAUUCUAUGAAUUGGAAUUCCAAGUCAUUUCAAUUCUUUCGUUUGGAAAAUGCAUAGAAUUGAUACGGAAUUUAUUUGGAAUUCCAAAUUCUUUGUUUGCAUGAGAGAAGAAUUCAUUAGGAAUUAGAAUUGUUUUCAAGAAAAUUGCUUACAUAAAAUUUUUCUUUUUUUUUCUAUAUAAUAAUUUCUUUUUUUCUUACAUUUAGCUAAUUUUUACUAAAGAUUUAAAAGAAAAAAUCAAUUUGUGCCUUUAAUAAUUUAUUUUUUCUCACUCUCAUAUCAAUUUCUUUGGUGAGCAUUUCCUUUAGCAUGUUUUGAUCCAUUAUCCCUUUUUGUGAAGAAAUAUUUCCCCAUCUCAGCCGUGGUAUUUUCAACUGUGUUUUGAUAUAUAUUUAAUAAAGCAAAAUUCUUUCUUAUUUCUAAUACUUAUGCAAAAUUCAAAAAAGAUUUCAUCCAUCAUAAUAGCUAUGCACAACUAAAACUCAAACUCCUCCAUUAAGUACCAAUGGCAUGAUAAAACUAUGAGAGAGGAAAAGUUUGAAGCAAUUUUUCACUCAUGUGACAAUAACUACAAAAUCAAGAAGCAAUAUUUCAUGAAAGAAAAAGAUAAGAAAACAAUCAGUUACAAAUAAAUCCUUCAUAUGUAACAAAAACUCUUGAUCAAAUGCUUCAACUGUAUAAACCCAGUUUUGGGAUGUUUCAUUCCACUAGUAUUGAAAGGUGACACGCUGCCACUUUGUCCUGGACUCUCUUCUCUAACAGCAAUCUUCAGAGAUAAGCAAAACAUAAGCCCAUGGUCAAAAAUUUUCAGAAAGUUUUCACCUCAAACGAAUUUCCUCCUUUACAGAAUCUUUGGCAUCAUCCGUAGUAGUAACUGCGACAGGCAGCUUGGAUCUCAUAGUAUUCAGAACAAGGACACGCUCAGCAGCCACCUGCAAACUACUACGGAUGCAGAUACGUUUGACCCAAAACUUCAAGAACAGUUUUGAACAAAAACCUGCAUCACUUGUUACCAACAAACCAUAAAUAUCUCAUCUUGUGCAAUUCAUUGAUUUUUAAAGAGAAAAUUAUCAGUAGAAAGGUGUGCAGCCAAACGUACACAAAUCCACAUGCAUAAACAGAUAUUAUGCAUGCAUAAACCCAUAUGUAAAUCCAGUGAAAUAAUCUGAUAUUAAUCACAUGGUUCAUGGUUGUACAAGUGAAGUUGCUCCAGUCCCUACAAGAGAGCUUCUUCGACCUUUUGCAAAGAAUGCUCAAGAUCAUAUAUUCUCACAACUUGCUGCCAUAUUUAAGGGUCUAGUUGUCUAUCGACACCAAACAAACAUCAAGCCAUAUACAACAUGUUUUGCACCUUUAAGUCGCAAACUGAAAGACCUGAAAGCAAGAUUCAAAUGAUAAAAGCAAAUUACCUCACAAUCCACCUAAAGAAAGUAUAGGUCAUGAUCAGUCCAGCAAAAAUGUAAAAGUCAACAAUCACAUGUUUACAAGCAGAAUGGACAUUCUUAGCCAGCAAAAGAAGAAAUAACUUUGUGGGAUAAUCACAUGUUUAGACAAAUUGAAUAUGGAAUGCAAAUGAAGACAAGACUCAUACUUCUCGGGCAUUCUUUUCUGUAUCCAACAAAUGAUUUGCUAGCUUCUUUAUUACUAUUAUUUUUAGGCUAAAUUGAUCUACUAGCUUAAUAACUGAUAAAAGAAAUAAACUGGUCAUCAUAAUUCAGAACUUAGCAAAAGAAAAAUAAAACUUAUAAAUCCAGAAAAUAAACAUCAACAAUCUGUAAAAUGAAGAAAGUGAACAUUCCAAGCCAAAAUCAAGAAUGGAAGGUAAAUUUGUCCCCUACAGUAGUAAAAUUGUGCACAUAUUCUUCAUUUAAAGUUACAUUUUCACAUUACUGAAUGGCAACACAUUGGUGAUAAGAAAGUUAAGCAGUCUUAAGUAUGAAGAAACAGUGGCUAUUGACUGGCAUGCUACUUACACAACUACAACUAGUAGUCAUCAGAAGACAAUGUUCCUAAAAAAUGCAAGUGUAAUUCCAUUGUACCAAUCAAAGCGUAAUAACAAAAACAAGACCAGCAGACAUGGCAGAACAUAAUAUCUCACUCGACCAUCAUAAAUAAUAGGAGCUAAGCAAGCUUAGCAAUUUAGUAGUUCCAUUCAGUUGAAAAUCUGUCCAAUUCCACCAAGUUUUCUUGAUCUUUUCUGUUAUUAGUUUGUUUUUUCCACUCCUGCAAUAUACAAAUAUUAUUCAUUUUCAUACUAAAAAUACAAAAAGUUUCCCUAACAAGUAAAUUCCUCAAUUUUUCCGAUCCGCAAUGAUCAACAAGCAAAGAAUAUAGAAAAAUAAAAAAACCCCCUUUCCCAUUUUUCAUGCUAAUUUCAAAAACACAUGGAGAUGAACCCGCAUCAGCAUCUAAUAAAAUAUUUCACAACUACUUCACCAGCAAUUGGUAACAAACAUUAAAGAAAAUUAUAUAAGAAAAUGCAUACUUGAAAUAGCCAGAAAGUUGUAGCUAUUAUUACCAGAAAAUGCAUCUCAAAACCUUCAAAACCUUUUCAAAGGAUGAUAUAUACAAAUUCGACCUUUCAUCUUCAUCACCACAAACAUUUUUAAUUAUUCCUAAUAAAAAGAGAACCAUCUAAAAACUAGGGACCACACUAACUAAUUAAAAUGAAAUAAAAAAGAACAGGGCAACAGAGUACUACUUUUUUUUCUAUCCUCGUCCCAACGUUGAAUUAGAAGCAAAAAAAUAGUAGUAAAUUUAUAACAUUAAUGGCAAACAUUAUCAGAGGAACAACCCAAAAUAAUCAAUCUUUGAUUGGCAGAAAUUUAAAUGUGAAUAUACCAUCAUAAAUCCUGAAUUUGUCGAGAAUUGAGAAUUGAAGGAGUGGAAGGAGAGUGAGGAUGAGAGGAUGCGAUCGCGAUGGUGACAGCAAUGGAAGUAAUGGCAAAGGUAAAGGUGGGAGGCACAAUUCAAGAUAGGUAGGAAACGAAAGAAAGGAGACCAAAAUAUAACUCAAUCUGUAAAUUUCACCCACUCGAUGCUGCAGAGGAGAGAAGGAGUAGGAAAGGCCUGGAGGGGUUCCGGGAGAGGUGUUAGGAAAAGGAGGAGGCAGCGUCGGCAAAGAACGCUAGAGCAGAUUAGGGUAGGUAUGGCGAUCCGCUCAUGAAGAGAGAGAAAGAAGCCAGCUUUGUUUUCUUUUAAUCCAGCUUUAUAGUUGACCCGUUUUGGAGUUUUUAUCCAUUUAAAGUCCGCGCGUUGAUCCGAAUGGGAGUCUGGCCGUAGAAUUGGAAUUGGAAUUCUUUGGUCUAGUCAAAGAAUUGGAACCGUGGAAUUCGAUCAAUAUAGAAUUGCAAUUCAAUUCUAAUUCUAUCGGAAAGGUAGUACCCAAACACAAGAUUUAGAAUUGGGGCUCCAAUUCCAAUUCUAAAUCCCAAUUCCAUGGAAAACCAAACAUACCCUAAGGGAAUUCAAGACGUGUAAUCACUUUUAUUGAAAUUUGAUUGUCCCCACUAUCUUGCUAAUCAGGUAUUGGGCAAAAACUUUAUGAUACAAUGAAUUUGAGAAGACAACCAAAUAACAAGUUCUUGGAUUAUCUUGACAAGAAUUAGAAUGCUGAAAAAUUAGUUAGUAUUUUUCUUCUAUUAAAGCAGUUAUUUAUUUUGCUAUAACACCCAGAAAAAUGUUCAUGUUAAUAGGCAUGAAUUGAUGGUGCAACCUUUCAGAAAAUUCUAAUGAAAAAGUGCCAAACGAAUUUUCAGAAAAUUCACGGGCAAUCUCUCAGAAAAUUCACAUAAAAAGGUGCCAAAUGAAUUUGCAGAAAAUGACCGUUACAGGGAUCCAAAUUUCGAUCUUCAUCGAUUGCACACUUCAGCUCUUUUCAUUCUGAGUUGUAUUACAAACUAUUUCCAACAUCAAAUGCAUUUCUUAUGUAAUAUCCUGAAGAUUUAAUGAUUAUUCUAUUUAAAUUUUUGUCAUUUUCAUUUUCUUUUACUCUUCUAGCUCCCUUUCAAUAAUUUUACUAUUCAUAGUAAACAAACGAUAAGGAGAUCGAAAGUUUUUUAACCUGAGCUCAGUCUUUCUCUACAAAAAAGAAAAAUGAAAAAAAUUUUCAGUUCAGUUCGUUUUUUGUAUAGCCAUACCAGCUUCAAUAGCAUUAAUUGCAGCGACUCUGAAUUCAUUGACAAUCUCAGGAAUUUCUUCUGUUCUUAGGCGUCGUGGAGGUGGAUACUUAUAAUCAUCUACGCCGUUCUUUUGAACUUUGAAAGUUAAUUGCUUGUCUGUUGAUGAGAUUGGAGAUUGUCCAUUGGGCUGAUAACCUGGAAUAGGAAAAAAAAAAAAAAAGCAUGAAACAGAUAAACCAAUCUUCGCCUCCCAAGCUGCACAAGUAAGAAACAAAAAAUCUCAAUUUUAUACAACACUGCACAACCGAGGAAAAAGAAUUAUGAAUUGCCUCCAAGACACCUCAGAGUUCUAUACAUGCUUGAUUCCAAUCGAUAUUUGAAGGUGCAAUGCACCAUCCACAGAGGUCUUGUCAUGUGAGUCUUCUUUAAGAUUUGUAGUCCAUUUAUGUGCUGGGCAUCGGUCCAAGAAGAACACGGCAUAUAGAGGACAAAAAGUUACGAAAAUUGUAACAAGAUAAGAACUCACUGUAAUUUGAAAUCCUUCCUGCAUGCCAAAUCUGGCAAAAGAAGAUACCACCUUUGGCAUGUACUGCAUCUACAAUGGGUUUCCAGGCCUCAACUUGCUCCUUUGUCCAAAUGCCUGGUGUAGCUGGAUAUCUUUUUGGUUGUAAGGGAACACUAAGUUCAGAAAUUGCGCAAUAACCAAAAGAAGAAUAUCAUUGAGCGAUCAAGAGUUCAAAUAAGAAUGCUACUGUAAUUACCCACGGCCUGUUUCAGAAACUACGGUGGCUUCUGCUAUGAGCAGACCUCCUUUAGUAGCUCUCUGGGAGUAGUAUAAAAUAGCGUGUGGCUGCGGAAUAUUGUCGUAAGAUCUCAUCCUUGUCAGAGGUGCCAAAACAAUUCUGAAUGGAUUUACAUAACCAAAAUUGGUGAAAACAUUAGCCUUCAAACUUUUUCUGGCAUGGAUCAAGCCUUGACCUUGAGUGUGACAAUCAAACUUUGGGAGUUGAAAGCAACUUCCAAACAGUGAAAUGCAAUGUAAAAAUUUGAAUGUUGAAACUUGAAGCAUGAGGUAAAAGUAGAAAUGGGAGGAGUUGCAAUCAAUUUUUCAUUGCUCCUCUGAGUAAUUUUCAAUUCUGUUUCGAUCAAGCUAAGAUAAAUCCUUUCCAUUGUCUUCUGAAAACUUUUGUUUGCAUUUUCAACUAUGAAGAUUGAAGGCCAUAGAAAAAAUUGUCUUGUUCUUCCAGAUUUUGUUGUUACGGUAAGGUCUUGGAUCCAUAUAGACCACAAAUAUCUCUGUCAUGGCACAAAUAUAGUUGAAGAACGUAAGCCAUUUAUGAAAUCAAUGAACAGAAUUAAGUUAUAAUGAGGCUACUCUCUAAUCUCCAAUCACGAGCAAUUACAACAGUUGAUGCAUCAAAGAGCUAAUUUCCCAACUGGGAUUUUCCCUCAAAAAUCUUCAUUUUCAUCAAAAACCAGAAAUUUUCAAGAGUCAAUAAAAGAACAUCACAUUCUUGAUUCUUCAUAAGAGAAUGAAAUCUACAUAAAUCUUGAAAACAAAACGGAAAAACAAGAAUCAAAUAGAUAAGUAGACAGACAUAUACCUAUGACAGAGCUGAAAAUUUCCCAAUUUAUAUGGAGUCAGUAAAGGAAUUGGUUGCUGCUGCUGUUCUGCUCCAUCAUCUAUCUCAAUUUCCAUGCCUUGCUACUUGUCUCUCCACUCCUCUUCUUAGUCUUAAUUUGCAGUAUGCGAGCAACUAAUGUGUAAAUAUUUAUAGAGCUGGAUCCAGAUGCUUUGGCAUUUUGCUGAUAUUAGCCAGCCAGUACACACCUAGGGGCUGAUCAUAGCCAAACUUUUACUACUAAUUUUUAUACGUAUAUAUCUGACAAACUUGGUUAUUAUUGUUAAUUAGGGAAUCGGGAUCAAAUAAUAAGAAAUGUUAGCCGGUGUAUUUAAUUAACAAGUGGUUCUAAACAUAUUAGAGAAACAAGGUUGGUGAUCAAUUUUCAACGGUAUCUACGUUCUGUGGGUGAGAGACAAGGCCCGAAAAAUUCUCAUCAAAAAGGGGAAAAAAGAGGUUUAAAAGUGCUUGAUCGACAACUGUUUUUUUUCCGGGUUCUUAAUCAUAUGCAUUGGUCAUAUUUUAAGAAUAUCUAUUGACUAAGUUCCUGAUGAUGAUGACUUCCACUUUCAUUUGAUAGAGAUGUAAACUUGUUCUUAUACUAUUGUCUUCCCUAGUUUGUGCAACGGCUGAUGGCCAGCCGUAAAGGUGGCAUCUGUAGCACCGAGAACACUUUGUAUAGCAAGAGCAGAGGUGCAGAGCAUAAGGGGGACGGAGCAGGCUGGAAAAUGGCCUACAGCCCAGAUUUGACAGCAAAUUUUCUCGUGAAACAGAAAAUUAUUCAAGUUUAUGCAUGGCUGCUCUAUGCAUAGCUGCAGGCUGACCAUGCAUUACACAAUUCUCGUGAUCCAAGUUUUAUUGUAGUACUAAGUACUUUACACAUAUGUACCCAAGGAACUGAAAAUUUGAAAACUGUAGUCUAAUGAAUUACUUUAUUGAAACUAGUUACCAUACGUUUAGGUGUAGUGGCAGGAGUUUUCUCAAUUUGCAAAUUCGGAAGUUAUCUUUUAGGAUGCAACAUGAACUUCCAAUUUGUGUAAUAUUUGGAAGCCGUGUCUAUAGUUUGAGUUGAAAAUAAAAAACCAAACAGACCCCAAUCACAGGAAAAAGUCAUCAUCCAAGCUUUUCUUGAAGAAAUUCUGUAUAUGAUUUUCAGUUGUAUAUCUGCAGUAGAAUCUGUAACCAAAAAGCCGUAUGCUUUAAAAUUCUGACCCAGCAAUACAAUGAAUAUUCUUUUAGAAUUACGCUGUGGUUUCAAGAAAUGGAUAGUCAGUGUAGCCAACAACAGGAUCAGGUAAGUAGAAAGUGGAUCUGUUGUACUUGUUCAGAGGAGCAUUUAACUCGAAUCGCUUUGGCAAAUCUGGAUUGGCCAAGAACAAUCGUCCAUAAGCAACAAGAUCAGCACGACUUUCAGCGACUGCUUGAAUGCCAUCUUUCCUAUCAUAACCACCAGCAACCAUGAAAGUACCUUUGAAUGCCUUUCUCAUGGGCAAAAGACUAUCGGGAGUUUCAGAUUUUUCCCCAACAGUUUUCAUCCUUGGCUCGACCAUGUGACAGUAUGCAAGUCCAUAUUUAUUCAAAGCUGCAGCCAUGUAAAGACCAAGAGCAUUUGGAUUUGAAUCUCCUGCUUGGGAGUAGCUUGCAAAUGGGGAGAGCCUGAUGCCAACUCUAUCAGCUCCUAUUGCAUUUGAGACAGCUUCAAUGAUUUCCAGAGCAAAUCUGCAACGAUUCUCCAGAGAGCCUCCAUAUUCAUCUGGUCGGUCGUUGACUUGGUCUUUCAAAAACUGUUCUAUUAAAUAGCCAUGAGCUCCAUGGAUCUCAACACCAUCAAAUCCUGCAAAAUUUAACAGGCUAUAUUAGCCAACGAACCAUAGCGUGCUUUCCCCCAAAUUUCCUUUGCUUCAUAAUUUGUGGAAUACAUAAAGUUAGAGAAAGAUGUGAUUGAGCUUCCUUUUCAGGAUAUAGUUCUCAUAUUCUCCAUUGUCCAAAGUAACGUCAGAAUAGACAUUAUAUUUCUACUAUUUAAAAAAGUGUAUUUUUUAUUCAUAAAGUAGCAAGGCAGCACAGUUUUAUAGGUAACCGAUUUAGAACCUGAAGAAUAGUUCCGCCCUCCAGGGCAAGCAAUUCAAGCAAGCUCACUUGAUCAUUGUGCUCUAAGCUAGAAGGCAAAUUUUUUAAAUAAGUUGCAGCAUCACAAGGUUUGUAGAUAUUUUGAUCUUUUUGUGGAAUAGUUAAGCUGCUUAAUUAGACAAUUCCUUCUUUUUUGACUCUAUUUACUGCCUGUAAACCAUCACAAACGAAGUAUACAACUCUGUUACCAGAUUUACCAUUCCCCUUCAAAAAGCUACAUCCAAACGUUACAGAUUCAAAUAUAUAUUAAUCAUAACAUUUAUUGCAUUUAUUGCAGCAAGCUUAAAGUCAUUAACAAUCUCAGGAAUUUCUUCAGUCCUCAACCGGCGUGGUGGUGCAAAUUCCGCAACAUCAACACCAUUCGCUCGAAGUUGAGGAGUUAAUGGCUUGUCAGUAGAUGAGAUCGGAGCUUGUCUGUUGGGCUGAUAACCUGUGAAUGACAGUCAGAUAAAGCAGAUCUUAGAGGAAAUACGAGGUUUUAUGACUCCAUAACCAAUAAUAUGGACCAUUAAUAGGUCGAGACACGGCAUAACAAGAAAUUAUAUAUUCUGGAUUGCCUACAAGUCCAAUCAUUACUUCAUAAAAGCUUAGUCCCAACAGAAAAUCGAAACUGUAAUACAUCAUGUGGAGUGAUCUGGUCUUGUCAAGUGAAUAUUAAAUAACAAUUCAUUUCUGAUCUUUGAAUGAAUUCCACUAUACAUUUGACAUCCAACAAGGCAGAAAAUUAGGGAAAGGUAGUGACAGAAGGACUUGCUAUAAUUUGAAACCCUUCCAACAUGCCAAAUUUGGCAAAAGAAGAUACCACCUUUGGCGUGAACAGCAUCUACGAUGGGUUUCCAGGCCUCAACUUGUUCCUUUGUCCAUAUACCAGGUGUAUCUGGAUACCUACAAUUGGGAGAAACAUAAAACUCUUGUAUAGACAGGCAAAACAAUACACAUACUGCCAAAUGUGUAGGCAUUCGUGGAAUCUAUGAAUCAGUAAGAUAGAAAGAAAUACUAAAACCAAUUACCCUUGAGCUGUGUCAGAAACUCCUGUAGCUUCUGCUAUGAGAAGACCACCUUUGGUGGUUCUCUGAGAGUAAUACAAAAUGGCAUGUGGCUGUGGUACAUUUCCAUAGGAUCUUUGCCUUGUCAGAGGUGCCAAAACAAUUCUGUAGGAAAUCAGAAAAGAAAUGGUGAACAAAUUAGUUUCCAAUUUCUUUCUUUCAGUUGAAUUGAAGUAUCAGGAGCACCGGAUUCUAAAUAAUCCAAUCCCAGCAACAAGAAAAAGAUAGAUGUGAUUAUGACAUUCCAAUUUAGCUAAUUAAAAACUUGAAAUGCUUCGUGAUAUUUGCCUAAUUCAUUGCAAUACUAGAUUCUUUUGCGACCCCAAAAAAAAAAAAGAAAAAGAAUGGAGAAAAAUGUUUUAAAGGAGAUAGAUAUACAAUGUUCACAAUCUCACAAAAAUCGGCUUGGCAACCAAUAAAAAGGUUGCUUUUGGUCCGUUGAACAAAUAUAGGAUAGAUCCGCAUUUGCAUAAGGGCAAGAAAGAUCACUUUUAUGAACUUCAAACCUCAACUUAGGGGGCACCCAGAAACAGAAUCCUAAUCUUUGAACCCUGUUUCAAGGAAUUAAAGUGGAACCAUAUUCUCCACUUGAGAUGCUCUGGCAAAACUUUUUACAUGAAUCACAUAAAUGUUUCAAUAAAAUCAAAGCUAAUUGACUAUCUGAAGUCUAAUUGGCAUCUAAAAUCAGCACAUAUUGACCGCAUAAUGCAAAGAACAAAUAAAAUGCAACUAUCCCUCUUUCUUUAGUUCUUCCUCCAUUUUUUUUGGGGUUAAAUAUAAGACAAAGCUUCUUCUAGAUUUUCAGUUCAUAAACUCGGCCAAAGAAAUCAUAAUAUGUGAACACUAAUUCAUAGUCUCAGUCAAUGUAUCUAGACACAUUUCAGUUGAUUGAUGUCCAGAGUUUCUUUCUCUUCAAAGAUUUGACUUUUAUAAUACAAAUCUUCAGGAAGAGACUAAACAGAAUAGAAAUAAUCCAAGCCCAAGAUAACUGAGAAGUGAGAAUGCAACAUAUACUCUGAUUAUCCUUCAAAACAAGGCCAUAAGAAAUCCUUUCUUUCAUUCUUUCCUUUCUUUGUCUUGAAUUGGUUAUACUUACAAAAAUAAUAAACAUAUUGUAACUAGUUCAGUAAUGCACCAAGCAGAAUCCCAACUGGAAUUUCCCAAAAAAAAAAGACUUUUUCUUAUAAACUCAUAAAAAAAGAGAAAAACUCCAAAAAAAAAAAAAAAAGGAAAUACAAAAACACACUAUUCUCCAUUACAGAAUGCAAUAUCCUUUACAAAAAGACAAGGCCCAAAAAAAUAAAAAGAAAAAAAAUUUCUAGCUGGAAAAUAAAGAAAAAAGGAAAAAGGAAGAGCACCUAUGAGAAAGCUGGAAGUUGCCCAUUUUGUAUGGGGUGAGUAAAGGGAUGAUAGACUGAGGCUGCUGUUGCUCCUGUUCUCCAUUCUCAGCCUUAUUUGCCAUUUCUGGUAGUUACUGAAAAAGAAUGUAAUUGAUGAUCAAAAAAGGUAUCUCUUUCUGAUGUCUUGAGUAGCUUGAAGUUGCACAGAUGAGAAACUGAAAUGCCUCAUCAAUGGAUAUUUAUAGUGUUCAAAUAGAAUUCACAGAGACUCAGAAUCUUCUUGGCAGCAAGCUAGCGACAACCAACCUGGGUAGGGUCCAAAGAUCCUUUUUUUUUUUUGGGUUUAAUGUUUGAACCAUAAUGGUCCCAAAAUCUUUUGGUCUAAUUUUUAGGCCGGUUUGGUUCUCACAUGGUGAUCUUUGACAUAAUCUAUUUUUUCAAACCGUAGUUUGACGUAGUCACAUCUUAUGAAAAAUUACAACACAAUGUAUAUAUGUCAAAUCUUAUUUCGAUUCAGACUAACUAUGUGGCAAAUUCAAUAGUUAGUUUUGAUUAAUUGAACACCAUCAAUUGGACAAAUAAAGGCCUCACAACAUCAAAUAAAAUUUGAAGUUUAUCGUGUCAAAAAAUUGUAGCACAUUCUAUGAUAUGAUAUAUAUGAGAUAAAAAAGUGAUUGAAAAUUGUGUGUAUGACACAAGCAAAAUAAAUUUUGAAAUUUUUUUUGAAAAUCUUGUAAACAAAACACACCUAUUAAUUUAUUGGGCAUUAGAAACUUCUGUUCACUUGAGAAACGUGAUAUGUUAUUGUAAAUUAUUCAGAUUUGCUAAAUGAUAUAUCCGUACUCAUAUUUAAUAACAGAAAGAUCUUUUUCUUUUUUGAGCAUUGACAUCUCAUUUGUGCUUUUCGAAUUCCUUUUUCAAAAUUGCAGCGCUUAGAGAAAACAGUGCACCAAAAACCAAACCAAGGGAAAAAAACAAGAGAAAAAAAAAAAAGAAGUAAUAAAAUGACAUGACGUCAUCAGUGAUUCCAAAAGUCUUAAAAGUGGUCCAUUCUACUCGUAUUCAGCUACACGCCCAUCCCGCAAAUUUGGAGUCAAACAAGCCUACUAAAGAGCGUAACAUCUUACAUCAUCGAAAGACUGGCCAUGUGUGAAGUUGGGCCGCCGCAGCAGCUUCCGUAUUGGAUUUGGGGCGGUUGUGAUUGCUGAGGCUAACAGCGCGUUUGGAUUGUAUUUUUCAGAGGAUUUUUUGAGAAAUAUUACUGUAACGCUUUUUCAAGAUGUGAUGUAUAUAAAAUAAAAAAUAAUCAAAAAAUAUAUAGAAAAAAAUAUUCAUAAUAGAGUUGCUUAGAUUGUAAAUAUUUUACUUUUUUAGCCACAUAUAUCAUACAACAAAAUUUCUCCAAGAGAAAAAGGAAAAAAAAUUAAAUUGCUUACCAUACAAAUUUACCUUAUAUUAUAUCUCUUUUUUUAUUAGCCACAUAUAUCAUUCAACCAAGUUUCUCCCAGAGAGAAAAAAAAAAGAAAAAUGCUCAUCAUACAAAUUCACCUUUUAUUAUCUCUUUUACUUAUAAUUUGAUUAGUUUUGAAACUUUAUUUGUUUAUCUUUCAUCUCUUUGGCAAAAAAAAAAAAACCUUACAUCACUUUUGUCCAACCUAUCGUCUCAAAAGUUGUCUUUGGUUUAUAAGUAUAUUUGAGAAAGCCUUUGGUUUAGCAAAGAUGGACAAAAAAUCAAAAAGGGUAUGAUGCUUUAACGAAAUGUGACGGCAGAACCAAACCCAUGGUCAGAACCUAAACAGCAAUGGCUCACACAGAAGCAAAUUGUAUCACACCCUUUGAUAGGACGGUGUCCGGCAGCAAAAGAGGAAAAUCAUUUAACUCACAAUCAAUCAAAUUUUGACUUCCCUUUCUCUUUCAUAGUUCCUUAUUAUCACAAUGGACAUCUUCACACAGGCAGUCCAGGUUCAUGCCAUCCCUCAGGUCAAAACGACUUUUUGUAGGCUUUUGGUCAAAAUCCACUCAUUCGUAGGUGCCAGUUGCAGUAAAUGAUUGGUGGAACAAAUAGUUUUACACAUUAAACAUAUGUUACUUUAUAACUGUAACCUAACUAGAAGCAACCACACUCUUGUCCCUUCAAAAUAUUUUUUGAAAGAAGACCCAAUUAUUUAUAAUAAUACAUAAGAUCAUUGAAGUAAACCCUUAUUUCUUGUCAGCUGUAAUACUUUUGUUUGAAUAGGAGUUUAUUUGGAUGAUUUAUUUGAGAUAAUUACUGUAACACUUUUUGUGAUGUGAUGUAUGUGAAAUAAAAAGGUGAUUGAAAAGAUAAAAAAGUGAUUGAAAUUUGUGAAGCAAAUUAUUAUUUUUUUUUCAAAUCAUCUCAAUCCAAACACAAAUAGUGAUUCUAGAUCCUGUUUUAUUUGGAUAAAAAGGAAGCAAAAAACAUUGUGAAUAUAAAGUUGUUUCAAUAACCACAUAGUUGUUCCACGCUCCUAACCAUCAAGUAGUUUUAGUAGUAAUAUAUAAUCCUAUAUAUAGUGUAGUUCUAUUUCAGCAUAAAUAAACAUAUAAUUGGAUUGUUUGAGCUCGUUAGCUAGAUGCAAACAUAAUUGGUACAUAGCAUGAUGCUGAAACAUGCAGUAUAUCAUGUCACCAUGCUUUUACUACAGGGAUUUUGCCUGUGUUGGAUAAGGGCAAGACGGUUUCUUUUCUACAAUAUCUUAUUGUUGCUCUAUUAAUUCAGCCUUAAUAAUUAUUAGCUCAUCUUGCAUGCUUGUGUCUUCAAGGCAAGGCCUCCUUUUGUUUUAGCUGGUGAUCGAGAUAAUUUGCUGUAGCAAUGGAGGACUGAGCAACUAAUUUGAGCACCAUCUUUGCUGUUGAAGAAUUGGUCCUUGUUACUUGAUUGCUAGCAUGAUACAGCAGAGGCGUCAGCGUGGGCAACAACAUUUUAUGCAAGAUCCUAAUGCUUGAUUGGAUAGCCAAGGUAACUUGAGCUAGCUCGUUAGAUGUACAUGCUUUGACGAUAUUUAUUCGGCAUCUCUUUGGCCUUCACAUUACAGAUCAAAGUGCUGGACAGAAAAGAUUAGUUUGAGCUUGCACAGCUUGACAUUCUAUAUCUUUUUCAGAGUAAAAUUUCACCUGAUUAUAGCUUUAUAUUCUAAACGUAUAAUUUAGUUUCUGGUGGGCAUGUAUAGUUGACAGAAGAUGUAAAUAGUGUGAUAUUUGGAAGUUAAGGGUGCCAUUAUAAAACAUGAAAUCAUGAUCACAUGGUUCUAUAAACUAAAACAGAUUCUUGCACUUAUAAAUUGGUUAUCUUAACUAUUAAGCAUCAUUUUGAAAGGACUGCAAGCUCUGGGAACUACAAAGACUUAGGCUUACGCUGUAAUUUUGGAUCUCAAUAUCUGUCAAAUAAAAUUGAAAGCCAAAUAAGGAUUCAUGAAACUGAACCUAUGGUAAUAAAUCAAUGUAAGGAUAUACUCACAAAUAAAACUGCAAAGUAGAACAGACUUUUUGUAUCAAACUAAGAAAAACAAAGUUUUACUUUGGAUGUCAAAGAUCUUUGUCUUGUCUCUCAGAUUAGGAGUUUUUGUUUUUGUAAACUCAAACAAUGCAUUCAUAGAUGUUUGGAUACUGUAUGAGUUCGGAGGUGCUAGAAAAAAAACACUAAUGGCACUCAAGCUUUGUCGAAUUAUGAAGAUGUAGUACCUUAGCAACUAUUUCCAUUCCCACCUAAGAAUAAUUUCUCUCCUAUAAAUUGUUUCCUUCAUGGUUUGAGUUACAUCAAACUCAGCAAACAUUACAGGAACUUUGCGACACACUUCUAUAUUAAUUCACAGUGUUUGGAUUGUAAAUUAUUUGAGAUAUUUUUACUGUAACAUUUUUUUUGAUACGAUGUAUGUGAGAUAAAAAGAUAAUUGAAAAAUGCCUUCUUCUUUCCCCCUCUUGAGCAAACUAAAACUAAAAGUCUAAACUAAAGACCAAAUAGUCUGUGUAAAGUAAAAAUAAAAGUAUAAGCACGACAUUCAGUUCCUAACAUAGUAUCUAAAUAAAAAUAAUACAUAAAUGGUUUGUAACUUCCCAAUGGAAUGCAGAAAACCUCCCAUUGAAAAGUUGACAAACAAAAGCAAAACUUUUAACAUAAUAAACAAAGUAAAAUACCAACAGAGAGCACAUCAAGUUUUAUGACAAACCUUACGAAAGGAGAGCCAACUUGAAGGAGCAAAACACACAGAGGCUAUAAAUAAGAUGCCAAUCUUGUCCUCAAAAAAAAAUUAAAGAGAGAAAUAUCAGACAUACAGAGGAUAAGGAGACCAAAAAAUGAAAAAAAAAAAAAAAAAAGGAGCAAAGUCUAUAGAAUAUGUAAAAGCUUAAGUCCAUGAUUUGCAGCAUGCAAUUGAAGUAAAAGAAGAAGUAAAAGGAAAAGAAGCACACCAGAGAAACAAAUGGCAAGAACAACAGAGUAAAAGGUCAAUUUUUUGUACGUUUCUCUUUUAAGCCCAAAAGAAACUAAGCAAGAAAACUAACAUUAUUCCAUCUUGAUCUAGUGAGAUGAUUAAUGGUCAAUUCAGGGCUACUAUUAAUUUCUGCUGGUCAUUAUGCGAACACACCAAAAAAAAGUGAGAAACAUCGAUACGUAUUAGAGAGAGAGAGAGAGAGAGAGAGAGGGAGCCAAAACUCAAAAUGGAAUAAUAUGCAAAAAAUACAAACUAAGCUAGAGGAAAACUUAAGUUGAUGAUUUUCACUAAUAAAAAGAAAAUAUAGGGAAAAAAGAAAGAGCUAUACCAGAGUGAAAAAAGGGUAUGAGCUAAUCCUAUCUAUCAAUUUAUCCAUCACCAAACCUAAGAUACAGAAAGACAACAAUGUUAGUGUGAUUAAUUAUGAAAAGAAACAACUAAGAAAUAAGGGUUGAAAGUAAUAGCGGUGAGAGAGAGAAAUAACGUGAGGUAGGUUUUCUGUGCAUCGUGUUGUGGCUUUGAGAGGAGAGUUAUUUUUUUUUAGGACUAAAUUUGACAAACCGAAGAAAACGAGGAGGAAAGAAUACAACUUAAAUAAAGGAAGUUGCCACUUGUCAAAAGAAGAGACAGCCACUUUUCAAGAAAAGAAGCUGCUACCGUGAAACCAAUAUCUUCUUAUUUUACUUGAGGGAUGAGGGAUUGUUAACCAGCGCAUCUUAAUCCCUAAUAAUGUGAUCCUACCCAUAAUCCAUAUUCUAUAAAUUUCACUUGCUAAUUGGGUUUUAGUUUCUAGUUUCUAAAGAACUAACUAAGCAUUAAGUAACAGCACAAACAAGAAUGCAAAGUCACGAAAAGAAAGGACUGCAACAUAUUGUUUUACUGCUGAAUCAGCUAGCUGCUACAAUGAAAUAAGAGGUCUACAAUGUGAUAUUUCUGAACUUCCUUCCGCAGAAAGUUAAAAUACAUGAUUUGUCAUGCCCUUGGUCCACACGUGUCAGUCACAUGACAUUCACUUCAUUCUCAAGUCCGGCUCAAAAAUACAAAACAACAUUAAACUAGAAUAAAAUUAAGAAAAUGCUGAAUAGAAUAACUAAAUAUAGUGCGGUACAAAUCUCAAAUGGAUGGUAGUCUACGAGUAUCCAAUAAAUUUGUACAUUUAUUUUCCAGACGAAACAAAGUGAAAAAUAUUAAAUAAAAUUAAUAGCCAAAAGCAGCUAGACUCUAAUUUCUAUCCACUUAGAGCUAAUAAAAAUCAUCCUUAGGGUUUUCAACGUAAACCAAUUCAUACUCUUUAGAAUUUACAAAAAUGGAAAAAAUAGGUUGAGCAAUAGGUAGCGUUUACUCUUCUGUUGGACCAUGCAACCAUAGCUUACAUAUACAUGCAUAUAUAUCAAAUUAUUUGCACACAAUUCACAUGCAUAAUUAUUGAAAAUAUAUUAUUCGUAAAACAGUCAAUAAUAAUGAGUGACACAGCAACUUGUAAACAUCCUAUACAUAACCGUAUAUGAAAGCCAUAUAGUUAUAAAUCAUUUCAUAUCAACUCAUAACAAGUACAUGCAAUGACUGACUUAUGAGUACUCAACUUAGAAAUUAAACUCUUUUUAGGUGAGCGACCGAUAGGUUUCAUGACUACAGAUUGGUCUUAUUAUAUACAUAGGUCAAUCGGCUGGACUUUAUACCGAACUACUAUGACAGUUAAUCGGCCAGGUGAGUGUUUUCUAUUCUAAUUUGUUUAAAUAGUUUUAGUUAUUUUUUAGGAUGAUUAUUGUGAAAGCUGCUUAAGAUUCCAAUUCCAACAAGAUCUAAUCAUUGCUUUGGCCAAUGGGACUCACAUUGUUGGAUAUUUUAAUAAAAGAAUGUUUAUUUUGAAAUCAAAUAUAAUAAAUUACAAAUUCUUCAAUGAAUUUUUUGGCUACAAAUUCAUUCAUUCAAAAGUGUAACUUAUGUUUUUAAAGUGAGAUUUAUGGUUUGUGUAGACACAAAAUUUUGUUGAUAGAUCAUUUCAUUUAUUUAUAUUCAUUUUUAUUUAUUUCCAUUGUUAUUUUUAUUUUUAUUUUUCUAAGAAAAAUCAUUCUAUCUCAUUUGACUUUAUUUGAUUGGUUUUGUAGGAAAAGCAAAAAGGGAAAGGAAGAAAAGAAAAAAAAAAAGAAAGAGAAAAAACAUUUUUCUAAAAAAAAAAUAUUUUUUCUGCUCCGCACGCACGUUAUACCUUCUUCUCCCUCGCAUUUUCGUACCAGAAACAAGGCAACAGUACAGAAAAUUGCAGCUGGAAUUUUGAUUCGAUUUUUCUUCCUUUUCUUUUUCCCCAAGAUUACUAGUACAAAGGCCACUUCACCAACCAAAUUCUUAUCAAGAAAACUUCUUGAAAAAGCCAGCGAAUCGCCAAAAAAUAAGCAUCAAAAGAGGGUUUUCAUCUCAAACCUUGAUGGGAGGGUUUUGGGGGGUUCCAUCUCAUUUAAAUAGAAAAGACAUGCAACCUUAAGAGGGGGGGUGAGGAAAAAUAGCAGGAAAAGAAAGAGAAAAGAAAGAAAGGAAAAUAGAGAAGGAAAAAGAGAUUUCUGCAAAAAAAAAUUUACAGAAAAUAGUUGACCUUUGGGCCUCCUUUCGACCAAGAUUUCUCUUUCAAUAUAGCUUUAUUUGAGAAGAUUUUAAUUUCUCCACAAUCUAGGGAGUGAGGAGAUUAAGUUUCAUUUAGAAAUGUUUUGCAAACAACGACUGGAAAGCCCUCGAAUCUGACCCUAAAGUUGCUAGUUCGGCUUCACUGGCGCAUGUCCGAAACUUCAGCAAAUCUGCCACAUCUGCUCCUUUCACGUGUUUUCUCGUUCUGAUUUGACCCAAAAAGCUUCAUCGGGUAUUUCCCAACUUCUCCUUGUUUGAUUCGACUUUCAUGGAAGAGAUUUAAAGGUGUUCAUGAGAGUUUGUGUUCAAAAAACUUUGAUCCAUAUUUUUCUAUGAUUAUGUAGUUUUUAGCCCUUGUUGGAUAUUUUUUUGGGUUCAAAAUGACAUGAACUUCGUGUAUAUGUAAAGAUCCGCGCUUAAAGGCUUGAAAAAUGGGUUCUGGCGAGUUCCGGCCACUUUGGCCGGAAUUUUUCCAGUUUCUGAUGGUUGACUCACCGGAAAAUUCAAACUCGCUAGAAGCUCUUCAUUCCUUUUCUUUCCAUUUUACUCCGAUUUUUCCUUAUUUUGUUUUAUAUGGUUUGAUCUAUCUUGGGCCAAAAAGGGCUAAUAACAUUUUUUUCUGGGUCGAAAAUUUGGGUCGAGACUUGGGUUUUUGUUUGGGUUUACACCUGGGCCUCGGAAUUCAAGCCCAACCCUUGUCAUCAGACCUAUUUUAAUAAAAUUAGUGAGCUAUUUUAUUAUUCUUUCAGUUUUUUUCUUUGGGCCGAAGAGGAUUCCCAAGAAAUAAGAAAAUGGCCCAAAGGCCUUAGAAACCAGAAAAGAAAUUUGCAAUCUGGUCCUUUUUUUUGCAUAAUUUCACUGUGACGCUAAAAACUUUGGAUUUCUUUCAAUUAGUUUUCUAAUUUAAUUACAUUUUGGUCCCUGAACUGUAUCUUUUGUUCAAUUUCAUCUCCUAAUGUUUUAGAAAUUAUAAUUUGACUCCAAAAACUUUUCAAUUUUUGUAAUUGAGUCUCUGACAGCUUUGAUUUCUUAAGUACAAUUGUUUAUCUCAUUUAAUUAUUAAUCAUGUUUCAUUUAGAUGCACUUAAUUGAUGAUUUUUUUAGGAUUUUAUGUUUAUUCAUAUUUCUUUGAAAUAAUGGAGUAAAUUUUGCAACAUGUUUACAUUUUCUUUUAAAUUGUUAAAUAAAUUGGUGCCUUGACUAUUGUGUUGGUUUUGAAGUAUAAAUAGGACAAAUCCUACCUCAUUUAACCACAAUUUCAAGGGAGGCACAUUCUGUUAUUAUUUUAAAUUCUUUUAUGUGUUCCUAUGUAUUUUUUAUGUGUGAUUGCAUGUUUUGAAUGCUUUUUCUUUCAUUUACUCAUUUUUAUUCAUUUUAAGUGUUUAUUUAUUUUAUUUAAUUUUUGAUGAUUAUUUGGGAGGCAUUUAAAUGCCAAAUUGUAAUAGAUAAGUACCUAAGAAAUGUAAUUAGUUAGAUAAAUAUAAUAGAUAUGUUUAUUAUUUCCAAAAAUUUUCUUUCUAAAUUGUAGUUAGGGUCCCCAAUGUAAUAGUUAGUUUUUAUUUGCUUGUAUGCUUGUGUGUUUAUGUGUUUAUUCGCUUUUUUUAGCAUUUUACAUCUAGAUAUUAUGUCUAUGUGUUAUGUACUCUAUGUGAUUUAUGUGUUUAUUUACUUUAAUUAUGCUUUAUAUGAUUUAUUUAUUUAUAAUAAAUGCAUGACGUCAUCACACUAGUCCAUGUUAGUUGCGGCAUUUCUGCCCGAUUUCUUACUAGUCUAACGCUAGUGAGAACUUGUAGAAAUGAGUUAGUCUAAUGAUAGACCCUUUAGAUCGUUUUCGCUCUAGAUUCAUCUAUUGUGUGACAUUUAUUAUAUCUCAUGCAUUUUUUUCUACUUUUAGGUUAUUUUCAUUCGCAUGAUAUUUUCCCUACUAUUAUUCCCUUACCCUCUAUAUAUUUGAAUCAUAUCAUUUAGAAUUACAUCUCAUCUUAGGAAAUUAGAAAUAAACUAAUUCAUUUGCUUGACCAGAUUACAAGAGUUGCCCUCCAAAUAUGGGAAAUGAAUGAGUAUGACUUCAUAACCUUAACACGCUUCAUCACCUCUAUAAGAAAAAAAAUUGAGUCACGAAUUUUAGUUUCUCAUACCCGUCAUGUUACAUUCCCCUCUUCUAGGUCACGUAUAUUUACUUAUGAUCACCUUUUUGAGUCUCAUCUUUUACAUUUUUUGUGAUCUCUUUUAAGAAUCAUUUUUGGGUAUCACAAUUAAUAUGAUUUACAUCAAUUAAAUUUUGAAGAGACAUUUCAGCACUCCUGAUAUCCUUUAAGUCUAGAUUUACAUUCAUAUAGAAACAUCCAAAUGUGAUAAAUUUUAUAGGUUAGAUUAGAAAUUUUUUGACUAAAUCUUACAACUAACUUUGGUUAGGUUGAAAGUGUGCCUUAGAUUUGAGUCUAUUAAAUCUUUGUCUUCCCUUUUUUCAACCGUGACUCCCGAACUCUUUUCUCUUAUGUUCAAAGAUCUGGAGUCGUCUAAAAGGGGUUUUAUUUAUUUUUUAUUUAAAAAAAUAUAUUUUUUGGGUGAUUUGGUACAUCUAAAUUCAAUACCAAAUGACGACUCCUAUUUUUCUUAAAAACCCCUUUUUAGAUUAAAUUUUGGGCCCAAACCGUUGCAUUUUCUAUGUCCCAUUUUAGGCCUUUUUUUUCUUUCUUUAUUUUCUAAAAAUCAAAAACUCAUUUUUUUAAAACACCAUUUUCUAACGCCAUUUCUCUUUUAUAUUUAUUUAUUUUUCAAAAAAUGGGGCACGACAGUUUGAAUUGUGUAACCUAUAUAAUGAUUAGAUUUAUGAAUUCAUUUAGUGAAUUUUUACCAUUAUACAAUAAAUUUAGACCUUUUCAAUUUGUAGCUGAACUAUAACGUGCUAAUUCCUCUUAAUGUUAGCAUUUUAAUACUCAUAAUUUCUCAACCUAUAAAUAGAAGUUUCUAUCAACCAACUCUUGCAUAUACUUUGCUAUCUCUCGGCUAUCUUUUAUUUUUCUUUCUUUCACUGCUAUUGAAGCUUAUAGGGAAAAGAACGGUGUUUUGUGAGAUUUCUGUCUUAUUUCAAUAGUAUAGAUUGGAGUAGAUUACAGUGAGAAAAAGGUUGGACUGUUAUCCUGGAGACAACGUUCUGAGACCUACUAUACCGGAAAAUACUCCGUAGGGGCACGAAUCAUUUUAAAGAGAAUGACCUAAUCCGCGCCUUAACCUACGCCAAACUAACUUUAUGGUACAAAUUAUUUGCAUUUUUUAAUGGGAAAGAAUGCACUUUUCAUCCUCAAAGUUUGGAUGGUUGACCAAUUUCAUCCUCAAAGUUUCACCCUAAACACAUUUCAUCCUCAAAGUUUCGUAAUUUUGGCCAAUUAAGGACAAUUGACGGGAAAUGGAGGACAAAUUAAAUAUUGGGACCGAACUUUGCAAGUGCGAAGCACGAUCCGUCAGAUCCAACUUAAUACCCAACAUAACUAGGUCAAACCGAAUGGAGCUACUUUUUCUAACGGACGAAAAUUUGAAAAAUAGUAAAAGGAAAAAAACUCCAGUCUUCUCCUUCUUUCUUCUCCAUUCUUCAGACCUAAAAGUUUUUUUGGCCAAUCGUUUCAUCCACUUUUCGAGCAUCUGCUGGCAAGAAGGAGGGCAUAGACGGCAUUCGUGGAGCAUUUUAGGUGAAGAAAAAAAUGGCAUUGCGGAAAAAAGAGCUCCACAUUUGUCCACCCCCAAAUUACGGUAUUUAUACCCAAAAUCAACAACUACAUUGCAUAAAGAUAUGUGUUUUUUUGGAGAAAGAAACCUGAUAUGUGGUCCCUUGUGUUUGUACUUUUUCAUCACUAUAAUUUAUGGCUAUUUUUUUUUUCAGAUCUGGCCAUUUGCAUGAGGUAUAAAUAAAUUAAAAAAUUUGUCUUGGUCUGAUUAUUAUAGUGUGAAUGUGGUCAUUUAUGUCUGAUGAUAGUUGCUGCUUGACUAUAAUUUUGUGGUGAGAGUGAUUAAUAAACAAUAAUGCUUGAUUUAUUUUGCCGGCCAUGUGUAUGGAAAAAGUGUUAAAGUGGUCCUUGUUAGAUAGUUUUUGUGUGGGUUAACAGUUUGUUGUGCUGAAAUGAUGAAGCUUUUUUUUCCCUGAAGAGUCUUGUUUUCUUUAGCCAGAAACGGGUAGCAUAGUUAUUACAUUAAGAUGUCACCAUGGAGGACUCAUUUCAUAUACUCCUGAUCCCUAUUACGAAGGUGGAGAUUUGUGUGUUUUUUACUAUGUUGAGAGUAUAGAUCUAAGUGUUUUCGAAAUGGAUAAAUUAACUGAAAAUGCUGGUGUAUAUGGUCAUAAGGUGUACUAUGGUUGGAAAAAUAACACGUUUAGGCGGAUAGACAGCAGUAGGGAGUUGAAUGGUUAUAUUAAGGGGGAGGUUGGACCAAUUAAGGAAGUUAACUUAUACUUUGAAGUAUCCUUUCAUGAAAUUCUAGUGCAACAACUUGGUUAUGUUCCGUAUGAGGUAGAUAAGACAGAAAAUAAAUCCCAAAAUGGUGAUGGUAACAAUAAUAUUAGAGAUGAAGGUCAAGGAAGGUGUGCUGCUAAUAAUUGUGAUAAUGAUUCCAAUGCAAGUGAUGAGACUUAUUUUUCAGCUGUUGAUUCAAAAUAUGAAAUAGGUGAUGAUGCUGAUGAUGGUAUAUUUCAUGAUAAUGUUGACAAAAAUGCUGAAUGGUUGGGGGUAAACAAUCACAGGAAAGAAAAUGUGGUUCCUGAUCCUUUGAAUGAAACAGAGCAGGUUCCUGAUUCUGAUGAAACAGAGCAGGUUCCUGAUUCUGAAUCUGAUUUUGAAAGCAUCCAUGAGUCUGAUGAUGAAGAGUCUAAAUUGUGGUCUCGUACUUUUGAUCCUAAACAUAUUGACAAUCCAAAAUUAGAGCUGUACAUGUCCUUUACAAGUCUGAAACUUUUCAAGACUGUUGUACAUAAUUAUAGUGUGAAACAAAGCAGGCCUUAUAAGUUUGUGAAACAAGAUACAAUGAGGGUAAGGGUUAGAUGCAGAAAUAGUGAAUAUAAUUGGGUUAUAUAUGCUAGAAAGUUAAGUGGGGAUGGAACUAUUCAAAUAAGAACAUUUGAAGAUAAUCACACAUGUGAUUUUACAUAUGAUAACCCUCUUGUGCAUUCUAGAUGGAUAGCUAGAAAAUACUAUGAAGAAUUUAGGUGUAAUUCUAAAUUAGAUUUGGAGCAUUUUAGGGAGACAGUAGUGAAAGAAAAUAGGUGCUCCUUCACAAAAAAUCAAACAUAUAAGACCAGGAGAAAAGCAAUGAAAAUUGUUCAGGGCAGUGAAAAAGACCAGUACAGCAAAUUAGAAGUUUAUUUAUAUACAUGAAAUUCUAAGAUCUAACCUUGGUAGCACUGUUAGAAUGAAAACAGACUCAAAAACAGGGAAAGGCAGAUUUGAGAGGCUGUACAUCUAUUUUGCUAGAGUGAAGCAUGGUUUCCUAACUGGAUGUAGGCAAUUUAUUGGAAUAGAUGGCACUUUUUUGAAAGGAUCAGUAGGAGGAGUUUUGCUAGCAGCUGUUGGAGUUGAUGCCAAUAAUGGCAUUUUUUCAAUUGCAUAUGCUGCAGUAGAGGGUGAAACUAAGGACUCAUGGUGCUGGUUCUUCAAACUAUUAAAAAGAAUUAUGAGUGGACAAUAAUGAGUGACAAACAAAAAUGUCUAAUUAAAGCAUGUGAUAUGAUUUUUUCAAAUGCAGCCCACAGAUUUUGUGUGAAACACUUGCAUAAUAAUUUUUCAUCUGCUGGUUUCAAAGGAGAAGGUUUGAGGGGAGCAUUAUGGACUGUUACCAAAGCAACAACACCAGCCCAAUUCAUUAGCAGAAUGAAAGAAAUGACUGAAAUUGAUAUAGAGGCAGCCAAGUGGUUUGAUGACAAACCACCAAGUCAAUGGAGCAGAGCUUACUUUAGCACUCAUCCUAAAUAUGCUAUGUUAUUGAAUAAUAUCUGUGAGUGCUUCAACAGCAAAAUUCUUGAUACUAGAGAAGCCAAUAAUUGAAAUGUUUGAAACAAUAUGGCUGUACAUGAUGCAAAGAAUGCAAAAAAAUAGGGAUCUGGCCAAAGAGAAGUGGCAGACUUAUUUUUAUUGCCCCUGAAUUCUUCACAUUAUGCAAAAAAAUAUAGAUAGAACACCUGACUGUUUUCCAUUCAAGUCAAAUGAUGAUCUUUAUGAAGUCAACUGCCCAUAUGGUGACCAAUAUGCAGUGAACAUCAAGGAGCAAACAUGCUCUUGCAGGAAAUGAGAACUAACAGGUAUUCCCUGUCCCCAUGCCAUUGCUGCAUUGUGGAUAGCUAAAAAGGAUCCUCUACUAUAUGUUUUAAAAGUGUAUACAGUGGAGACAUAUAUGAAGUGCUAUGAAGGAUCAGUGUCUCCCAUGAAUGGAGAAAGUGAAUGGGGGCUUACUGAUGUUGGUGAAGGUCCUUUGCCACCCUUAUAUGGGAGAGCACCUGAAAGGCCUAAGAAGCUGAGAAGGAGAAGUGCAGAGGAGGUUCAACAAGUCAAGGAAAAAACUAAAAAGAAGGUGAUAAGAGUGGGACAGAUUAACAAGUGUAGAUACUGUUAUCAAAGGGGACAUAAUAUGAGGUCCUGCAAGCUUCUCAAAGAUGCUCAAGAUCCUGCAGUUGUAGAAACUGAUAUUAGUUCAAGCCAAGUUGCUGCUUCUACCAACAAUCCAGCAAGCCAAGAUAGAAAAAAAGCUAUAAGUUGUCUUGAUGACUUGUUACAUCUAUCUUUGUUAUUUGGUAUAUAAAUGACAUGUUUUCCUUUUAAACUGUAGGGAACAAGAAAAAUCAAGAAGCCUGCUGCUGAGUCUUCAAAUAAAAGGGUAAAAAAACCUGCUACAUCUUUUGAUUUUUGUCUUUAUGCAAUUUGACUUUUGCUACCUCAUUGUUUUGUGCAGAAGAGACAGCAAUGUACAAGAAGAGUUGCAGCUGCAGUUUGUAAUGAUAAUUCAAACACUAAACAUCAACAGGAUGCUGAGCCACUGGUUGAGAUUAACAUAACAUCCUCUGUCCCAAAUCAAGUGGACCAAGAUAUGUACGAAGUGUUUGGACUGUCAAGGUCUUAAGUCAAAUAUAGCACCAAACAAGCCAGAACACAAACUAAAGAACAAGUAGAGAUGCCCUUCAGGAUUAGAGAUGUUCAUAUGCAUGUUGCUGCUGCUGCCAAGACAGAUUUAAGUGUUCCUAGUUCAUCUAAAUCGAAGGGAAAGGAGAAACUAUUAUGAUAGGAGAAACAACAUGCUGAAUAGUUGCUGCUUUUGUUCAAGCCAAGUUGCUGAUUUUGUAAUUAACAGGACUUUUGCUGUUUCAACUUUUGCCUUGCCUAGUAAUUAUGGAAGUGCAGGCUGUAAUGUGAUAGCUUGCUUUAUUUCGUUUAUAGACCCGUGUUCAAUAAUAGUCAUGUAGUUUGCUUUAUUUCAUUUGGAAUGCACUUUAAUUGUAUUGAAGUUAUGAUAUAUAUAUAUGGCAGCUGUUUUCAUGUUCAUCUGUUUGUAUUAUUUGCAUUUGUUUUCCAGUUUGGUUUAUCAGUACAUGUGGGACAAUCUUGGGUUUAUCGGCUUGGUUUAAUUGCAUUUGUUUUCUAGUUUGGUUUAUUUGCAUCUGUUUGUAUUAUCAGUACAUGUGAUUUAUUAGUUCAUGGCCAUUUUAUAUAUAUGAUAGGAAUAACACUUUGACAAGGACCAUUUUCUUAUACUCAAUGCAUAGUUUUACAAACAAAAUAAAUUGCAGAGUUCAUAAAUUGCAUUAUUGCCAAAUACAUUUCCCUUCCUAAAUCCCACCUUUUACAUAAAUUGUAGAGUUCAUUUGGAACCUUUGUACAAACAAAAUAAGUCCCUUUCUAUUCCCUGCAAUUGGAUAUUACUUCAUAGGGAAAAAUGCAACUCUCAUUCCAACAACAAACAAUGCUAGUUUCAAAAUGUUCUCCUGCAAUUUUAGCAAAAUCACUCCAGUGUUAGCAGCAACUUGCCUCCCUUUACUUUUCCCUCGUCUUUACUGCUCCAACUUAGUACUACCAAAAUCACCAAAAGCACAAUUAUCGUAAUAAAAAAUUUCUCUCUCUUACGCAUUCUUUCAACUUGUUCUUCCAUUUUGUUAAUCUUUUUCAGCAAACCAGGAAUGAGAACUCUCCCUCUUAGACAAAUUAGCUCAUCAACCCAUUCAAAGUACCUGCAUUUCUCAGGUCUCUAUCAUAACAAUAAUGACAUUUUUCAGAAAUUAGUUAGCUAAAUUAACACAUUGAAUGACCAAUAUUUUUAGACAAAUAUUUCUUACCGGCCACAGAGAGCAACCAAGGAAUCUUCUUCCCAGAUUCUCGCCGCGCCAAUAGGUGCUCAUUUUUGUUCUCAACCCACAGUUGCAGAAUGGAGUUGAUGAACCACUGGAGACUUCAGAACUUCUGCUCCUCAUUAGGGAAAAAUGAGACUUCAGAACCACUGCUAGAUGCUCUGAGGAUGAAAUGUUUAAAGCUCCAGAGAUUGGCAAAAAAAUUUUGGGGUUGCAGAAAGACAGAGGGAAGAAGGAGAAGAGUGGAGAUUUCGUCCGUUGCAAUUGUUCCGUUAAAAAUGGCUCCAUUCGAUUUUGCCCAUUUUUUGUUGGAUAAAACCAUUGGUUCUAACGAUCAAUUUGCCAUUUCCCGUCAAUUGUCCUUAAUUGGCCAAAAUUACGGAACUUUGAGGAUGAAAUGUGUUUGGGGUGAAAUUUUGAGGAUGAAAUUAGUCAACCACCCAAACUUUGAGGAUGAAACGUGCAUUUUUUCCCUUUUUAAUGCAAUAUUGAGAUAUGAGAUUUUUGUUAAUUUCUUUGUUAAAUUUUAUUAAGAAAAUUAUUGUUAUUUAUAUGAUUAUUUUGGUCCAGAACCAACACAUAUAAACAGAGAAAGAGAGACAUAGAAAUUCAUAAUAUGAUUGACAAAUAGUAGUAUCAAGUUACAAUUGUAUCAAAUGCUUAAAUUAGCAGUCCUACAAUACAAAUUUUACCUAAAAAGACCUUAAUAUGGUUUUAGUGAUCCUGCAAUGCAAUGUUGUUGUCUUUUCAUACUUUUGCAGAUUCAUGCAAUGGUUUCAAAAAAUGAAUAGUUAGUGUAGCCAAUAACAGGAUCGCAUGAAUAAAAAGUAUCUCUGUCAUGCUUGUUGAGGGAAGCAUUUAACUAGAAUCUUUUAGGUAAAUCUGGAUUGGCCAGGAACAAAUAUCCAUGAGCAACAAGAUCAGCAUUACCUUUUGUUAGGGAGAAAAUCCUCGAGAAAGCCCACCAAAAAAUCCAAUAUGUAAAUUAAGAACUUUACUCUUAUCCAAAAGUUUAAGUUGUUAGGUUUUGGAUAUUUAUUUAUAUAUUAACUACUUUUUUUCCAUCUUUCGAACCAAUAUGGGUCACUAUUUUUUAGUGAAAAAAAUCAUUUUUUCUCCCAAUCAUUGACCCACUCUUUUUCAAUAUACAAAUUAGAUUCCAGACUCCUACCAACCUUUGAUUUCUUAGUCUAAUACCAACCGUACCCCUUACUAAACCUAUGGCGUAUCUAGUCUAACACUAUCCAAACUCCUUGAUACUUCAGUCCAUCAUCACUCUUUGGUCUAACACCAAUGGCAUCGAUUCCGAACCCCUGCCAACCUUUGACUCUUUGGUCUAAUACCCACCUGACCCCUGCCAAACCUAUAGCCCAUCUAGUCUAAUACCAACUAAAUUCUUUGACACUUCAAUCCAUCACCAAGAAGAGAAUUUUCACUAGCCCAACUUCCAAAUUCGAAUAUCACUUGUUAGGGAGAAAAACCUCAAAAUAGCCCAUUAAAGAACCCAAUAUGUUAGUCAGAAACUCAACUUUGAUCCAAAAGUCUAAGUUGUUAGGUUUUGGGUCUUUAUUUACAUAUUAACGAUUCUUUCUCCAUCUCUUGAACCAAUGUGGGUCACAAUUUUUCCUGAUGACCCUAACACCUGUGGCCACUGCUUCGCUGCCAUCUUCCCUACCAUAGCCACCUGCGACAAUGAAAUUACCUUUGAAUGCCUUCCUCAUUGGCAGAAGAGUAUCUGCACAUUCAAAUUUUUCCGCCAGAGUUUUCAUGUUGGCUCCACCAUGUGACAGUACAGAAUUCCAUAUUUAUUCAGGGCUUUAGCCAUGUAGAGACCUAGUGCUGCCGAAUUUGAGUCUCCUGAUUCCAUGUAAUCUGCAAACGGGGAGAGCGUAAUGCCAACUCUAUCAACUCCUAUCGCAUUGGAGACAGCUUCAACGAUUUCCAGAGCAAAUCUGCAACGGUCCUCCAAUGAGCUUCCGUAUUCAUCUGUUCUGUCAUUGAUUUGGUCUUUCAGAAACUGUUCUACUAUAUAAUAUAACCAUGAGCUCCAUGGAUCUCUACCCCAUCAAAAUCUGCAAAUAUGAACGGAUUGCAUCAGCAUUCACUUACGUUCUGCUCGUUCUCCCUCCUACAUCGCGUCUCUCCCAUGUUUAACUGUAGUCGAUCUAUUAAGAUAUGACCCGAAUUUCCUUGGCCGAGAAGUUGACUUCAAAAUUUCCUUGGCACAACUUCAACAUAGACUACUAGUCAAUGAUCUUGGAAAUGAAAAAUAUUUUAUAACAAAUCAGCAGUUUGAGAUGGAAGUUUCAAAUAAGUACUAUUUCAAAUGCAUUGCUUAUGUAAUAUGCUGAAGAUUUAAUGAUUGUUCAAUUUACAAUUUUGUCAUUUUCUUUUUAUUUGACUCUUCUAGCUCCCCUUCAAUAAUAUUGCUAUUCAUAGUAAACAAACGAUAAGGAGACCAAAGUUCUUUAACCUGAGCUCAGUCUUUCUCUGCAAAAAGGAUAAAUGAAAAGGUUCUCAGUUCAGUUCGCUUUUUGUAUAGCAAUACCAGCUUCAAUAGCAUUGGAUAACCUGAAUUCAUUGACAAUCUCAGGAAUUUCUUCUGUUCUUAGGCGUCGUGGAGGUGGAUACUUAUAAUCAUCUACACCGUUCUUUUGAACUUUGAAAGUUAAUUGCUUGUCUGUUGAUGAGAUUGGAGAUUGUCCAUUGGGCUGAUAACCUGGAAUAGAAAAAAAAAAGCAUGAAACAGAAAAACCAAUCUUCGCCUCCCAAGCUGCACAAGAAAGAACUGAAAAAUCUCAAUUUUAUACAACACUGCACAAUAGUGGAAAAAGAAUUAUGAAUUGCCUCCAAGACACCUCAGAGUUCGAUACAUGCUUGAUUCCAAUCAAUAUUUGAAGGUGCAAUGCACCAUCCAGAGAGGUCUUGUCAUGUGAGUCUUCUUUAAGAUUUGUAGUCCAUUUAUGUGUUGGGCAUUGGUCCAAGAAGAACAAGGCAUAUAGAGGAAAAAAGGUUAUGAAAAUUGUAACAAGAUAAGAACUCACUGUCAUUUGAAAUCCGUCCUGCAUGCCAAAUCUGGCAAAAGAAGACACCACCUUUGGCAUGUACCGCAUCUACAAUGGGUUUCCAGGCCUUAACUUGCUCCUUUGUCCAAAUGCCUGGUGCAGCUGGAUAUCUUUUUGGUUAUAAGGGAACACUGAGUUCAGAAAUUGCGCAAUAACCAAAAGAAGAAUAUCAUUGAGCGAUUAAGAGUUCAAAUAAGAAUGCUACUGUAAUUACCCACGGCCUGUUUUAGAAACUACGCUGGCUUCUGCUAUGAGCAGACCUCCUUUAGUAGCUCUCUGAGAGUAGUAUAAAAUAGCGUGUGGCUGCGGAAUAUUGUCGUAAGAUCUCAUCCUUGUCAGAGGUGCCAAAACAAUUCUGAAUGGAUUUACAUAACCAAAAUUGGUGAAAACAUUAUCCUUCAAACAUUUUCUACCUUAAAUAAUGUGUAUUGGUCAUAUUUUAAGCAUUUCUAUUGACCAAGUUCCUGAUGUGAUGAUUAGUUGUAUUUUCAUUUAAUAGACAUGAACAACUUGUUCUUAUACUAUUGUCUUCAGUAGUUUGUGCAACGGCUGUAAAGAUGGCAUCUGUAGCUCCGAGAACACUUUGUAUAGCAAGGGCAGAGGCGCAGAGCAUAAGGGGGACGGAGGAGGCUGGAAAAUGGCCUACAUGCAUGGCUGCUCUAUGCAUAGCUGCAGGCGGACCAUGCAUUACACAAUUCUCGUGAUCGAAGUUUUAUUGUAGUACUAAGUAAUUUACACAUAUGUACCCAAGGCACUGAAAAUUGGAAAACUCAAGUCUAAUAAAUCACUUUAUUGAAACUAGUUACCAUACGUUUAGGUAGUGGCAGAAGGCAACGUUAACUAUCACAAUGUCUCAAUUUGCAAACUCAGAAGUUACCUUUCAGGAUGCAACAUGAACUUCCGAUUUGUGUAAUAUUUGGAAGCCGUGUGUAUAUUUUGAGUUGAAAAUAAAAAACCAAACAGACCCCAAUCACGGGAAACAAUCAUCACCCAAGCUUUUCUUGAAGAAAUUCUGUAUAUGUUUUUCAGUUGUAUAUCUGCAGUAGAAUCUGUAACGAAAAAGCCGUAUGCUUUACAAUUCUGACCCAGCAAUACAAUCUAUAAAUAUGUGGUUUCAAGAAAUGGAUAGUCAGUGUAGCCAACAACAGGAUCAGGUAUGUAGAAAGUGGCUCUGUAUCAGAGGAGCAUUUAACUCGAAUCGCUUUGGCAAAUCUGGAUUGGCCAAGAACAAUCGUCCAUAAGCAACAAGAUCAGCACGACUUUCAGCGACUGCUUGAAUGCCAUCUUUCCUAUCAUAACCACCAGCAACCAUGAAAGUACCUUUGAAUGCCUUUCUCAUGGGCGAAAGACUAUCGGGAGUUUCAGAUUUUUCCCCAACAGUUUUCAUCCUUGGCUCGACCAUGUGACAGUAUGCAAGUCCAUAUUUAUUCAAAGCUUCAGCCAUGUAAAGACCAAGAGCAUUUGGAUUUGAAUCUUCUGGUUGGGAGUAGCUUGCAAAUGGGGAGAGCUUGAUGCCAACUCUGUCAGCUCCUAUUGCAUUUGAAACAGCUUCAACAAUUUCCAGAGCAAAUCUGCAACGAUUCUCCAGAGAGCCUCCAUAUUCAUCUGUUCGGUCAUUGACUUGGUCUUUCAAAAACUGUUCUAUUAAAUAGCCAUUAGCUCCAUGGAUCUCAACACCAUCAAAUCCUGCAAAAUUUAACAGACCAUAUUAGCCAAUGAACCAUAGCCUGCUUUCCCCCAAAUUUUCUUUGCUUCAUAAUUCGUGGAAUACAUAAAGUUAGAGAGAUAUGAUUGAGCAUCCUUUUCAGGAUAUAGUUCUCAUAUUCUCCGUUGUAAAAGUAACGUCAGAAUAAACAUUAUAUUUCUACUAUUUUAAAAAAGUCUACUUUUUAUUCAUAAAGUAACAAGGCAGCACAGUUUUAUAGGUAACUGAUUUAGAACCUGAGCCUCCAGGGCAAGCAAUUCACGCAAGCUUACUUGAUCAUUGUGCUCUAAGCUAGAAGGCAAAUUUUUUACAUAAGUUGCAGCAUCACAAGGUUUGUAGAUAUUUUGAUCUUUUAGUGGAAUAGUUAUGUUGCUUCAUUAGGCAAUUCCUUCUUUUUUAACUCUAUUAAUUAUGCACACAAAACGAAGUACACAACUCUGUUACCAGAUUUACCAUCCCCUUCAAAAAGCUACUUCCGAACAUUACAGAUUUAAAUAUAUAUUAAUCAUAACAAAAAUCCUUACCAGCUUCAAUAGCAUUUAUUGCAGCAAGCUUAAAGUCAUUAGCAAUCUGAGGAAUUUCUUCAGUCCUCAACCGGCGUGGUGGUGCAAAUUCUGCAACAUCAACACCAUUUGCUCGAAGUUGAGGAGUUAAUGGCUUGUCAGUAGAUGAGAUUGGAGCCUGUCCAUUGGGCUGAUAACCUGUGAAUGACAGUCAGAUAAAGCAGAUCUUAGAGGAAAUAAGAGCUUUUAUGACUCCAUAACCAAUAAUAUGGAUCAUUAAUAGGUCGAGACACAGCAUAACAAGAAAUUAUAUAUUCUGGAUUGCCUACGAGUCCAAUCAUUAUUUCAUGAAAGCUUAGUCCCAACUGAAAUUCGAAACUGUGAUACAUCAUGUGCAGUGAUCUGGUCUUGUCAAGUGAAUAUUAGAUAACAAUUCAUUUCUGAUCUUUGUAUGAAUUCCACUAUACAUUUGACAUCCAACAAGGUAGAAAAUUAAGGAAAGGUAAUGACAGAAGGACUUACUGUAAUUUGAAACCCUUCCAACAUGCCAAAUUUGGCAAAAGAAGACACCACCUUUGGCGUGAACAGCAUCUACAAUGGGUUUCCAGGCCUCAACUUGUUCCUUUGUCCAUAUACCAGGUGUAUCUGGAUACCUACAAUUGGAAGAAACAUAAAUCUUGCAUAGUGAGGCAAAACAACACACGUACUGCCAAAUGUGUAGGCAUUUGUGGAAUCUGUGAAUCAGUAAGAUAGAAAGAAAUACUAAAAUCAAUUACCCUUGAGCUGUGUCAGAAACUCCUGUAGCUUCUGCUAUGAGAAGACCACCUUUGGUGGUUCUCUGAGAGUAAUACAAUAUAGCAUCUGGCUGUGGUACAUUUCCAUAGGAUCUUUGCCUUGUCAGAGGUGCCAAAACAAUUCUGCAGGAAAUCAGAAAAAGAAAUGGUGAACAAAUUAGUUUCCAAUUUCUUUCUUUCAGUUGAAUUGAAGUAUCAGGAGCACCGGAUUCUAAAUAAUCCAAUCCCAGCAACAAGACAAAGAUAGAUGUGAUUAUGACAUUCAUUUAGCUAAUUAAAAACUUGAAAUGCUUCGUGAUAUUAGUCUAAUUCGUUGCAAUACUAGAUUCUUUUGCAACCAAAAAAAAAAGAAAAAGAAAAAAUGGAGAAAAUUGUUUUAAAGGAGAUAGAUAUACAAUGUUCACAAUCUCAUGAAAAUCGGCUUGGCAACUGAUAAAAAUGUUGCUCUUGGUCCAUUGAGCAAAUAUAGUAUAGAUCCGAAUUUGCAUCUCUACACUAUCAACGGGCAAGAAAGAUCAUUUUUAUGAACUUCAAGCCUCAACUUAGGGGACACCCAGAAACAGAAUCCUAAUCUUUGAACCCUGUUUCAAGGAAUUAAAGGGGAACCAUAUUCUCCGCUUGAGAUGCUCUGGCAAAACAUUUUACAUGAAUCACAUAAAUGUUUCAACAAAUCAAAGCUAAUUGACCAUCUGAAGUCUAAUUGGCAUCUAAAAUCAGCACAUAUUGACCACAUAAUGGAAAGAACAAAUAAAAUGCAACUAUCCAUCUUCUUUAGUUCUUCCUCCAUUUUUUUUUUUGGGUCUUGAAUUGGUUAUAGUUAUACUUACAAAAAAUAAUAGACAUAGUUGUAACUAGUUCAAUGAUGCAUCAACCAGAAUCCCAUCUGGAAUUUCCCCAAAACAAAAAAGAGAAAAAAUCCAAAAAAAAAGGAAAUACAAGAACAUUUCUAUUCUCCAUUACAGAAUGCAAUUCUUUACAGAAAGACAAGGCCCAAAAAUAUAAAAUAACAAAAAAGAACUGAAAAUUUCUAGCAGGAAAAUAAUAAUUAAAUAAAGGAAGAGUACCUAUGAGAAAGCUGGAAGUUGCCCAUUUUGUAUGGGGUGAGUAAAGGGAUGAUAGCCUGUGGCUGCUGUUGCUCCUGUUCACCAUUCUCAGCCUUAUUUGCCAUUUCUAGUUGUUACUGAACAAAAAUUUAAUUGAUGAUGCAAAAAGGUUUCUUCUUUCUGAUGUCUUGAGGAGCUUAAAGUUACAGAGAUGAGAGAAUGAAAUGUCUCAUGAAUAUCCCAUUCACAUAGACUAAGCAAACUAGCAAGUAGAAACUACCAACCUGGGUAGGGUCCAAAGAUCAUUUUUUGUUUUUGGGUUUAAUGCUUGAACCAUAUUUGUCCCAAAAUCUUUUGGUUUAACUUUUAGGCCGGUUUGGUUCUCACAUGGUGAUAUUUGACAUGAUCUAUUUUUUCAUACAGUAGCUUGACCCAGUCACAUCUUAUGAAAAAUUACAAAAAUUACAACACAAGGUAUAUGUAUAUAUGAGAAAUGUUUCGAUUUAGACUAAGGAUCCGUUUGCUUCGGGUGAAAAUGUUUUUCAGGAAAAUAUUUUUUUAAUUUCCCGUGUUUGGUUGCACAAAAGUUACUGAAAACAUUUUCCUAUGUAAAAUAUUUUCACUCAUCUUAUGGAAAACAACUUCCCUUCCAAACUUACUGAAGUUGUUUUCCGAAAUACAUGCAUCUCGCCUGUAGUAUGUUCCAAACUUAUUGAAAACAUCUUGUAGUAUGUUCUUUUUUUUUUUUUUAGUGUAAACAGGAGGAUUCGGACCCAAGACCUCUUCCUUACACUCCCUCCCCCGUACCACCCAACCCAACCCUCCCCCUAGUAUAUUCAAAAAAAAAAAAAAAAAAACUUCAUCCUGCUCAUCCUAUGCUAGUAAUUAAUUAUGUAUAAUAGGGACAUUCUUUUCUAGAGAAACUUUCAGCAGUGAGAGUGCAAGAUAUAUGUCACAAUAAGCAUUGCAUGUGAUUGAUAUUUGACACUAAAUGGCCAGCAAUUUGUUUAUUGCUUAAGGAGAUAUUUUUUAUUCAUAUAUACAUUUCUCCAAGAUUUUUUAAAGUUAAACAAUGAGAUAAAUUUUCUUAUUUUACAUGGGAAGAAGUAUGUAGUUAUAAUGUGUAGAAAGUAAAGAUAGAGAUAAAAGUGAAAAUAUUUCAAAAGUUAAAUAAACACCAGAAAAAUGAAGUAAGAAAAUAUUUUCAAUAAGCUAACCAAAUACCUGAAAAUGAUGAAAGGGAAAUGAUUUUCAUGGAAAAUUACUUCUACGGAAAAUAUUUUCCCAAGGAAAACAUUUUACUUCCAACCAAACAGACCCUAAGUAUGUGGCAAAUUCAAUAGCUAGUUUUGAUUAAUCUAAUGCAAUCAAUUGGACAAAUAAAGAUUUCACAGUACAAUAUCGUUAGAUUAUAUGUGAUGUGAAAUAAAAUUUGAAGUUUAUCACAUCACAAAACAUUAAUUUACUUGUCAUUAAAAAUUUUUAGUCACUUGAUAAAUGUGAUAUGCUAUGGUAAAUAUCUCCGAUCUGCUAAAUGAUUUAUCCGUAUUUUAUAUUUAAUGACAUAAAGACUCUUUUCAUUUUUUGAGUAUUGACAUCUCAUCUAUGCUUUUCUAAUUCCAUUUUCAAAAUUGCAGCGCUUAAAGAAAAGAUUGCACCAAAAACCAAACCAAGAAAAAAAAAAAGGAAAGAAAGAAAGAAGGAAAAAAAAUAGAAGUAAUAAGAUGACGUGACGUCAUUAGUGCUUUUUUUUUACUGCAAUGAUAAUAUUUUUAUAAUCUACUAUAUCCUAUAAAAUGACAUUUGACGCUUUUGGGAAAAAAAUUAUAUAUCCUAUUUUACAAGAAGAAAGAAUCUAAAAAGAUUGUAUAAAGAAAUAAUAUGUACACCGACUUGAUUACUUUGAAUUUAUUUCAAGGGUUAUUAUCACUUUACCCCCUUCAACUAUAUCACUACUAGCAGUUUACCCUCUAACGUUAUCUUUUAGUCACUUCACCCCUGUAAGUAAUUUAACUCAACAUGUUAAAAAAUUUUGGACAAAAAUACCCUUUUAUUCUAUAGCAUUACUACAUUGUUAUUACUACUUUAUUCAUUUAAAUUAUAGUGAUAUAAUCACUUUGAUUCCUAACAUUAUUUUCUAAGCAUUUUACUUCAUCGUUAAUCUAACUAGUAUGAUUAAAAUUUUUUAAAUAUAUUUACCCUUAUAUAUAUAAUUAAAAAUAAAAAAGUUGGAUGAUUAUUCUUCUUUUUUUCACUUUAAGAGAUCCAAAAAUAUAAAAAUAAAAGAGUUUUCUCAAAUUUCUUUUUUCACACUUAUUAAUACUAAGAAAAGAAAAAGAGAUAGGAAGAAGAAGACAGAAAAUUAGAUUUUGCAAAGAAAAAAAUAUAAAAAAAGUGUAAUAUUAUCGUAUUAAUUUAAGGUUGUUGGGAUUAGGAUUGAAAUCUGGUGGUAAACAAUAAAGUAAAAUAAUAAAAGUAUUUAAUUCUUUUUUAUUUGUAUUUUUUUAAAAAAAAAAAAUUGAGCUCUCUCUCUAUCUCUCCCUCUCCCUCUCCCUCCCCCUCCCGAUGUUUCUAUUUUUUUUUAAUAUUAAUAAGAUUGCCAAGAAGAAAGAGAUAAUACUUUGACUUUUUUUCUUGAUAAUAAAGAGGAGAAGAAUCAUUCUAAAUUGUUUAUCAUUUUUAUUAUACAAAAAGGAGGGUACUUUCUUCUAAAAUUUUUUAACAUGCUAAAUUGGUUUAAUAGUGGGAUAAAUUGUUUAAAAAAUAACUCUAUAGGGUAAACUGAUAAUGAGGCUAUAAUUUAUGGGGGUAAAAUAAUAAUAACUUUAAGGGCUAAAUUUAUCUUUUUACUUUAAUUAAUAAACUCCGUUAAGUUUGACCAUUAGUCUUGGAAGUAAAGUGACUAAAAAAUAACAUUAAGGGAGAAAUUAAUAAUGACACCGAACGUUAAGGGGGUAAAGUGAUAAUAACCCUUUAUUUCAAUAAUUACAAAAGUCAGUUGUCCAUUCUACUAGCAUUCAGUUACACGUUGUUUAUUCCCAUCCCACAAAUUUGGAGUCAAACAAGUAUACUGAAGAGCGUAACAUCUUACAUCAUCGAACGACAGGAUUUCCGUGUGGGGUCUGGAUUUCCGAGUGGGAAGUCGCGCCGCAGCAGCCGCUUCCGUAUUGGACGUGGGGCCGCCACGGCCCAAGUUUUUUUUCGCAAUAAUAAUAACAUUUAUAUAAGGGAAAAUGUUUAAAACGUGCCUCAUAUUUUAUAAAAUAAUUUUUUGCAUUCCUUACUUUUAAAAAUAUACUUUUACAUCCCUUACAAAUUUACAUUAAUUAAAUUUGAUCCCUAUCUAGAUUUUUCACUAGUUUUUUAUUGAAAUUUACCACGUUCCUUGCACAUGAUCAUUUUUUAAGGGUAAAAUUGUCAAAUUAAAAUUUACAUAAUCUGAUCCAUAGUCUCUUACAUUUCACAAAAUGAUUUUUUGUAUCCCUCAUAUUUCAAAAAUAAAUUGUUUCGUCUCUCACAUUUCACAAAAUGAAUUUUUUCAUCCCUCAUUGAUCAUGUGUAUGAAUAACAUUUUUUUUAAUUCAUGUAUAUAUUUUUUUGAUUUCACCUGAAUAACACGAAUAGCAUAUAACAUAUUUCGAUUUGAUUUCGUCUGAACAUACUGUUCAGGUGAAAUUAAAAAAGAUGUAUGCGAGAGUUUAAAAAAAUUUGUCAGUUUUCACUCAUGUUAAUUUCCUUUUACUCAAAAAUUAAAAACAAAGAAGAUAUUUAAUUUUAAACAUUAUCAAGUGUUUAUAUCAAAUUAAAUUUGGACAUAAACAUGACAAAAAGAAGUAAGUAAUUGACACUUUCAAAUUUUAACAUAAUCAGAAGGUAAGAAAUUCAACUAUUGGUUUUAAAGUUGGCGAAUAAAAAUUUCAAAUUUAAAUUACAAUUUGUUAGCAUGACUAUAGAAUUUAAGUUAGAACCGAUUAAUUAGAUGGCCUUAUUACACAGCUCAAUAAAUGAAUUAUUACCAAAAUAGAAAAAGUUACAAAUAUUGAAUAGAUUCACAUGGUGAAAUCAAAUAGAUAUAUAUAUAUGGAUUUAAAACAAAAUUGUUAAAUUUAAACUCAUGUAUAUAUCUAUUGAAUAGCAUAUAUACAACCACAAUUAGUCUAUUUAGGUGAAAUUAAAUAGAGAUAUAUUACAUGCUACUCGUACUAUUCAAGUGAAAUCAAAUAGAUGCAUACAUAAAUUUAAAAAAAAAACUAUUCGUACACAUGGUCAAUGAGGGAUGGAAAAAUUUAUUUUGUGAAAUGUGAGGGAAGAAACAAUUUAUUUUGUGAGAUGUAAAGGGCUAUAGAUGGUUUAUAUAAAUUUUGAUUUGAUAAUUUUGCCCCUAAAAAUGAUCCUAUGCAAGAUACGUGGUGAAUUUCGGUUAAAAACUAGUCAGAAACAUAGAUAGGGACCAAAUUUGAUCAAUAUAAAUUUGUAAGAGACUAAAAUUAGAGUAACCAAUGGAAAAACCCCAUUAAAAAAGCCACUGAAAGUGACAGUUACAAUUAAAUGGCAAGUAUAUGGUGGGAGGCAAGGGUUAAACCAUUAACCUCUCACCCUCAUCAAGACUUUAACCAAGCAAGCUGUUGUGAAUGUAGAGACUAACUACCCAUCUAUAUCUAUAUGUAUUCAGGAAGGGCUUUUUAGCAGAAACCCUCUCAACGCCUUCUAAAUUUGUCAUACUUUUUUCUAGAUUUUUGUAUUUAUUUUAAUACAUAAAAAAGUAGUGGGUUAUAACCCACCUUAUCACCAAUCAAUAUUCCCACUAUCUCACUCCCACUAUCCCACUAUCUUAACUCAUAUUUUUGCAUUUAUUUUAAUACAUAAAAAAGUAGUGGAUUAUAACCCACCUUAUCACCAAUCAAUAUUCUCACUAUCCCACUAUCACCUUAUCACCAAUCAAUAUUCUCACUAUCUCACUCCCACUAUCUCACUAUCUUAACUCAUCCUACAAUUACUCCUACAAAUUCUUUUUUUACUGAUCGACUUAAUUAACUUAUCGAGUUAAUUCCCUCACCCUCUCUCUCAGUUUCUUAUUUGUUUUGGGUUCUCUAUUGAUUUUGUAAAUGUAUUGAUUUUGUUUCUUUUGUGAACAGUAGUGGAAGAUAUUAUGUGCAGAGACUCCAGCAGAAAUCAACCUUCUUGCGGCCGGUUUAAUUUUUCAGGUCAGUCCCCUCUGCCUUUUAAGUAUGUUUUGCUUUUGCUUUGUUUUUUGUCAUGAAUGAUAUUGAAUUGAUUUUCUGAUCAUCCAUUAUUUCUGAAAAUUUUUUACAAAAUCUUAUGAACAGUUGUUUGCUUAUUGUUACACUGUAAAGCAAAGAUAAAAAGGUAUUGUUUGCUUAUAUAAUUGCGGAUGGUAUAGGUUCAUUAUUGAGGGUUCUACUAUUUUUAACAUAAAUUAUAUAUUAUAAAAAUUUAUUUGUUUGUAUUACUGAAAUUUUUUUAAUUAUUUUUUAUUGCACAUUUAUCACAUAAAAUAGGUGUUACGAUAGUUAUUUUCAUAAUUUUAUUCCAAAAAUGAUCGUGCAUGAAAUAAAAAAAAGAUUUUUUGAUAAUUAAAAAAAAUAAUUAAAAAUGAUUUAUAAUUGGAGAAAAACAAUUCAGAUACUACUAAUAACUAAGGCACUAUACGCCCAUUAUUAAAAUUGGAUUAAUUUUUAAUUUCGUCAGAAAUUCUUUUGGCAAAAUUGCAUUCUAGCAUUUCUUUUCUUUAUCAACAAUGACAAUUACAACUACGUGAUUCAUCUAUCUAGCAACAGCACAAUUCAACUCAUGGAAUAAAUAGUUCAUUGCUUAAACAAAAUGUUAGAGCCAAGUCCUACUUAACACCUGCAAGUAAUAUAUUACAAUUAGAAAAAAAAAAUGAUUCAAUAGGAGCAAAAAACUCACCAAACCCCUGACAUAUGUGCAAUCGUCAAGGCACUUUUGAGCAUUUAAAACUGCAUUCCUUAGUUUAGGUAACCACUUCUCUGUAAUUGUUUUCAUUUGAUUACAAUGCAAUUCUAUUAAAUUCUAUUGAUGCUAUUUCUAUAUUAAUUAUUGUAUUUUUUUGGUUAACAGUUCUCAUACAAUGUAUCACUAUUUACACAUAAAAUAAAUACAUAAACUAUUGAUUUUUAAUUUAAUAUAUAUUUUAUUUCUAGAUCAAAGAAAUGAAAAAUCUAACUGUCCUCAAGAUCGCCAGGCAUCCACAUCACCAAUGAUUUUGCGUGAUCAUGGUAAAUAUACAGUUUCUUAUAUCGUCAUACUCAUCUUACAUACACACUUUUUGGCUGCACUAUCUUGCUAAAUCAACUAUAGAUACAAUACAAUACAAUUAUAUUACAAUUGUUCGAUUACAAUACAAUUGUAUUACAUUCUAUUGAUGCUAUUUAUAGACAACUUAGCAAUUUUAUAGAUUAGCAAUUUAUUUUAUUUUAUAGAUUACCAAUUACUACAUGUACCAAAAUAUUUUUAUAUAGGGAUUACUUCAUUAACUAUGGGUGCUAAUAACAAUUCAAUUGGUGAGUAUUUUUCAUUUGAUUACAACACAAUCGUAUUAAAUUCUAUUGAUGCUAUUCUAUAUUAACUAUUGUAUUUUUUGUUAUCAAUUCUCAUAUAAUGAUAAAAAAAAUUCUCAUACAACCGAAAAAAGACGGUUCUUGAAUGAUAUAUAUAUUCUAUUAUAUUUCAAACUAUUGUUAAACAGAUAUUAUAUUUUAAUUUUAUUGGUAAAAUUUUUUCACCUUUAUUUGUUCACCAUUUUAUUUUUUUUCCAAUAAUGUCAGUACCGUGCAUAGCACGGGUAUUCCCACUAGUUUGGAUUGUAUUUUUUUAGAGGAUUUUUAGAGAAAUAUUACUGUAACACCUUUUCAAAGAUGCAAUGUAUGUAAAAUAAAAGAAUGAUUGAAAAAUACAUAGAAGAAUUAUUCAUGGUAUGGUAGAUUUGAUUAGAGUGUAAAUGUUUUAAUUGUUUUAGGCACAUAUAUCAUUCAACAAAAUUUCUCCAAGAGAGAAAAAAAAAAGAAAAUUACUUAUCGUACUCUUUUUUUAUGAGCCAUAUAUAUCAUUCAACUAAAUUUUUCCUAUAGAAAAAGAAAAAAGAUAAAUUCUUAUCGUACAAAUUUACCUUAUAUUAUCUCUUUUACUUAUGAUUUGAUUAGUUUUGAAACUUUAUCUAUUUAUCUUGCAUCUCUUUAAAAAAAAAAAAAAAAAAAAGAGCUUGCAUCUCACACGGAAGCUGCUGUAAGAAUAAGAGGUCUACAAUGUGAUAUUUCUAAACUUCCUUCCGCAGAAAGUUAAAAAUUUUAACUUAAAAUACAUGAUUUUUGUUUAUCCAUUUCUCCAAAAAAAGGAAGAAAAAAAUUCGUUAGUUAGUUAACAUCUGGAUUAUCUAGGUAUAUGUUUCAAUAAAUGCACCUUGUUGGGAAUCAUGGAGGUGCCCCCAGAUCAUGAGGGACAGUAACAACAAAUCCCAAAACAAAAACUCAAAAUAUUCCUCUUAAAUUUAUAUCUAUAUAAAUUUGAGAAGGGAUUUUGAGGAACAAGCCUUCACACACCUCCAAAUUCGUAAUUCCUUUUUUCUAGCAUUUUACAUUUAAUUUAGCUUAUAAAAUAUAGUCCUUUCAGCUCCCGCAUCUGCUAUUCAUAUUUGAAAUUGUUAGUUACUUUUUAAAAUCACUAGUAUUUUGACCCAUAUUUCAAAUUAAAAUAAUAUUUAUAUAUUUAUAUAUUGUGGUACAGAAUAAUAUAUAUAUAUAUAUAUAUAGACUAAAAAUUUUAAAGAAGUGUAUGUUUAACAUGUUGAAAAAAUUUUAAUUUAUAAUGAUUUACAUGAUAGAGAAAUUGUUAAUGCAUUUAAGGAGAGGGUUAGGUUGUGUGGUAAGGUGAGAAGAGUUUUCUUAAAAAAAAAAUCAAUUUAUCAGUACCCAACAAAACAUAUUAUGUUAUACCCAUAUAUCAAAACUUAUAAUAUAAAAAUAAUAAUUUAUAACCAAUUUAUUUUCUUCCAUUUUUUGAAAAAAAAUCUUUCUCCUGUCUUGUACCGCUAAAAUUGUUGACUGCAUUUAGAUUAGCAUUUUUUUAUAAACUUUAACGUAUAUUUCAAAAAAAUCUCUGUAAUAUAUAUUUUUAGAUUUCUCAAAAUUAUUAAAAAUCACUAUCAUUUUCCUCUUCUUUUAUCAGCCAACUAGUCAUGAGAUGCUUCCUACAACUUUCGUAUCUUCUAUCAUGGUACCACUCUCUUUUUUUUUUUUUUUAUCAUCCCUGUCAUAUCCCUAUAAUCCCCUUCCUUUUUCUCUCCCUACUCCGCCCAUCCUUGUAACCCACAUUUCUUCUUCAACCUUUCUCGCCACUUUUUAACUCCUCACCAUUUUCUUCCCUCCCUUCUCCCCCCAUACCCAACUUCUAAAUUCAUAUCCAUGCACCCAAUAUAUUUAACUUUACCUAUCAUAAUGAAAAUAUAAAAUUGAAAAUUGAUUACAAUGGUUGCAAUUAUUAGUAUCUAAAAAUGGAAAUGAAAAACUGAUAAUAUCUAUAAUAUCCUCAAGUACUACAAUCAAUAUAUAUAUAUAUAUUUAACAUAGCAAAUACAUACUUACAUAUGAAGACGGCAAUAAGAAUACAUAAAAUAAUUAAUGAUAUCAAAAGUUAUCCUUAAUGUUUGGGUUUUAUACUCUUAUUCAAAUCUAAUCAGGGUCAAAUUUGGACCAGAUAUAUACAAAUUAAGUAGUAUUUUAGGGUCGAAUGUUCUAUAUUUUUCUCUUAAGCUAUAAUGUUACUUUUUUUAAAUUUUUGGUAGAAUUGGUGUUGUUAUUAUCAUAUUUAUCAAAAAAAAAAAAAAUUCCACGUUAAAAGGCCAGUAGUACUUUGUUUUUUAUUUAGUGAUUUCAUAAUUUAGAUUUCAUGAAUGGUACCAUUCUUGAUUUUUUAAAUCCACGACAUUAUUUCCUUUUUGUUUUCUGUUUAAUUUUGCUCUUUUACUUAGGAUUACUAAGUAAAAAGAUAAAAUAUUAUCAUUUACUUUUUUACUUUUACUAAGUUUGGCAAUGUUUUCUCUUUAUUUACCCUCCCACUAAUAAACUUCAAACCAAAUUCUUAUAUAAGUGGAGCCACUACUUACUUAUUUAAAUUAGAAAGGCAUGGAAACCAUUUCUUACUUAGGAAAAUGUUAUUUGCACUUCAUUUUUUAUUUUUUGCAAUUCCACCAUUUGUUUUAUCAUAUAAUCUAAUUAAUGAAAACUAUAUGAUCAAAAUGAUUAUUGAAAUGUGAAUAACAAAAAUAGAGGGUAAAUAAUCUUACUUAUUUAAAUUAAUAAGAAAGCAUGAAAUGAUGUUAUAUUUGUUAUCUCUUGUUAUGGUCUUAUAGCAGUUUUAAUUGGAGUAGAAUCAUAAAUAACGCGAAGCAAUCGGAAACGUGAUAGGUUGAAAUUCAAAUAAGAUAACAUGCACAUUAACCAACAAUUUGAAAUGAAAUGAUUUUAAAAAGUAACCAACAAUUUCAAAUAUGAAGAGUAGACGUGGAAGUUAAGAGAAAUAUAUUUUAUAAAUUAAAUUAAAUGUGAAAUGCUAGAAAAAUAGAAUUGGUAGUGGGAAGAUGUGUGAAGGCUUGUUGCUAAAAAUCCCUUUUCAAAUUUAUAUAGAUAUAGAUUUUAUUUCAAAUUGUUAGUUGCUGUGCACGUGCAAGUUAUUCUUUACAAUUGAAACACGAUGUUAACUCUUUAGUGUGCAUGUUCCAUACCAUUUGAUUUGACUAGUGUGCAUGUUUUGCACUUAUUAUUUGAAUUCACUGCAACGUUUCUGUAUUUCAACUUCUUAUUUCCUAACUAAAGGGACAAAAUUAUAUAAAAAACAAAAAGGAAAUAAUAUUUAUUGGUUGUGGAUUUUAAAAAAUCAAGAAUGGUAUCAUUCUUGAAACCUAAAUUAUAAAAUUACUAAAUAAAAAAUAAAUUACUACUGGCCUUUUAAUGUGGAAAUUUCUAUUUGAGCUAUUCAUUUUUUAUGAAAAAUAAUAACAACAACAACAAUAAUAAUAACAACACUAGUUCUAACAAAAAUUUUAAAAAAAGUAACAUUACAAUUUAAGAGAAAGAUAUAGAAUAUUCGACUCUAAACUAUUCAGUUACUUAAUUUUUAUAUAUCUAAUUCAAAUUUGACCCUGAUUACGUUUGAAUAAGAGUGCAAAAUCUAAACACUAAGGAUAGCUUUGGGUAUCAUUGAUUAUUUUAUGUAUUCUUAUUGCUAUCUUUAUAUGUAAAUAUGUAAAUACUAUGUUAUAUAUAUAUAUAUAUAUAUAUAUAUAUAUAUAUAUAUGACAAGUAUCGAGCUAUAUAAUAAUAAAUACAAAAUAAAAAAAAUAUAAUUUUUGUAUAUAGUGGUGAGCAGGAUCGAAUCCACAGGAAUUGAAAAAAUUUGUUUCCUCUUGAGUUCAAAGUAUGGGGGAAUUUUGGAGAUACUAGGAAUUAACCAACUAAAUUCAGCAAAAUCAAAAUAACACAAAUAAAAUAAAAUUGAAUCAAUAAUAGCAAAACUUUAGCCAGAGGAAUAACUGUCAGACAAAGUUCAUAAACCAAUCAUAGAUGCAAGGAUGAAUUCAAUUACUUAUUGAUAAAUUAGUUCUAGGAUAAAAGCCAACUCUUCCUUAUUUUGUCGAUAGUCAAGGUACGACCGUUGACUAUUUUUCUAAUCAGGAAACAACCCUAAGUACGACCAUAGAAAUUUAAUUUUUCAAUUGCAUGAAUAAUUAGAAGAGCCUAAUUCUAACCAAUCAACACGCUACGAGGGUCUCUUUAAGUUAGAUUAUUCGUUCCCCUAACACAAAUAUAAUUAUGCCAGUUGUUACUGGGAUUAAAGCAAUCUAAUAAUUAUGGAUUAAAUCAUUUUGAUUAGCAAUCGACUAUCAAUUCAAUUCAAAUAUCAGGCCCUUUGAUAUUCGAAUAACGUAAUAAUCAUAAAUAUUAAAACCAAAGAAUGAAUAAAUAUCAACAAAUGAAAGAAAUAGUGUAAUUGAUUCGAUCUCACAGUUUGUAGAACAAAGUAUUCAAACUAUCCUCAAGCUAGAAAAAGAAUUUAGCUACGUAUCCUCGAGGGAAAUCCGCAAGACUAUUGAUAACAAUUGCAUAUCGUUUUUUCCUCUAAAACUAACGAAAGACUAGUAGGAAGGAAAAAAGUGACGGAUCGUGUCUGAUACUUUAAAGAGUCCUCCCAAAAUUGUUGCUAGCCAACUCCUAAUCAAAUCGGAAUCCUGCUUUCCUAAUUCCUCUUGUUUCCUACUUAACCUCAAUUACUAAUAAUAAGACAUGUUCCCCAAAAUAGAAAAAGGAAACUACUAAAGAUAAUAUUCCAAAUUUCCUAAUCCAAUACUAAGAUUAAUAAUGACAAUUAAAGUUUUCAAAAUCUUCCUCAAAAACUUGCCUUGAGUUCGACUUAGAUUUGGAAACCGGUCCCGAACACGUCACCAUUAAAGUAGCUCUUAGAAUGUUGAAAAAUUGCUUCUUUUAAUCACAUAUAAGUAGAAUCUAUCAACUAAAAUAAUAUUUGGUUAAAAUCAAGGAAAAAUAAUUAUAAAUUGAAUAACAAUUUUGCACCCUAUCAAUUCCCCGUACACCUAAAUCAUAUUUGUCCUCAAGCAUGAAAAAUAACAAAUCAAGCAAUCAAAUUCAAAUAGUAACUAUUACUCAGGUCUUCUAUUGCCAACACACAUUUAAAACACACAUCAAACAUUAGUGGUUAAGUUUCAAGAAAUAUCUCUGUAGUUAGUUUUUAAAACCAAGAACUCUUCAAAUUUCGGGCUAAUCAAUCUAAGGAUAUAAAAUAUUCAACCAACAUUCAUUCAACAAAUGGUUCAACUAUUAAGCAAAAUCUCAACAUUAAACUCAUGGAUCAACAAGCUAACACAAUUAUUCACACACUUGCAUAUUUUUCACUAUUAACUCAUCUUUUUUUUUCUCUUUUUUUUUAGGGGAAAAAACUUAGUCCUUAGUCAUUCAAAUUUUUUGACGCGAAUUCGGACAUCUGCCAAAUGGAGGAGUCCGGUUACUCAAUUUUUAUUGCUAAAGAACCCCAUGCUCAUAGUUAUCAUCAUUUUUUGAUGCGAGUCGACAUUUGUGGUGAAAAUUCCCGAUUACUAAGUAACGAUACUGGCAAAGUAUAGCUAAACAUUAUUAACAAACAAGUACCCAAAAUAAAAUUAAAAACCACACAAACCUACUUUAUUUUUCAAAUAUGAAGAAUUAAAAUUAAUAGCUGAACCAAUUUAUAUGAAAAAUGCCAAAAAAAUAUUUACAAUACCUAGAAAAGUUAAUCAAAAAUUGCAAAAAAGUCACAAAAUCUUAAAUAUUCACCAGAGAGACACCCUUAAAUUUAACUAUGUCAUACUUAACCCAUUAGCAUAUGAAAUCUUAGUAAUAGUCAAAUUUGAGAAUUUAGCCAUUGUUGAUCAAGAAUAAUCACAAAAAUAUAUAAGAAGUGGCAAAAAUUAGAUAAAAUUCGACAAAGUCGAACAAAAAAUUUCAACAAAAAUGCUUACACUUGCACUUUUCCAAUAUACUACCCGCCCACACCUAAAUCUUUCAUUGUCCCUAAUGUAAGAAAUAAAGAAUAAAAUACGAAAUAAAAAGGACAACGAAACUUUCUUGAUAAUUGAGGGGGUCAUGGACAGUUAUGGGUGAGGGGCAAAAGACAUGUGAAACUCGACAUUGGCCCAUCAAAUAUCCAUUUGAUGAACUUGGCCACACAGGUGAGAUGCCUCGUUGAGUAGUUUCCCAAGUUGACCGAUGAAUUGCUGUAACUUGUAAAGUUAAUCACGAGCAGUGAGCAACGCGUGAUGAUGGCUGGCCGGUGAAGAAGAAAAAGGAAAUGAGAGAAGGAAAGAAGAGGAAGAAAAGAAGAGAGAAAAAGAAGAAGAAAAAAAGAAAGGAAAAAGAAAGAAAAAGAUAGAGAAAAGGGAAGAAAAAAGGAAAGAAAGAAAGAAAAAAAAUCUUUUUGUCUCUUUUUUUUUUUUAACUUCCCCCUUAUUGGAAUAAGACGUGGGCACGUCUUGUUGGUCUGGAGUUUUUUGGUGGCGAGAUAAUUUCAAGUUAGAACGUGCUCUUAAGACGUGGGCACGUCUUGUUGCUUAGUCAUCUGUCAGAAUUUUUUAAAUCGAAACAUGAGCUUUCCAGUCAAUUAGACGUGGGUACGUCAUGUUGAGCAGUAGUCUUCUGAUGGUGGAAUUGGGUAUUUGUCUGUUACCACGUGUCCUCAAGGCACGGUCACAUCUUGUCGGGAGGAAGUCUUCUGACCCUUGAAACAUCAAAAAUGAAAAUUAAACAUACCAAAUAUGAAAAACUUAAGAUAACAUAAGGAAACUAAUUAUAAAAAUGAACUAAAAAGUAAAUUGGAUUGCCUCCCAAUAAGCGCCUUUCUUUAAUGUUUUUGGCUAGACAUUAACAUUGUUAUUCACGGAGGAUAAAAUCUUGUAACUCGUUUCAGUGCUUCAUCCUCUAUGCAAUCCUGAUAACUCUUAUAAAUAGAAUGAUCUUUAAGCACACUGGUUGUUAUCUUCCAUUGACUAAUAGAUGGUGCCAAAUAGUUAAACAGUGACUUUAAUUUUUCACUUGCUCCUCCAUCACGAGCACUUACCGGUUCAUGAUAUUUGGCCAUCACAACUCCUAAUUCAUUCCUGCCAUGAGACUCAAAAACUUCUAGUAUAAUAAAAUCAAUCUCACUAAUAGAAAUCACAGAAUAAGAGUCAGGGUAAUGUUAGUUAGAAAAUGGAGAAGGUGUCACCAUAUUUGGGAAUUGUUCACUGAAUUCUUUUACUUGAACGAUUAGAUAUUGGGGUCUUAUUUCUUCAUUUUCAACUGCAUCUUUAGAUUCUUCUUCUUGAAACUCUUACAGUUUCUCGUCACUUGUCAGAUUAAUUGCAUUAUUAUCUUAUUUAAGGUUGAAAAUAGUUUGUGAGGGCCAUGCUUCACAAAUUUGAGAAGUCAAUUGCAUUAUUCUAGAUGCCAAUAGACAUAUUUGAUCCGUCAGGUCACGAAUGCUCACUGUAGAUGCAAACAAAUGCGUUUGAUCCUCCAUCUUUCUAAUUCUUUGAAAAUGAUAUAUCAUUUCUUGAAGAGACAUAUCUGAUGUAGAUAAUGGUUGUUGACGUAUUCCAUCCUCCGUCUCUCUACUUCUCAUUUGUGUCUCCUAUUUAAAUCGAUAUGUAUUAGCAGUUAGUAAUUCCAUCAUUUCUUCAAAAGACAUACCUGAUUUAGAUAAUGGUUGUUGAUGCAUUCCAUCCUCAGUCCCUCUACCUCUCAUUUGUGUCUCCUGUUCAAAUCGAUAUGUAUCAGCAGUUAGUAAUUCUAUCAUUUUUUCAAGAGACAUACUGGAUAUGGAUGAUGGUUCUUGAGACUCUUACUGUUGAUAUUGAUGUUAAAAAUCGAUUGGCUUUGUUGCAUAAUUAAAGUUGGAGUUGUCCCACCAUCCUUGAUCAUAUCCAUUUGAAUAAGGGCUAUACCACGUUUGAGAUUAGGGUGAAAAAUCUCCAAAAAGUAUUGAUUGGGCCACUCAGUUCAUUUUGAAAUACGGGGCAUAUGUCGGUUGAAUGAUCUGAGGCAUAACAAAUUUCACAAGUUGCAAUAACCAAUUGAUCAUUAGAAAAAACACGAGCCUCAUUACCUCUUCUUGGAAUAAAAUCCAGUUUAUCACAAAAAUAUGAAAUGUCAGUAGCCAUAAACUAUAAAAAACGAAUAAGAGAAAAAUAAAAAAUAAAAAAAAGAUGAACUAAAAAAGAAACAAAUUAAUCAGGCACCAGUCCUCGGCAACAGCGCCAAAAAUUGACAGGUGUCGAGCCUAUACAAUAAUAAAUACCUACUCAAGAAAAAAUAUAAUUUUUGUAUAUAGCGGUGAAUAGGGUCGAAUUUAUAUGGAUUGGGAAAAUUCGUUUCCUCUUGAGUUUAUGGGGGGAUUUUGGAGAUACUAGAAAUUAACCAACUAAAUUUAGCAAAAUCAAAUAACACAAAUAAAAAAAAUUGAAUCAAUAAUAGCAAAACUCUAGCCAGAGGAAUAAUUGUCAGACAAAGUUCAUAAAAAGAUCAUAGAUAUAAGGAUGAAUUCAAUUAUUUAUUGAUAAAUUAGUUCUAGCAUAAAAGCCAACUCUUCCUUAUUUUGUCGAUAGUCAUGGUACGAUCGUUGACUAUUUCUCUAAUCAAGAAACAACCCUAGGUACGACUAUAGAAAUUUAAUUUUCCAAUUGUAUGAAUAAUUAGAAGACCCUAAUUUUAACCAAUGAACACGCUACGAGGGUCUCGUUAAGUUAGAUUAUUUGUUUUCCUAACACAAACCUAAUUAUGCCAGUUGCUACCAGGAUUAAAGCACUCUAACAAUUGCGGAUUAAAUCGUUUCAAUUAGCAAUCGACUAUCAAGUCGAUUUAAAUACCGGGCCCUUUUAUAGUUAAAUAACAUAAUAAUCAUAAAUAUUAAAACCGAAGAACGAAUAAAUACCAACAAAUAAAAGAAACAGUGUAAUUGAUUCGAUCUCACAAUUUGUAGAACAAAAUCUUCAAGCUAUCUUGAGAAUAGAAAAAGAAUUUAGUUACGCAUCCUCAAGGGAAAUCCGCAAGACUCCAUCGAUAACAAUUGCGUAUAGUUUUUCCCUCCAAAACUAACAAAAGACCAGCAGGGAGGAAAAAAGUGGCGGCUGUGUCUGAUACUUCAAAGAGUCCUCCCGAAAUUGUUGCUGGCCAACUCCAAAUCAAACGGGAAUCCGGCUUUCCUAAUUCCUCUUGUUUGGUACUUAAUCUCAACUAUUAAUAAUAAGACAUAUUCCCUAAAAUAGAAAAAAGAAACUACUAAAGAUAAUAUUCCAAGUUUCCUAAUUCAAUACUAAGACUAAUAAUGAAAAUUAAAAUUUUCAAAAUCUUCCUUUAAAAACUGCCUUGAUUUCGACUUGAACUUGGAAACCGGCCCCGAACGCGUCACCAUCAAAGUAACUCUUAGAAUGUUAAAAAAUUGCUUCUUUUAAUCACAUCUCACAUAAUUCCCUACAAUUAGCACAAUUAACCAAAUAUAAGUAGAAUCUAUCAAUUAAAAUAAUAUUUGGCUAAAAUCAAGAAAAAAUAAUUAUAAAUUGAAUAACAAUUUUGCACCCUAUCAAUAUAUAUAAAUAUAUAUUUGUAUGUGUGUGUGUGUAUUGUAGAACUUGGGGGUAUUAUAAGAUAUUAUGAAUUUUUCAUUUGCAUGUUUAGAUGCCAAUAAUUGCAACCAUUGUAAUCAAUUGUUUAUUUUAUAUGAUUUUCAUAUUGUGGUAGGUAAAGUUAAAUAUAUUUAGUAGCAGGGAUUGGAAGCUAGAGGUGAGGGGAAGGGGAUGGUAAGAAGUUAAACAGUAGUAGAAAGGUUGAAGAAGAAAUAUGGGUUACAAGGGUGGGCGGAGAAAAAGAAGAAGAAGAAAGGGAAUUGCAAGGGUAUGAUAGAUAUGACAAAAAAAAAAAAAAUAGGGAAAGUGGCACCAUGGUAGAAAAUACAAAAGUUGUAGGAAGCAGUUAAUAGCCAGCCGAUAGGUAAGAAAGAGAUGAAGGAAAGGAUGGUGGUUUUAAUAAUUUGAAAACUCUAAAAACAAAUAUUACAAAGAUUUUUUUUUAAAUCUAUGUUAAAGUUUAUGAAAAUUACUAAUCUAAAUGCAGUCAUCAAUUUUAGGGUCACAAGAUAGGAGAAAGAAAUUUUUUCAAAAAAAUUGAAGAAAAUAAAUUGGUUAUAAUUUAUAUUUUUAUAUUAUAAGUUUUGAUAUAUGAGUAUAACAUAAUAUCAUUCAUCAGAUAUUCAUAAAUAGUUUUUUUUUUAGAAAUCCUUUUCACCUUAGCACUCAACCUAACCUCUCCUUAAAUGGGUUAACAAUUCCUCUAUCGUGUAAAUCAUUAUAAAUUAAAGUAUUUUAUUCAAAUUGUCUUCAGCUAUUGACUGACAAUAAGCAAGUUUUGGCUUCAACUUAUUUAGGAUAUUAAAAUUAUGAAAGUUCAUUUUGUGCUCAUAAAAUAAUUUUUUUUCAAUAUGUUAAGCAUAUACUUCUUUGAAAUUUUUGGUCCUUUUAUAUAUUUAUUUUAUCCUGUACCACAAUAUAUAAAUAUAUAUAAUAUUAUUUUGUUUUGAAAUAUUAACUCGUACAUCGCACGGGUCAAAAUGCUAGUUAUUUUGAACAUGUCAAGCUCCCUAUUAGAGACCUUAAACUCAUACUACUUCAUAAAUGGCUUAAAAUCCUUUAUAGGUUAGUUCACUCGCCAGGGGAAAAAUAAGAAGAAAGAAAAAUUUAUUUGAUGUAUCCUACAGAUCUGAAUCUUACAGUCUGAUGUAUCCUUUUUUUUUGUUGACAAAACCAGUAUUGUCUUGGAAAAAAAGAAACAAAAAGGAAAAUUAAGUAUAGAGAUACUGCCUUUAAAAAUUUUAGAAGGAAAAGUUAAACACAAAGGUUGGAUUACAUUGUGUAGGCCAAUUGAGUGCCCAAUCUAUAUCUAUAUGUAUUGCGGCUUUUUAUUACAAGCAUCCAUAUGUCUCCACAAUCCCAAUUCCUUUUGCCUAGAAUUUUAGAUUUAUUUUAAUUCAUAAAUAUUUGGUCUCCCAAUUUUUGCUACGGUCAAUUCAUUUGAAAUUGUUAGUUACUAGCCACGUAACUUCUCAUGAUCUCACGAUUUUAAUUACUAUGCAUGUUUAGGUGACAUUUAUCCUUUUUCACUAUUUCAAAUUUACGUGACUCUUAUCCACUAACCUGCCAAAAAUCCACAACUGACGAUUACCUAUCAUGUCUUCUCACUUUGUUUCCUUACCAAUUUUAUUCUCAUUCGUCGUCCACCCAAAUAAGAAAAAAAGGGAGAAAAAAACACUGGAUAUCAUAGCCUGACCACGAAGGAAACCCAUCUAAAUGUCAAUCAAUUUACUAUUAUGAAAUUCCUUAUCACAUAUGUCAUAUAGAAAGCUCUCAGGUCCAGAUAAUCAUGCAAAAAGCUAGUUCAGGUUUCCGGAGCUGUGGGGGAGAUGGUUUGGUUUGGAAAUAAUUCAUUGUAUAGGUACCCUUCUAUUUGUUAUUCAUAGGUAGUUAAAGAAUAUUUUAAAAUUUUAAGGCCACAAUAGAAAAUGUAAGAGAGAAUAUUUAUGUAAAAUAUCCAAAAUGACAGGCUGCAAUCUGGUCACAAACCAAGUUUGAGUUGAGAGUAGAGGGAAUAGGUUGUGUGGAAAAAAGGAAGGGGAAAGAGAUGAGGGGUUGUCUCUAUGGUUGAUGAAGAAAAGGGCAUUUUGAGUAUUUUGGCGUGUUUUCUUAUGAAUAGUAUUCGAAUAUUUUUUUUAGUGUUUUUGGGAGGGUACUAUAGAUAUGUUUCAUUCAAAAACAACUUUAAAUUAAUUAACCAUCAUGCUAAAUGAAACCUUCAUUUGCACAGAAUGCAAAUUAUCAUAAUAGAAUAAGAGCAGUACAUUUUUGCAAAAUCAGUCACUAAUUGUUGCAUUUGAAUUAAAUUUGAUUUAUUUUUAAUAUUCUAAACCUUAUUCUUUGGGUUUGACUUAAAUAUCUUUCAUCGGUUAUCGAUACACAGGUCCAGGAUUGCUUUUGUAUAUAUUUUUUAUGGAUCGAAUUAUUUUAUGCAUAAUAUUAUUGGAUAUUACCUAUAAUAAAUGAAUAAAAUUUGACUUGAAAUUACCCAUAUAAUUAAACCUACAUAAAUUUUUCUUAUGACCCCAUACUACCUUUUUAUUUUGGGGGACUGGAACAUGCAACCUAUGGUUAAAAAUUAACCUGAUGUUGAAAAUAAUUAACACAUUCUACUGAACUAGUUUUUAUAUCUUUUCUUGGUAUAAACUUUUUAGAUUUUAAUUUCAUGUAACAAAAAUAAAUUUUUGUUAUCAUUAUAGUUUAAAAUGUAAACCCGUGCAUAACACAUUAGCACGAGUCAGAAUACUAAUUAUGCACCUAAUUAAGGAUGGCCGAUGGCAACUAAUUUCACUGUAUCUUCCUCGUCUUGUCGCCGCACACUUCCCUCCUCCACGGGCCCAAAAAAAAACUGUAGCCCAAGACCAUGCACGAUCCUUCUACACGUUUGGUGGUAGCGGUGCCUUCCUCGUCUAUUAGAGACCUUAAACUCAUACUACUUCAUUUGUAGCAGCCAUCUCUGUCUUAUGGGAAUUAACCACCAAACAAAGCAUGCGGGGUAAUCCCGGUUCCUUACAUAUGCAGUUAAAUCCAGAGUGUAUCUACUGCUCUUCCUCAACAAAAAUUGUUUUAAAUGCCAAAAAUUUUACAUUUCAAGCUCUUCUAGCUCGUCAAAACUUCAAUGAAAGGAAGCGUCUUGAAAAUGUGUACAUAACAUUAGCAGUAUUUGGAAUUAUGGCCACAUCUCUACCAUUCAAUAAACCAAGUUGUUUAAGAGAGUGCCCAUACAUUAGCAGUUGCUACUACCUCCUUACUAUAUCUUACAAGAGUUUAAGCAUUUCAAAGUUUGAAAAGAAUUUUCAACAAAAAUUACUUGAGUACUUAUGUGAGUGUUUUUUUAGCACAAUUGGCAUCCAAACUUAGAGAGAAGGUUGUACUUUUCUUGCUAAGAUGGGGAACGUGCAACUUUGCAACAAGUGAUCAAUUACUCAUUUACUCUGCAAUUUAUUCAUCUUCUUUUGAUUUCUGGUGUCAUGUGUUCACAUCAGUUGUAAUAAUCUUUAACUAAUAUAAUAUUUUCUUGUUACAAAAAUUAACAACGAAUAUCCUAAACAAAGAUUCCAAACAUUUCUCUCCAUCAUGGAAACGUUGGACAGACACAUUGAAUUGACAUUAUACAUAAUGUCCUAUAAUUUCCAGUUUCCAGCAAAAGGGAUAUGAGAUCAACAAGCAAGACACUGAGGAUUAUUGCAUUCAGAGGUUAAUCAAUCAUUGGUUUCAAGAAAUGGAUAGUCAGUGUAGCCAACAACAGGAUCAGAUGUAUAGAAAGUGUCUCUAUGGUACUUGUUCAGAGAAGCAUUUAACUCGAAUCUUCUGGGCAAAUCUGGAUUGGCCAAGAACAAGCGUCCAUAUGCAACAAGAUCAGCCCCAUUUUCGGCCACAGCUCUGUCGCCAUCUUCCCUAUUAUAACCACCAGCAGCAAUGAAAGUACCGUUGAAUGCCUUUCUCAUCGGCACAAGACUAUCUGCAGAUUCUGAUUUUUCUCCAAGAGUUUUCAUCCUCGGCUCAACCAUGUGGCAAUAAAGAAUUUUGGGCUUGUUCAAGGCUUCUGCCAUAUAAAGGCCUAGAGCUUUUGGAUUUGAAUCGCCUGCUUCAUAGUAAUUUGCAAAAGGGGAAAGCCUUAAUCCGACUCUAUGAGAUCCUAUUGCAUCUGAAACAGCUUCAACUAUUUCUAAAGCAAAUCUGCAACGGUUCUCCAAGGAGCCUCCAUAUUCGUCUGUUCGAUCAUUGAUUUGGUCUUUCAAGAACUGGUCUAUUAGAAAACCAUGAGCACCAUGGAUCUCUACCCCAUCAAAACCUGCAAAUUUUAACACAACACAUAUAUAUAGUUAGGGAAACGAACCAGCUUCCUUUCUCUAUCCCCAAUUGUCCCUUUCUUUCUUCAGAUCGAAAUUAGAUGCCGUACCUGCUUUUUUCUCACUAAAACUAUGUACAUGACUAACUUUACUAGAACAAGAAACAAAAAUGUGCAAAGUUCGCAUGAAAAGCAAUAACGCUGGAGACAGUACUAAAGCAAAAUCAAGUUUACCUCAACCGGAAAGAUGCUUGGCAGAGAAGAACAAGCGUUUCAGGUUUGGUGUUCUUUGUCUCAAAUGCUUGGUAAAUUUCUGAACAUCAAACUAUUGCUUCUUUUCCCCCCAAAAAAACAAACUUCUAUUUUUUUGGUAUUCUUUUAUUUUUUCUUCUUUCCAAUUCCCUUUGGAGUUUAAACUAAUUAAUCACAAGCAUACAUUGAAUUUACAGCAUAUAUGAUUAACAAUUUGACAUGAGUUGAGUAUUGGACGUCACUAAGAAAGACUCAAAUGCUGUAGAUUUCAUGAAGUUCUUUCUAUCCUAACAAAAAACCGUACCUGCUUCAAUGGCAUUAAUAGCAGCAAGCCUGAAAUCGUUGACAAUCCCAGGAAUUUCUUCUGUCUUCAAACGUCUUGGGGGUGAAUAUUUUGGGGCAUCAAAACCUUCGGGAGUUAAUGGUUUGUCUGUCGACGAGAUUGGGGCUUGUCCAUUGGGUUGAGAGCCUGUAAAUGGGAGCUUUACAGUGACUAAUUUCCAAUUUAAACACAGGACUAGAAACCGAAGAAAAUUUUUGCUUCGUGGUGCACGAUGAUUAUCAAGAAAAGUCGCAGUUAAAUUUAUCAAUAUUUUUUUCUCUCUGUUUGAUGAUUUUCCCUUUUCUAAUUCCAACAUGCAAUAACAUGAAACUAAUUAGCUUGAAAAAGAAUGAGAGAAGAAGUUACCAGAAACCCUUCCCACAUGAGCAAUUUGGCAAAAGAUAAUACCGCCUUUUGCAUGAACUGCAUCUACUAUGGGUUUCCAAGCCUCAACUUGUUCCUUUGUCCAUAUGCCAGGUGCAAAUGGAAACCUUCAAGCAUAACAUAAUAUUUGGAAAAAUUUUAAACCAAAAAAAAAAAAAAAAGAAAUGUCAGAAUUCGACAGUUCUGCUACCUGAACUUCUUUAUUGAGCGCUUUGGUACCUAAAAUUUUUCUGUCUUGCUACUCCAUUAUUAAUUUAUUGCUAAAUAUGUAUUCUUGAAUUUAAAUAAGAGUUUAGCAUGCAAAAUAACAUUAAUCUUUUGUGGCAUAGACGUUAAGAGCAGGAUCUUGCAUAAGAAUUGCUGCUAAAAUUACCCUAUGAGCGAUGUGUCAGAAACUCCUGUGGCUUCAGUUAUGAGAAGACCACCUUUGGAGGUUCUCUGAGAGUAAUAUAAUACUGCAUGUGGUUGUGGUAAAUUGCCAUAACUUCUUUGCCGUGUCAUUGGUGCCAAAACAAUUCUGUAUAUAAUUGACAAAGAUAGUGGAUAAAUAUCAUAAAUUAGCCGUCAAAUGGUACUAAUAUUUUCCAAUGAAAUCAAACUUCCGUAGAAAGAAGAGAUUACAAGGAAAAUUAAUGAGUCCUUUAUGAAUAAAUCCGCCAACUGGGGCACCUACACUACAAAGUUGCAAUCGGGACAAAGAAAAAUAAAAAGGAAGGACCAAGGAAUGAAUGCAGAGAAGAGGAUUUACCUAUGAAAUAGCUGAAAAUUGCCCAGCUUAUACGGGGUCAGUAAACGGAUUGGUUGCUGAGAUUGUUCCUUCUCUUGCCCAUGUUCCACCUUCUUUACCAUUUCUAGGUUUUUUAAUCAAUGCAACUAAUGAACGAAAACUUUUUUUAACUUAUGCUGAGAAGUUAUAAGAACUAGUGAUACAGAGAAGUUUAAUGCAGUAUCAUCUGGUUUCAGUUAUUUAUAUAGUUGAAGCAAAGAUUUGUACAAUACGUAGGUCAUGAGUGAUGCAAAGAUUUGCAUAUGAUAGCCGCUAUGAAUUCUAGUUUGACCAUUCUUGCAUUUUAUAGAGUUCAAUUUCCUUCCUCUUUCGUGUGUAAUAGUAAUAUUGAAAACUUGAACAAGUAUAAAGUAACAAUACACUAAGCCGGAAAGGUUAAAAAAAAGGCUUUGCUGAAUGAAAUUUGCAUUUUUUGUUUGGUACCAUGGUACUAAAACCUGAAAAUUUUGGUUUGUUUACUGGGCAUUUGAAACUUCUAUUUACUUGAUGAGCGUGAUAUGUGAUAGUAAAUUAUUCAUAUCUGCUCAAUGAUUUAUUGAAAUAAAUACUUUUUUCAUUUUUUGAGUAUUGACAUCUCAUCUGUGUUUUUCUAAUUUCUUUUUCAAAAUUGCAGCACCAAAAACCAGACCAAGAAAAAAAAAAGAAAGAAUGAAAGAAAGAAGGGGAAAAAAUAUUAAGUGAUAAAAUGACAUGACCUGAUCAGUGAUUCCAAAAGUCUAUAAAAGUUGUCCAUUCUGCUAGUAUUCAGCUACGCGUUGUUUAUUCCCAUCCCACAGAUUUGGAGUCAAACAAAGCGUACCAAAGACCGUAACAUCUUACAUCAUCGAACGACUGGCUGCGUGUGAGAAGUUGCGCCGCCGCAACAGCCUCCGUAUUGGGUUUGGGGCCGCCACAGCCCAAAGGAGUUGUUGUGGCUGUAGGGACUAACUCCCAGUUUGUGUUGCAAGUAUUUUUUUAGAGGAUUUUUUGAAGGAGUAUUGCUGUGACGUUUUUUUCAAGAUUGAUAUACGUAAAAUAAAAAAGAGAUAAAAAAUACGUAAAAAUAAUAUUUAUGGUAGAGUCGCUUAGAGUGUAAAUGUUUUAUUUUCUUUUAGUUACAUAUAUCAUUCAACAAAAAUUUUUCAAGAGAAAAAGAAUAAAGUUAUUAUACAAAUUUACCAUAUAUAUAUAUAUAUAUAUGAGAAAUCCUUUGGUUUAGAAGAGAUGCACAAAAAAUCAAAAAGGGCAUAGAGCUUUCAAGAAAUAUGAUGGCAAAGUAAAUUCAUUGUCGGAACCUAAGUAGCAAUGGCUUAUACUUGGAUAAACGCAAUUUUUAAAGAUUUAAUGAUUUAAACUGUGCCAUAUAACUUGGUAAAAUUGGUGUUCAGCAGCAAAAGUGGAAAAUCAUUGAACUCGCAAUCGUUCAAAUUUUGACUUCCAUUUCUCUUUCAUAGUUGCUUAUUAUCACGAUGGAAAAGUCCAGGUUCAUGCCAUCCUUCCGGUCAAAACAACUUUGUAGGAUUUUGGUCAAAACGCACUCAUUCGUAGUUGCCAGUUGCAGUAAAUAAUUGGUCGAACAAAUACUUUUACACAUGUUAAACAGGAUAUGUUACUUUAUAACCUAUGUUGUUGUUAACCAAGCACAUCUACGCAUGAAUAUCUCGACCAUAAAAGAAGUAAAAUGUUCAUGUUUUCCUUCUGUGUGCAUAUGUGGUUUUUAUUUAAUUUUGCAGUCAUUCAUUUCACAAUUUUUUUUUUCGAAUUCUAACCAUCAAUUCCUUCAAAAAAAAAAAAAAAAAAAAAUUUGUAACCAUCAAUUCCUCAUACCAAUCAUUGUCCUAUCCACAAUCCGUAUUCCACAUAUCUUAAUCCCUAAUGAUCUAAUCCUACCCAUAAUCCUAUUCUAUAAAUUUCACUUGCUAAUUGGGUUUUAGUUUCUAGUUUCUAUAGAACUAACUGAGCAUUAAAUAAGAGAACAAACAAGAAUGCCAAGUCACGAAAAGAAAGGACCGCAACAUAUUGUUUUACUGCUGAAUCAGCUAGCUGCUGCAAGAAAUAAGAGGUCUACAAUGUGAUAUUUCUAAACUUCCUUUCGCAGAAAGUUAAAAUACAUGAUUUUUGUUUAUCCUUUUCUCCCAAAAAAGAAGAAAAAAAAUCGUAAGUUAGUUAACAUCUGGAUUAUCUAAGUAUAUGUUUCAAUUAGAGGUGGCAAAAUGGACGGGAUGAGCGGGAUUUGCUUGGGUUUGUGAUGGAACCGAGUCAUAUAGGUUUGGGUCCAACCUUACCCAUAUGUGUUUUGGGACUAAUUUGGGCGGGAUUACUUUGGGAUGGGUUUAGAUUGAUCCCGCCCAAUACCCAAAUCUAUUUUCUACAUAUUUUUUUUCCUUUAAUUCAUUUUUAUUUUUUAUAUAAUUUUAAUAUUUUUGAUUUAUUAAAUUUUUUUUAGUUUUAUUAAAUAAACAUGCAAGUGCUUUAUACUCAGGAUACCUAUCAAAAAUUGGAUUAACAAAUAAAGAAAAAAAUAGAUAUACAGUCAUAUUCUAACAUAUAUCAAGAUGGCCAAGGUACUUAAGGUGUUGAAUAUUUAUCCUUAUCAUUGUCCAAAGACGACAGGUCUAAAUUGAUUGAAAUGUUGAAAAUUCUUGUGGAUAAUGACUAGGAAAACUACUAGAUUAUAUUCUCUAGUAUAACUAUAAAAAUUGUUAAAGAUAAUUUUUGAAUCUAAGACUCCGUUUGGAUUGGCUAUUUUUUCAAAAAAUAAGUUUUUCAAAUACAAUGUUACAAUAAUAUACAAUAACUCAAAAAACAUCCCAUCCAUAUUACAAAGUUUGGAUUACAAUUUGUAUAUAUGUAUGUAUUGCGGUUUUUUAGUACAAGCCUCCAUAUGCCUCCACUUUUGCCUAGAAUUUUAGAUUUAUUUUAAUUCAUAAAUAUUUGGUUCCCCAAUUUUUUGAAACAGUCAAUUUAUUUGAAAUUGUCAGUUACUAGCCACGUAACUUCUCAUGAUCUCAACAUUUUAAUUGCUCUACACAUUUCGGUGACCUUUAUCCUUUUUCACUAUUUCAAAUUUAGGUGACUCUUAACCACUAACCUGCCAAAAAUCCACAACUGAUGAUUACUUAUCAAGUUUUUUCACUUUGUUCCCUUACCAGUUUUAUUCUCAAUCGUCAUCCGCCCAAAUCAAAAAAAAAAAAAAGAGAGAAAAAAAACACUGUGUAUCAAAGCCUGACCAUGAAGGAAAUCCAUGUAAAUGUCAAUCAAUUUACUGUUAUGAAAUUCCUAAUCACAUAUGUCAUAUAGAAAGCUCUCAAGUUCCCAGAGCAAAAAACCAGUUCAAGUUCCCAGAGCUGUGGCAAGAUGGUUUGGUUUGGAAGCAAUUCAUUGCAUAGGUACCGUUCUAUUUGUUAUUCAUAGCUAGUUUAAGAAUAUUUUGAAAUUUUAAGGUCACAAUAGGAAAUGUAAGAGAGGAUAUUUAUAUAAAAUAUCCAAAAUGAUUGAAAAAAAUAUCCAAAAUGACAGACUGCAAUCUGGUCGCAAACUAAAUUUGGCUUGAGAGUAGAGGGAAUAGGUUGUGUGGAAAAAAGGAAGGGGAAAGUGACGAAAGGUUGUGUGUAUGGUUGAUGAAGAAAAGAGUAGUGAUCUGUUGGCAUUUUGAGUACUUUGCUGUGUUUUCCUAUGGAUAGUAUUUGCACAAAAUGCAAAUUAUCAUAAUAGCAUAAGAGUAGUACGUUUUUGCAAAAUCAGUCACUAAUUGUUGCAUUUGAAUUAAAUUUGAUUUUUUUUAAUAUUCUAAACUUUAUGCUUCGGGUUUGACUUAAAUAUCUUUCAUCGGUUAUUAAUACACGGGUCUAGGAUUGCUUUUGUAUAUAUUUUUUAUGGAUCGAAUUAUUUUUCUUACGACCCCGUAGUACCUUUUUAUUUUGAGGGAUUGGAACAUGCAACCUAUAGUUAAAAAUUAACCUGAUGUUGAAAAUAAUUAACACAUUCUACUAAACCAAAUUUUAUAUCUUUUCUUGGUAUAUAAUUCAUUUUCAUAAAUUUGGACAGAAAAAAAUACUUCUUAAAAACUUUUUAGAUUUUGAUUUCAUGUAACAAAAAUAAAUUUUUGUUAUCAUUAUAGUUUAAAAUGUAAACUCGUGCAUAAUAUUAGUUGGGUACGUAAUUAAGGACGGUUGAUGGUAACUAAUUUCACAAUAUAUUCCUCGUCUUGUUGCCACUUCUGAAGUCACCUCCCUCCCCCAUUAGCCCAAAGAAAAACUGUAGCCCAAGACACAGGUAACGGCUAGAAGUCCGAACCUAGGUUUUCAGGCCCAAACCAUGUAUCGACUCGGUCAAGCUCCGAGAUCAAGAGUCAAUGGGUUCGAUCAGAGUCGAACUGAUGAUGUCAAAAAUACAAAUUACUUAAAAAUUAAAAUAUUGUAUGUAAAAUAUCUAAGAGCAUGUUAAUAUCAAUAAAGGUAUAUUUAUAUCUAUUUGAUAUUUCAAAUGUAUUUAACAAGAAAAUGUAAAGAAAUUAGAACGAUCAAGUAGCAAUUUAUAUUAUUCAAUGAAUAUUAACAAAUUUAGAUUUACAAUUAUGGAUUUGAUUGAAAAAUAAGACCAAAUUUUAGGACAACAUUUAUAAAGUAUGAAAUAUUUGAGAUAUAUUAAUAAUUUUUAACAAUUUAGGAGUCAAAACAUAAUAUUGAAAAUGCUUUGACCCCACAUCACACUUUCCCAUUUCUUCCUCUACUCCUGAAUCCUGAUGCAUUCCAUAGAGCACAACUACUCGAUUUUCAACAUUCUCUUCCUCCUAACGCAUUCCAUUCUGCAACUCCUGUCUUCUUCUUCUUCUCCUUCUUCUUUUUUAAAUUUCAUUUUCAUUCUUAUUUUGUUAGUUGUUUAUUCUCAAACUCAAGAAAUAUCAAGUUUUCAUCUGUUUUCUUCAAACUUUUCUCUUCUCCACUCCCUUUUUUGCAUUUUUUGGGUAUUUUCUUCUUUUGAAUACGAGAUCUAAGAUUAGAUUUUGUUUAAAGAAAGGUUAAAGCAUUGAUUUUUUAUGGUAGAAUUGAAAUGAAUGAGUGAAAAUGGAUUUGUAAAGGAGGGGAGAGCUCACAAGGAUUUGGAGUUCGAGGAAAGGGAAAAAAAUCAACAAAAAGGAAAUAUAAGAAAACCUAGUUUUUACCAAUUCUUCCAGUUUCCGGUCAAAUCCAAUUUUUAACCAGAUUUGACUGAGUUUUUAUCAACCCAAGUUUUUAAGAUAACUCAAAUCGAACACUUGACCGGUUCUCGAUUCGAUCGGUGGACCGAUGGAUCCGGUACGAGUUUAAAAACAUAGGUCCAUGCACGAUCCUUCUACACGUUUGGUGGUAGUGGUGGCUUAUUUUUGGUCCAAGACCAUUCAUUUGUAGCAGCCAUCUCGUCUUAUGGGACUUAACCACCAAACAAAGCAAACGGUGUAAUCUCGGUUCCUUGCACCUGCAGUUAAAAUCCAAAGUGUAUCUAUACUUUUCUUGUUAAGAUGGUGUACGUGCAACUUUGCAACUAGUGAUGAAUUACUCAUUUACUCUGCAAUUUAUUCAUCUUCUUUUGAUUUCUGGUGUCAUGUGCAACAUCAGUUGUAUUAAUCCUUAACUAAUAAUGGGAGUGUUUGGAUACCAAAAUUAUUUCAAAUAAUAUUUCGUUUGCAUCACAAACACAUUUCCCAACAUACCUUUUUAUAUUCCCAAUCACCUUUUUAUCUCACAUACAUCAUAUCACAAAAAGUGCUACAGUAAUUAUUCCAAAUAAUAUUUCAAAUAAUACACUAUCCAAAGAGGAGUAUCAUAAUCAAAGAUUCCAAACAAUUCUCUGCAUCAUACAAACAUUGGACCGAUACAUUGAAUUGACAUUAUACAUAAUGUCCUAUAAUUUCCAGUUUCCAGCAAAAGGGAUAUAAGAUCAACAAGCAAGACACUGAGGAUUAUUGCAUUCAGAGGUUAAUCAAUCAUUGGUUUCAAGAAAUGGAUAGUCAGUGUAGCCAACAACAGGAUCAGAUGUAUAGAAAGUGUCUCUAUGGUACUUGUUCAGAGAAGCAUUUAACUCGAAUCUUCUGGGCAAAUCUGGAUUGGCCAAGAACAAGCGUCCAUAUGCAACAAGAUCAGCCUGAUUUUCGGCCACAGCUCUGUCGCCAUCUUCCCUAUUAUAACCGCCAGCAGCAAUGAAAGUACCGUUGAAUGCCUUUCUCAUCGGCAUAAGACUAUCUGCAGUUUCCGAUUUUUCUCCAAGAGUUUUCAUCCUCGGCUCAACCAUGUGGCAAUAAAGAAUUUUGUGCUUGUUCAAGGCUUCCGCCAUGUAAAGGCCUAGAGCUUUUGCAUUUGAAUCGCCCGCUUCAUUGUAAUUUGCAAAAGGGGAAAGCCUUAAUCCGACUCUAUGAGAUCCUAUUGCAUCUGAAACAGCUUCAACUAUUUCUAAAGCAAAUCUGCAACGGUUCUCCAAGGAACCUCCAUAUUCGUCUGUUCGAUCAUUGAUUUGGUCUUUCAAGAACUGGUCUAUUAGAAAACCAUGAGCACCAUGGAUCUCUACCCCAUCAAAACCUGCAAAUUUUAACACAACACAUGUAGUUAGGGAAAUGAACCGGCUUCCUUUCUCUUUCUCCAAUUGUCGCUUUCCUUCUUCAGAUCGAAAUCAAAUGCUGUACCUGCUUUUUUCUCACUAGAACUAUGUACUGAUGUACAUGACUAACUCUACUAGAACAAGAAACAAAAAUAUGCAAGUUCACAUGAGAAGCAAUAACGCUGGAGACAGUACUAAAGCAAAAUCAAGUUUACCUCAACCGGAAAAAUGCUUGGCAGAGAAGAACAAGUGUUUCGGGUUUGGUGUUCUUUGUCUCAACUCUCAAAUGCUUGGUAAAUUUCUGAACAUCAAACUAUUGCUUCUUUUCCCCCAAAGAAAACAAACUUUUAUUUUUUCUUCUUUCCAACUCCCUUUAGAGUUUAAACUAAUUAAUCACAAGCAUACAUUGAAUUUGCAGUGUAUAUGAUUAACAAUUUGACAUGAGUUGAAUAUUGGACGUCACUAAGAAAGACUCAAAUGCUGUAGAUUUCAUGAAGUUCUUUCUAUCCUAACCAAAAACCGUACCUGCUUCAAUGGCAUUAAUAGCAGCAAGCCUGAAAUCGUUGACAAUCCCAGGAAUUUCUUCUGUCUUUAAACGUCUUGGGGGUGAAUAUUUUGGGGCAUCAAAACCUUCGGGAGUUAAUGGUUUGUCUGUCGACGAGAUUGGAGCUUGUCCAUUGGGCUGAGAGUCUGUAAAUGGGAGCUUCACAGUGACUAGUUUCCAAUUUUAAACAGUGGACAAGAAACCAAAGAAAAUUUUUGUUUCCUGGUGCAGGAUGAUUAUCAAGAAAGGUUGCAGUUAAACUUUUCUAUAUAUAUUUUUUCUCUCUGUUUGAUGAUUUUCCCUUUUAUAAUUCCAACAUGCAAUUACAUGAAACUAAUUAGCUUGAGAAAGAAUGAGAGAAGAAGUUACCAGAACUAGAAACCCUUCCCACAUGAAAAAUUUGGCAAAAGAUAAUACCGCCUUUUGCAUGAACUGCAUCUACUAUGGGUUUCCAAGCCUCAACUUGUUCCUUUGUCCAUAUGCCAGGUGAAAAUGGAAUCCUUCAAGCAUAACAUAAUAUUGGCAAAAUUUUCAACCAAAAAAACAAAGAAAUGUCAGAAUUUGACAGUUUUGCUACCUGAACUUCUUUAUUGAGCGCUUUGGUACCUAAAAUUUUUCUUUCUUGCUACUCCAUUAUUAAUUUAUUGCUAAAUAUGUAUUCUUGAAUUUAAAUAAGAGUUUAGGAUGCAAAAUAACAUUAAUCUUUUGUGGUAUAGACGUUAAGAGCAGGGUCUUGCAUAAGAAUUGCUGCUAAAAUUACCCUAUGAGCGAUGUGUCAGAAACUCCUGCGGCUUCAGUUAUGAUAAGACCACCUCUGGAGGUUCUCUGAGAGUAAUAUAAUACUGCAUGUGGUUGUGGUAAAUUGCCAUAACUUCUUUGCCUUGCCAUUGGUGCCAAAACAAUUCUGCAUAUAAUUGACAAAGAUAGUGGAUAAAUAUCAUAAAUUAGCCUUCAAAUUAGAAAAUAGUACUAAUACUUUCCAAUGAAAUCAAACUUGUAUAAAAAAGAAGAGUUUACAAGGAAAAUUAAUGAGUACUUAUGAAUAAAUCCGCCGAAUGGGGCACCUACACUACAAAGUUUCAGUCGUGACAAAGAAAGAUAAAAGGAAGGACCAAGGAAUGAAUGCGGAGAAGAGGAUGUACCUAUGAAAUAGCUGAAAAUUGCCCAGCUUAUAUGGGGUCAGUAAAGGGAUUGGUUGCUGAGAUUGUUCCUUCUCUUGCCCAUCUUCCAUCUUCUUUCCCAUUUCUAGAUUUGUUAUUAAUGCAACUAAUGAACCAAAAAAAUUUUUUCCCUUGUGCUCAAAAGUUAAAAGAACUAGUGAUACAGAGAUGUUUAACGCUGUAUCAUCUGGUUUCAGUUAUUUAUAUAGUUGAAGCAAAGACUUGUACGAUACAUAGGUCAUGAGUGAUGCAAAGAUUUGCAUAUGAUAGCCAAAAUGAAGUCUAGUUUGACCGUUCUUGCAUUUUAUAGAGUUCAAUUUCCCUCCUCUUUUAUGUGUAAUAGUAAAAUUGAAAAGGGCAAAUUACACUUUACCCCCUUGUGGUUUAGUGUUUUAUUACAUAUCCCCUCAUAUGGUUUCAAAAAUUAUACAUAAUCUCCUCAUGAUUUGGAUUAAAGUAUCAAAGUGACGGAAUUUGCAAUCAUAACGGAGUCAACUAAAAUAUAAAAAAAAUACUCCUAUGUAAAGUUAAAAAUUAUUUAUUAACCACAGGGGGGUUAUGUAUAUAUAUUGAAAAUCAUAAAGGGGCUAUAUGAUAAAGUACUAAACCAUAAAGGCAUUAUAUGGUAAAAUACAAAAUCAUACGGGAUUAAAGUGUCAUGCAUAUUAUAUUUAUAUAUUUUGAUUACUUAAGCCAUUUUAGUUUAUAAACAAGGAUAAUUUUGAUAUUUUUAUAGGUUCCGUCAUGGAUGAUCAUUUCUAGGGAUGGCAAUGGGGGCGGGUGCCCGCGGGCAACCGCCCCGCGGGGGGCUCUCGGGGCGGGGGGUGGGGCGGGGGCGGGGGGGAAUUUUUUCCCCCCGUUUAGAAACGGGGCGGGGGGCGGGGGAGUAUACCCCUGCCCCAUCCCCCGCCCCGCCACCCGCAAAAAAAAAAGUAUAUAUAUAUAAAUAAAUAUAUAUAAUGUGUAAUUUAAUUAGUUAUAAACUUAUGAUAAUGAUAUUAUUAGUUAGAUGUAUUAUAUAAUGUAUAUUAGUGUAUGUAAUAUAAUUGAUAUUAUCAAUUAUAUGAAUAAUUAGACAUGUCUACUAAUAGAAUUUAUUAAUUAGUUAUACUAAAUUUACUAAUACAUUUAUACUAAAUUUCUAAUUACACUUAAUAGAAUAACACUUUUUUUUUAAAAAAAGCACAAACACAAUAAUGAAUUAGUGAUUAAAAAAAGCACAAACACAAUAAUGAAUUAGUGAUUGUAUUUGUACCAAAAGUGAAAACUUGACUAUUUUAGUUGUAUUUAUUUCAUCAUGUUGGAUUGUAUUCAAAUAACUUUUGUUUGAUUGUUUUUAUGAGUUUCAAUUGUAAAAUUACAAAGAAUAAUAACUUGAUGAUGUGUUGAUAUUUUAGUACUUGAUUAUUUAUUAAAAUUUAACAAUAAUAAAAUUUUAUUAACCCCGCGAGGACAAUUUUAUUAACCCCGCGGGGGCACCCGCGGGGGAAGCGGGGCGGGGGGAGUGGGAGGCGGGGGACGGGGCGGGGGUCGGGGGGAAUUAAUAGGCAACGGGGCGGGGGGUGGGGGAGGGGUCCCCCGCCCCGUUGCCAUCCCUAAUCAUUUCUGUCAUUUUGACACUUUGAUCCAAACUAUUAGGGAGUUAUAUAUAACUUUAAAACUAGAUGGGAGUUAUAUGAAAAUUAGCUAUAUCACAGGAGGAUAACGUGUAAUUUGCCCUAUUGAAAACUUGAACAAGUAUAAAGUUACAAUACACUAAGCCAGAAAGGUUUUUAAAAAAAUGGCUUUGCUUACUGAAAUUUGCAUUUUUGUUUGGUACUAUGGUAUUAAAACCUGAAAAAGGUGGGUCAAUCCUCAACGUUGAAUAAUCAUCUUCUGAAAACUUCUAAACAUUACGAAUGAGCAAGUGUAACAAAAUUACUACAGCAGGAUUAAUUUUAAUUAGUGUUAUUCGAUAAAAUGUAAUGUUGUUAUACUCGGAUUAGAUAGCGAUUCGGCUAAACUAUUGGGUCAAAGAUCAAUUGGUUGGAUUGGAUGGACCAUUCUCCAAAAUUAUAUAAAAAGUGAAUUCAUGUCUAAAAUAUGUCAAUUCUCCAAAAUUACUUGAAAAACUAAAUUAAAACAAAUCAUACUCAAUUCGAGAUCUUUUUGUUGAGAAUAUGGCUUUAUAAUGCAAGUUGGAAUCAUUGAUGAUAAAUUGAUAAGAGGAUAGGGAUGAAAACUUCUUGAUUUAUAGAUUAAUUAGCGAAGCGAGUGAUUUUGAUAUUUACAUCAAGUGGAUGGUGUUUUUGUAUUCCUAUUAAUAAAUGAAAAUUUUACAAUUUAAAUAACUUAAAUUAUGUUUCGAGAAAAUAAUAAAAAAAAUUUGAGAAUCGAGUUAAACAGUUGAAUCAGGUUAUUGAUUUGACCCAUUUUUUACGAUUUUGACUGAUUUUUACCAAUAUAAUUUUGUGUUAUUAACCAGUUAGGGAAGACGGUUGGUUUACAGUCCAACUGACCGAUCCGAUCCGGAUGUAACAACACUGAUAAUAAGUGGAUGUGUGAUACUUGGUCAAUGUUCAAAAAUUAUCUAUGAGAAAGUAAAAUAGCCCAUUUCUAUACGCCUUUUUGGACUCAAAACUUUAGAAAAUCAAAAAAAGACACCACAUGAUACCCUGAAUGUUUGACUUAAUUUGAUCUAUAGAAAGUCAAAAAAAAAACCUCUUAAUUUUUCUUUUUCCAAGAACUGAGGUGAUAAAUGACAAAUCGAUCUCGACGACCCAAAAACGACAAGCACUGACAGUUGAUGCGUCAUUGCUCUGCUCUGAUUAUUGGCGUUUUCAAUUUGUGGGGACACACUAGUGCACCUGCCAUUGACUGUAUAAUUCUGUAUAGUUGACAUUACAAGGCCGCUAACAAAUACAUCAAUUGCAAAUUUAUACAAAGAUUCAAUAUCGUGGCAAUCAUUCUAGCGGAAGUAAUUAGAGAAGGAUUUGUUUUUAAGUAGGAGGUUUAGAAUCGAAAUCUCUAACUCACACUCUCUUUCUAUUCAUAUCGUUCAAUCCAAUCCUUUCAUAGUAAUUAAAGAAGGUUUAAUUUCACUUUUUAUCGUAUGACAAGUUUAUUCUUGAAAACAACGAAAAGGUCCUAUAAAAAAAUGAAUUUCCCUUGUGGUAAAGGAACUCCAUAGGGGUUGAAGAAAAUGGAAUAGAGGAUUGGAACCGGCUAUAUUUGUGGUUGUAUUUAUAAUUUGAUAGAAUUUUAUCUUGUAAUCAAAUUUUUAAUUUGAUAUGAUUUUAUCUUUUAUAACAUUUAUUAUGAUGUAGAAACUUUUACAUAAGCUCCGAGCAACGUAAAUGAAAGUGGAACAUAAUGAGAAACAACAUCCUUUCCAAAAUUUAAGAUAAAUAGCAGUAACAUCCCUUAACAUUUGAUCCCAAAACCACUUUGGUCCUAACCAAAAAAACUGCUGAAAUUCUCCUCUGGCAACGAAGGAGGAUCCGCAACCGGAAUAAGUACUCCAAAAAUUGCACAGCCUUAGAAGGAUUGUUUCAGGCACGGAUUUAAGGGGGGGCUGGUGGGGGCUUAAGCCCCCCCCAAGCCGCCGGAAAAUCCCCUAUAUAUAGGGGAUUCCGGCGGCCAGCCCCCCCUUAAAUCCGUGCCUGUCCAUGUCCAUGGCUCCAUGCCUGAUGCCUCCAUGAAUGCUGCAGAGGACCUCAAGAAUAGCUGGGCCUGGAAAGCCGCUGCCAGCACUGCUGAGUCUGCUGACUGCUGAGGUCCGAGGAAGAAGAUGACCCAAUUUAUGUUGAAUUUUUUUUUUGCCCUCUAAAUACAAAACGACGUCGUUUCACUUUUAGUGGAACGACGUCGUUUUGUAUAAUGAGGGAAAAAAAAAGCACGCCGCGUCGCCGCCAAUGCCAAAGGCCAAAGGGCAAACAACUGAAACAAGACUCCAAGUCUCCAACUCCAAGAAGAAGACGCCACUCACGCCAGGCUCCAAGAACUCCAAGAAGCUUCAGUUGAGAACUUGAGAUUCUACCAUCCUGCUUCAAGCCUUCAAUUCAAGGCUCCAAGACUCCAACUCUCCACCAUUCCAUUCACAUAAAUCUUUUAGGUUAGUUUUUUGGUUUAAAUUACAAUAUUCAUCUUUAUAUUUUUGUUAAUUAUAUGUUUAAAUUAUUUUUGAAUUUUGAGUAUCUUGAUAUUAAUUUGAUUAAGAUUAAUUUUUAUUUAGUUUAUGUUAAUGUAAUUUAAGAAUUUGAAAGAUUACAUUAAAAAAUUUAAUGAUAUUAAAUUUAAAUUAGAAAUUAGUUUAGAAAUUGUAUAGAUUUUAGGUUGUAUUUAGUUUUUAAAAUUUUGUUAGUUUUAUAUUUGAAAUUUUAAGAAUUAAUUAUGUGAAUUAGAAAUUUUGAAUGUAAAUAUAAAUUCAAAAUUUUAUGAGAUUGAAUUAGAAAUUAUAUGGGUAUUUAGUUGUACCUUAUUUUAACUUUUUGAUAAUUUUAUAUAAUGAAUUUUAUAAAUUGAGAAAUAUAAGUAAUAUGAAUUUAUUAUUAAAUUAAAGAAUUAUUUAUAUGAAUUUUAAAUUAAUUGAUUAUUGAAUUGCAUAAUUUUAUUGAAUUUAACCACAAUUAUUUAAUUGUGACAGAAAAUGGAGAGAUUCUUUAAACCUAAACGAGUCCGUAGUGGUGAAUCUUCAAAUGAGCCUAAUAUUAGUGAACCAGUUCAAAAUCAAUCUUGUGUGGAAUUGAAUUUAAAUGAUAUUGUUAGUGAUCCGGGAUUACGAAAAUCAGUUGAGAAAUUUGAUAUUUCUCUUCGAGACCAUGUCCGAAGAGAGUAUUUGACUAGGGGACCUUGCCAACCGAUUGGCCAUAUGUAUCCAAAAACAUCAUUUGGUCAACAACAUAGAAGUUUCCAAGAUAUUUGGUAUCAAAAGUUUGUAUGGUUAGAGUAUAGCAUAUCGAAAGAUGCGGCGUUUUGCUUUUGGUGCUUUCUUUUCAAAACACAAAAUAAGGGAGGUCGAUAUGCAGAGGAUGCCUUUACAAAAACGGGAUUCAAUAAUUGGAAAAAGGCAAUGGAAAGAUUUAAUGAACAUAUUGGAGCUGUGAAUAGUUGCCAUAAUGAUGCUAGAAUACAGUUUGAAAGUUUUCAAGAUCAAAGGCAUAGUGUGUCAAAUGUGCUACGAUCUUGUGGGCGCGAAAUAGAUAUUGCAUAUCGCACCCGUUUAACUGCUGCUCUGGAUGUGACCCGCUUUCUUUUGAAGCAAGGAUUGGCUUUUCGUGGAAAUGAUGAGUCAACUAGUUCUUCAAAUAGAGGCAAUUUUCUUGAAUUGUUUGAUUGGUAUAGCCAGCGAAAUACUGAGAUUUUUGAGGUUGUAAAUCAAAAUGCUCCUGCAAAUAAUCAACUAACUUCUCCAAUGAUUCAAAAAGAUCUGGCACAUGCUUGUGCCUCAGAGAUCACAAGUGUUAUAAUCAAUGAUAUUGGAGACAAUUAUUUUUCCCUAAUAGUUGAUGAGUCUCGAGACAGUUCAGUGAAAGAGCAAAUGGGAGUUGUUUUGAGAUAUGUGAACAAAGAAGGGCGUGUGAUUGAACGUUUCCUUGCAAUUGUACAUGUGUCUGACACCACAUCUCUUUGUUUGAAAGAUGCAAUUGAUUCUUUAUUCGCGCAACACGGAUUAUCAUUAUCCAAAUUGAGAGGUCAAGGAUAUGAUGGAGCUUCAAAUAUGCGAGGUGAGUUCAAUGGUUUGAAGGCCCUUAUAUUACAAGAAAAUCCCUAUGCGAUGUAUAUUCACUGUUUUGCUCACCAACUCCAGUUAGUUAUUGUUGCUGUUGCUAAGGGAAAUAUCAUUAUCAGUGAAUUCUUUGUCUAUGUCUCUAUGAUUGUCAAUUUAACUGGAGUAUCAUGUAAAAGGAGAGAUCAAUUAAGACAAAUAGAACAUGAUAAGAUUGUUGCACUUUUAGACAGUGGAGAUAUUAUUAGUGGAAAAGGCAAAAAUCAAGAAACUAGUUUAGCAAGACCAGGGGAUACUCGUUGGGGAUCACACUAUCUAACAUUACUUCGUCUAUCCUCUAUGUGGGCUUCGGUGAUUGGAAUAUUGGGAAAUAUACAAGAUGAUGCCUCCACUUCUGACAAUAGAGGUAUGGCCAGGGGUUUGAUUGAUAGAAUGAAUGAUUAUGAGUUUGUUUUUGCAUUGCACCUGAUGAAGUAUUUAUUGGGAAUCACAAAUGACUUGUCACUUGUUUUGCAACAAAGGGAUCAAAAUAUUGUCCAAGCCAUGAGUUUGAUUGAUACUAUGAAAUCUCAAUUGCAAGACUUUAGGGAAGAGGGAUGGCAAAUAAUUUUAGAUGAAGUCAACAAUUUUUGUGAGUUGAAUAUGAUUCCCGUGAUUGAUAUGGAAGACAGUAUAGCAAUCCGUGGCAAUGCCAGGCGCAGUCGCAGAGGUCAAACCAUCACUAAUUUUCAUCAUUAUCGCGUGGAAAUUUUUUGUGAGGUAUUAUUUUUGAAAUUAUUAUUUCAUUACAUUUGUUACUUGUUAGCAGAUUUUCUUAGUUAUUAAUUUUAUUAUUGUUGUGAUGUCAGGUUGUUGAUUUAAUUAUACAAGAGAUGAAUAAUCGUUUCUCGGAAGUUAGCACGGAAUUGCUUAGUUGCAUAGCAUGUCUUGAUCCAAAAAGUUCUUUCUCUCAAUUCAAUGUGCAGAAACUACUCCGUCUUGCUGAUUUAUAUCCUGAAGACUUCUCAAGUAACGAUUAUUUAUAUCUUGAGUCUCAACUUCGAAAUUAUAUUUAUAAUGUGCAACGCGAUCCUCAAUUUUCAGAAGUUGGAGAUUUGGGAAGUCUUGCUCAACAAAUGGUUAAAACUGGUAAAAAUACAGUUUUUCCAUUUGUUUAUCGUCUGAUCCAGUUGGCAUUAGUUCUACCAGUUGCGACUGCUUCUGUUGAAAGAGUAUUUUCUGCAAUGAAUAUUGUCAAGACUGAUUUGCGCAACAAAAUGGGAGACGAGUGGAUGAAUGACUGUCUGGUUGUAUAAAUCGAGAAGGAUAUUUUUGCAACAAUUGAAAAUGAGCAAAUAUUGCAACGUUUUCAACGGAUGAAAACUCGCAGAAUGCAAUUGCCUCCUCUUCGUUAUUCGAGUGCAACAACUACCAAUACUUCAAGUGUUAAUCAAUAACAAAUUUUUGGGUAUGUAUAAUUAUAUGUUUUUAUUAUUUUUAUAAUUAUUGAUUCUAAAUUUUACUUAUUAAAUAUAUUUAUUUCGUCACAAAAAAAAAUUUUUAAUACACUUCAGCCCCCCCAAAAAUAAAUUUCUGGCUCCGUCCCUGGAUUGUUUUAUGCAUCACUAGAAUCAAGAAAUGGAUAGUCUGUAUAGCCAGCAACUGGAUCAGGUGUGUAGAAAGUCUCUCUGCUAUACUCGUUCAGAGGAACAUUUAAUUCAAAUCUCUUGGGCAAAUCUGGAUUGGCCCAGAAAAAGCGCCCAUACGCAAUGAGAUCAGCACGAUUUUCAGCCACAGCUUCGUUACCAUCUUCCCUAUCAUAACCUCCUCCAGCAAUGAAUGUACCCUUAAAUGCCUUCCUCAUUGGCAGAAGGCUUUCAUCAGGGUAAUCAGCUUUUUCCCAAAACCUUGGCUUUACCAUGUGACAGUACAAUAUUCCAUACUUAUUCAAAGCUUCGGCCAUAUAAAGUCCCAGAGCAUGGGGAUUUGAGUCUCCUGAUUCGUUGUAAUCGUCGAAAGGGGAGAGUUUUAUGCCAACUCUGUCAGGUCCUAUUGCAGUGGAAACAGCUUCAACUAUUUCCAGAGCAAACCUGCAGCGGUUCUCCAACUUGCCACCAUAUUCAUCUGUUCUAUCGUUGAUUUGAUCUUUCAAGAACUGGUCUAUUAUAUAGCCAUGUGCUCCAUGUAUCUCCACCCCAUCAAAACCUGCAUAUUUAAGAAGACUAGGUCAUCAAAUCAACCUUUUUGUUCUGUUGGCUCCCUUUCCACUUGUUUCUCUCAUCAAAUAUCCUCUCCAUUAUGCAAUAAUUAAAGGAAGAAAGAUCUGAUUUGGACUUCCUUAGCUGAAAUUUAAAUAGCAGAAGAAAAAUUCGUAUAAAUAUUAACAUGCUCUUCCCUCUCUCACAAGAUAGGUAUUGCUGCCUAGUUAAGUUUAAGAGAUUUAUCAAGUCUUGACCAGACAUGAAAAGCCUAACCAGCUUCAAUAGCAUUAAUAGCAGCAAGCCUGAAAUCGUCGACGAUUUGAGGAAUUUCUUCAAUCUUUAACCGUCUGGGAGGUGAACAUUCAUGGACACUAACACCAUCUGCUUGAAUCUGGGAAGGUAACAGCUUGUCUGUGGAUGAAAUUGGAGCCUGUCCAUUGGGCUGAAAAUCUGUAAGUGGCAACAAACCAAAACUAGCUUUUAGAGUAAAAUCAGAAAGGACCACUAACUAGGUCUAAAUAAAGGAGAGACAAUUUGAAUUGUCUACAAGACAAUAACACUGUUCAAACUUCUACACAGGCUUGGUAGCAAUACAAAACUGGAAAUCUGAAGGAGUGGUCUUGACAAGUGAAUAUUGGUUAGGAUUUACAUUCCAAUUGUGCCUUUUGAAUCUUCAUGUAAAGCUGACAUGAACCGAAAACCGAGCUUAUGAUAUGUAAUCAGAGGACAAAUUACCAUAAUUUGAUACCCUUCCUACAUGCCAAAUCUGGCAAAAGAAUAUACCACCUCUGGCAUGAACCGCAUCAACUAUGGGUUUCCAGGCCUCAACUUGUUCCUUAGUCCAUAUUCCAGGUGUUGACUCAUACCUUCAUUCAUCAGGAAAUAUUGAACUGAACACAUGUAGCAAUGACCACAAAAACUAUAGAGUGAAAUGUGUGCGCGCACUGAUAAUACAUACUCUCCAAUAAGAAUUUGACAAAAAACUGAUAGUAAUAUUACCCUCUUGCUGUUUCAGAAAUAACUGUGGCUUCUGCUAUUAGCAGACCACCUUUGGUCGUUCUCUGGGAGUAGUAUAAUUUAGCAUGUGGCUGUGGAACAUUGUCGUAAGAUCUUUGCCUUGUCAGAGGUGCUAAAACAAUUCUGCAUGAAUUGGCAAAAGAAGGUACCUAAAUCAGCCUUGAAUCAUCUUGUGGGGUCUCACGUUAAUCACCUCCAAUGAUGAAAUUAUUUGAUGAGAAAUGAAGAUAGCUGGAAGGAUCCACGAAUAAUAUAUUUCCAAAUAGUUCAGACUGGGUGGAUCACGAACAUAUAGGUUCAGAAAAUUGUGUUAUCAUUUGAAAGAUGAGAGCAGGUGAGAUAGUAGCAUUGAGAUGGCAACCGAUUUCUCUCAUCUAAGUGCUCGUAAAAAGGCAGUAAGGAGUAUGCAGACAAAGUUCGAAAAAAUCUACUUGAACUCUGCGCAAAAGGCAGACAGCCAUGAGCAUACAGAAGGCAGAGCAAAGGAUGAAUCUGUUUCCAGUUUAUGGGGAAAACUUGGGAGAUUCUCUAGAAAAGUUAUAGAAAUCGUGUCAUUAUGGAACUUCCACUGAAGCAGAUAUGGUUCAAAACUUUUGAUCAGAAUAAAAUGAUACUGCUGUAUAUGGAAACAGCACAAAACAAAGCUAUGAGCAGUAAGUCAUUCAGAUGACAUAUAUCUAUCAAAACUUCGGAACCAAGUGCCAGAGAUUGCACUGCAAUGUACAAAUUUUCUUUUGAUUACUUGAGAGAUUCAAAAUCAAUCAUCAGUCUUCCAAAGAGUUAUAGAGUCUGUUUCACUUGAAAAUUAGACCAAAACCUCUGAACUGAAGGAAAAGAAAAUUUGAAAGUUCAUGAGGUUGCUCAUGAAUAAUCAUUCAAUCCUUUUUCUAAGCGAAUAAUCAUUCAAUUGGUUUAUAUGUUCUGUAAAAUCGCAAGUUCUUUGAAGUUCUGAUUUGCAAAUUUAUCAAACUAAAGAUAUAAAGAAUUUCGACUGAAUGCUGAUGCUGAGUAUAUAAAUUGUUAUGCCAGUGGGCUAAAACUUUCAUCAACAGCAACCGAAAUUGUGUCAACUCCAUCAGAACGCAGGACCAUUUCCUCACUUAGAUGUUCUGAACCUCAGCAGUGGACUGAUACGUUAUUUUAUCCUCCAGCUGAGAUACUAUGGUGCAAUCAACAGUUCCUGUAACAGACAGUAUCCAUGGAAUCUCCCCCUUCAUAUUGGACUUUCAGGUGAAAAAAUUUUACUCUCGUAGCCGAACCCGAAACGUUCAACCAAACAUGGAAGCAAAGCUACAUGAUAUACAAAGCCCAACUCGGCAUCAAAAAUAACUAAGAAUCAAUGCUGGUUAAGGGGACUGGAUUAAUGGGACUAUGAAGCAACUUUUCAUUAGCUUCUUCCAUUUAGUUCCACAUGAGACCAGACUCUACAGAGAUUUCUGGCUCAUUUAUUCACCAAAGCAUAGAAGCUUUCGCUAUUUGACUUGGUUUGCUAACAUACAGAAUUUUAAAUGGUAAAAUUAUUUGCCUCAACCAGCUGAUUUAUCCCGAAGUUACAAGAAUUAUAAAGUAGAUACAUGAGAGGUUUUCAUAGAGAAACCACCCUAACAAAGAAAAAUGACAAAAGAUCUGCGUUUUCAUCAAAAACUGAUGAAGUUCCAUUAAGAAGACACAUAAGCAGCGUUUCUUGAUUACAAAUUACAGAUACAGUACAGCAUUUUCAUUAGGAAACUAAAGGAAACAAAUUGUAAUAGUCAAUAAUCUGAGAGAGAUGUACCUAUGAGAGAGCUGGAAGUUUCCCAACUUAUAAGGAGUUAGUAAUGGGAUUGGUUGCUGAUGGUGGUACUGCGAAUGUUGCUCCUCUUGCCCAUAUUCUAAAGCUUUUUCCAUCUCUGGUUACUGUUACACCCAGCCUUCCGGCACUUUCCCAAAGCAAUAAUAUACGAUGAAUCACAUCACAUAAAGAGGAGCAGUUACCCGGGCAUGGACCACAAUUAGCGUAUAUGAUUUUUGCACCAUCCCUGAGCAGUCCUCUCACAAAAGGAAAUGAGAGGACUGCAACAAGCCACGUAUAAUGGAGGCAGCAACAAAGGAAACGACGCUGUUUUAGUAAGUGAGUAGAGAAAAAAAUUAAAAAAAAAAAACAUUUGAGAGGCUAACGGACUCCGUUAAAAUACCUCAGCUGUCCGUUCCAAAAAUUCCCGCUCAAAUUAAUGAGGCACGGCUCUUCAUCUGAAAUCUUUAAAUGAAAUAAAAUUUUGGUCUCCCUCCAAAAACAUAUCUUGUAAACAUUCAUUCACAAUUCCAGAGUAUCAGCAAAAUAAUAUCCCUACUCCAAAUUGAAAAUUUUCAAAUGAGAGAUUUUUGGAGAAAGUGUUGCAGAAAUAUAGUAUCAUCAAUCAGUAUACUGAGGGAACACAAGAAGUAACUAUUGCAGGACAAAAAUUUUUCAUAAAGGCUGCAAAGAGGCAGAAGUUGGUGAGAUCUGAAGCAGAAAUAGACUCAAUCGAAUUGGACUAAACCCCAAAGGUAAGAAUAUUGCAAACUCAUUGCACUAUUUGGUUUGUUUUGCGACAGAAGGGGGAUGAAUUUACUUGCAUGAUUUUGUUCAUACAACUUGUUUAAGACAAUGUGACAUGAGUAAUGAAAUUGGAACUCUAGUGAAAACUCCUAAGCAAGGAAAUCAUAUGGGUAGCACAAAUUAGAUACAUUGAGAGUCAACUUAAAGAACGUAUGCACAGGGAACUUAUGCAUGCCAAGUGUUUGUAAAUUUGACUCAAUAGACGAAUUAAAUGACUUAGGAUGCUUAUAGAUAUAUAAAAUAACAGGGAGAGUGUGAAGGUAAUUGUUCAUUGCUUUUUUUUUUUAUUCUUGUUGCAGGAUAGCAGUGACACCAUAUAGUUUAAACUGUAUUACCGACUGUGUAUGAGCAUUUACAUCACAGUAGAUUGACACAUACAAAGAUAAAAGAUAAGUAAAGUGAGUUAUUGUAAAUUCCACGAAUGAAAUAUAGAGUACAACACUGUAACGUCUGACUCACAAUGCGUACAUUUAUGACUAUAAACGGUAACUGUCAUCUAACAACAUGUAUAUUAUCGGAAACCUAUUGUGCACAACUGUGACACUAUGCGACCAUUACUCACAUAUAUGAUUUUGUCAUAGGUUUUAGUAUCCGAAAAGUCUACCUAAACAAGGAUUAGGAUGGCUUGACAACAUCAAGAAGGUACACUUAUUGAAAGGUAUUCCAUAACAUGAUUACAAUGAUAUUUACCUACUCGUAAUUGCUUUUAAAGUAUGGUGUAACUUGUUGCAAGAUAUAAAUUUUACUACUUGUAAUUGCUUUUAAAGUAUGUCGUAACUUUGAAUAACUUGUAAGAUUUUGUCUAGACAAGGUAUGUGAUGUACACCGUAUUUAUUGGAAUGUAUAGCAUGUUAGUCAUUAAUAACAUUUAUAUCAGAUUUUUUACUAGAUAGUUAUUUGUUACAAUCGUCUAUGAAAUUGACCAUUAGUUCUUACGAGAGUGCAUUAAAUUAGAUAAAUAGUUUACUUCAAUGAAUGACAAGUACAUAUAUACUUAGUGAAUGUAUAAUCUGAUUGAAAUAAUGUACACCGUGUAACCGACCAAAUACAAUGUGUACAAAUUAUUGAAUAUGCAGUUAGUUGUCCACAUGCAUAUUGCAAUUAGCUGUUGCAGUCACUUGUACUGAUUUUUAGUAAAUGUUUUUUACUUGUAUCAGUAGUACUGACUUGUCUGUAAAUACCUUAUACAGUGUGAUGUAAAAAUACAAUUAGUUUACUAAAAUGUACGUCAUUUUAGGUAUUAGUUACUUGAAUGUGCAUAUCUAUAAAAGAUAGUGUAAUGGUAUGCAUACCUUUGAAAAAGUUAUUGGUGCCUUGACCAACCUGGGCAUCUCCUUACAAGCUGCAGUAGAUGUGUAAUAUUACUUGUACGAGUAAUACUAAUUUGCCUAUAAGCACCUUAUACGGGGUGAUUUAUGAGGUACAAUCAGUUUAUAAAAAUGUACAUCAUGUUAGGUAUUAGUUACUUGACUGUCUAUAUCUGUAAAAGGUACUGCAAUGGUAUGUAACUUUGAAAUGAUUAUUGACCUAGAUAAGGUGUGUGAUGUACACCAUAUUUAUCAGAAUGAACAAUAUGUUAUUCAUCAAUACGAUGCAUAGAAAUUGUUAAACAUGCGGUUAUUUACUCACAUGCAUAUUGCAAUUAGUGAUCACAACAAUAUGCAUAGUUUGCAAUAUGCAUGGUGCAAUGGCAUGCAUACAUUUGGAAUGAUUAUUGAUGUUUUGGCCCACUUGUGCAUCUCCUUGUAGGCUGCAGUGGGUUUAUAAUUUUAUCUAUAUGAAUAAUACUAAUUUAUCUAUAAGCAUCUUACACGGAGUGAUGUAUGAGGUACAAUUAGUUUAUAAAAAUAUACAUUAUGUUAGAUAUUAGUUAGUUAACUGUGUAUAUCUAUAAAAGAUAGUAUAAUUGUACACAUAAAUUUGGAACAGUUAUUUAGCCCUUUGAUCAAUUUAUGCAUCUCCCUAUAGUAGAUGUGUAAUUUUACUUGUAUGAUCAGUCUUUGUUUGUCUGUGAGUAUCUUACACAGGAUGAUCUAUGAGGUACAAUCAGUUUACAAAAAUGUACAUCAUGUUAGCUGUUAGUUACUUGAUAUGUAAAAGAGAGAUUAGAUCAUUGAACCCAUCGUUACUUGACUAUGUAUAUAUGUUAGGUGUUAGUUACUUGAACGCUACAUCGUUGAACCCCAGUUGUGAGUAUGAAAUUUGGAUUGCAUCUUGUAAUGUGUUAAAUUUUUUCAGCAUCAUAUCUAAAUUGGUAUGACGAGCCAGUACACUAUUACUGAUAUCUUAUACUAGCCUAUGUUAUUAGUUGUAGGAAAAAAUUUUAAAAAUGAAAAAAUUCGACAAGCAGUCUGAUGCCAACUUAUCUGCUAAGCUAAAAAAGCUAUUCAAAAUUCGCAAUAACAAUACAGGGGUUGACCCCGCGAAUUGUGAGUGGGUAUGCAAUUAGCACCUUUAACUCAAGACUUUUUUAUUAGAUGUUGAAUAUCCAAAAAUGUAGAAUCAGGUUACAUACCUUUUCCGUGUUAUUUUUUUUAAUACCUCAUUCGUUUCAGAUACUUGUUCCGGUAUGCACAGAGGGGUAUUGAUUUGUUUACAGCUUUGAUGUCUCACAGAGACAAAUGUACCUGCUAGAUCCUAAUAGCGAUCAAGCAAAGAGUAAAGACAUAAGUGUACUUAAUCGACUGAUAUGUUGGAUUGUCACCUAAAUGCAUUACAAGAGAAGAGGACUAUAUUGUAGUGUUUCUAAUCUGCUUGACAAAAUCUUUGGUGCUAUAGAAACGUGCCUUGGGGUUGAUCGUGGCGACAAAGUUUGGUCUCGCUAUUGACUUCUCCAGUUUCUCGUUUGCACUUGCCGAUGUCUCUCAUCACUCACCAAAUAAAGUGUAAAUAGUUUUACUUCUCACAUGUUUAAUUGUUACAACUGCAAAUAUUUUAUUACAACAUAUAAACUCCAACCUCUCUAAUGUGAAGUCAACAUGAACAGUUGUGAUAGUGGUAUUUUCAUCAUGACAUUCCUAGAGCAUUGGAGCAGAAGAUUAGUUGUUUGGCUUACAGAGGUAUUAUAAUUUGCUUAUAUUUUUUUUCCUAAUUUACAUCUGGAAUUGUGAAAAAUAGUUGUUACCAUGGACAUGAAAAAUUACUAUUAUGUUUAAAUUGGAUAGGAAAAUGUUGGCAAGUAUUGAGUGCUAUACACAACUUGAUUGUGUACCUCAGCAAAGAACUCUAAGCUUUUGGACAACUUUUCAAACCUGAAAGAAGCAAGACGGGCAUGGUAGGAUGUUGGUAAUGCUUGAAUUUUAUUAAGUAAGAUGUGACUGUAGUUUGACAAAAUUGAAUCUUCUCCCAUUUGUACAUUGUUAUGUGUACCUUGUAGCUUUUGAAUUGGUGUAGACUAGAAUCAGGUCCGAUGAGAAGGACUACGUUAACCUUGUUGUAUGUUAAUGGAACGUUUAAAUUAACAGUUUUCAUAUGUACAUAAGUGUACUUGUUGUUAAAUUUGGACGACGAACACAUCACAGUAUGGGGUUCAUACAUUUCUCCCCAAAAAUUGUGCUAAAGUUUGUAACUGAUUUGCAACACGAUGUAACAUAAAACAAGACUCUUGGCACUACAAAUUUCACGCUUUGUACAUAAGUAUUCUGAUCCGACAUGGUUCAGGCGCUGCAUGUGACUCUAUAGCUUCCACUUCCGUGAUGUACUAGUUGGCCUUAUAUGCAUUGGGGUCUGAUAUUUUACCAUAUUAAAAGGUAUUACGGACUAUAAAAGGCCUCCCUUGUAGGCGUAUAUCCCUUACACAGACUCCAGUUUGUUCGUCCCCCUUUCAUUUUCGCCUGCAUUGUUAUUCAACUUCACACUUCCAAUUUCUCUUUAUAUUAAAGCGGCAAUGGACUCGUGUACUCGAUUCAUUUUUUUAUUUUCAACCUCCCUAUAACAGGGAUUACAGUCUCAUCAAUACAGUGUUCAGUUUUAAAUCAAGCUCUUGUGAGCCAAUUAAAAGCAUCUAGGUUUGCUUGAUGUUUGGAAAAAUCUCGCUAUUUUAAUGAGAUACUCGAGAAGGUCUCGCUACAUCAAAUAUUUUGGAGUUCGAAACGAUCAUCUCUGUAUUCUCAUUAGACACUUAAUAAAGUGCCUAAGAAAUUUAAUGUAUCGGAGGGAGGAAUUAUUGUUUGUGCCAAUGGCAAUUGCACAAGCAAGAGAAAAGGAAAGGUUCAUCGGAUAUUAACUAGUUGUAGUAUCACUAGUUGUAACAUCGAGGAAUAUCACUAGUUGUAUAAUCACUAGUUAUAAUAUCACUAGUUUUAACUAGAGAAGAUGAAAAGCUGCCGAUGGCAAAUUCAUUAGUUGUAAUGAAUUGUAACAUACACCUAAUUGGUUGUAACUCAAUCUGUACAUCUCGUUAUGACUAUUUGUUGCAUUUUAAAUAUUAGUUAUCCCACUUUCAAAUUAGUUGUCCCAACGAAAUAUCAUGUUCUUCUGUGAAACUGUUACUUGGCAUGUGGUCGUGUGGAACCAAUCCCAGAUGCCAAUUGUAACUUUCUUUUCGUACUAAAGGAGUGAUACCUAUUGAAGUUCUUAUAAUUCUAUCUGUAAUACUCAUCAUUAAUACAAUUGUAAAUCACAUAUCUAAGUUUUAACAUAAACGAACAUGACAAGGUGUCUGUACAAGCACAUCAAGAAGUUGUAACAGCUUAUGAACUUCUUGUAUUGUAUAUAUGCGGCAUUCCCUGGUAGGGACAACAUGACUGCAUAGUAAAUGUUCAUCCACAAACACCGUAAAUCUGGUAUUAGACAUCUUCAUGUCUGAAAAAUCUGAUGCUAGACAUCUAAUGUCUAAAAAAUCUGGUACUAGACACCGCAAAUCUGGUGCUAGACAAUUAAUGUCCGAAGUAAUUUUAGAGUUACUAUCAACAAGCACUAAUUCAUUGAGAGAUUGUAUAUUAAAACAAGCUUACAAUAUGGAACCGAUCGAAACUGAGCAAUAGCUUCUCUGGACAAGUACAAACAUUAGUAAAUGAGGUGAACUUGGGAGACGGAUAUUUGGAACAACCAAUUGUUUUGUAUUCAUAAAAAUUGUAGGUACAUAUCGUUCAUCAACCUGUAACUGAGGGGAGUUGAUGUCAACAGUUAGUCGCAAUCCCUAGGUGUUAUUUCUUUCCUGAAACGCGUAACAAUGGCAAAUCAGUCAAUACAGUUAAUGGAACCUAAUGAUAUAUGCUGUCGAAGUAUCCAAUUAACAAGAUACUAUAAAUAUGUGAUGUAAUGAUAAAAAUUUAUCACCUAAGAUGAUGGUGAAAAUACAUGAUAUGCAUCCUUAUCACAGUGUGUUGAAAUUGCCGCACGCUCUACCUACAUUGUAUAAUAUAACUAUUCAACUAUCAACAACACACUAGCAAUGCCUAUACUACUCAGUUACAAAGUUAAAUUGGACUAGACGUUAUAAUAAAAAUGAUAUUUCAGAUCAUUAAGAUAUCUCUGACGGAGUUAUACUUAAAAAAUAUAAAAAAUUUGAGGUGCAUCUAUUCUGUAGGGACACUUCAAUGAGGCCCCUGAUCAGCCAAUCGGUGGACUUUCGGAUAAUACAAAAUAAUAUGCUAUUAAAGCAUUAAAUGUUAACUACAAAAUAUGCAUGCUUCGACAACAUUCGGGUGCCCACCAUUACAAUUAAAAAAAAGUAGGUCUACAAUACGAAAAAAGGACUUUAUUUUAUCUACUAAAUGUAUGCAUAUCAUUGGACUUUCCUUGAUUUCGAGAGCAACAGCGUUUGGAGAGCCAUUUACUGACUGGCUCAUUGAAUGCAUUUACGAGUUUUGUCUGGGCCAAAUAAUUGUAUAAGACAGACAAAAAAGGUAUAUCAGGAGGGAUGUCAGCCUUAACAAAAUCAUCACAUAAUAUAACAUCAUCAUAAUUAAUUGUGCUGUUAGAAACAUCCAAAUAAAAGUUAAAACCAUACUCAUUUUAUACUAACCGAAACUAAGUCAGUUGAUGAACUAAUUUAAUAUCAUUACAUUAGUGAAAUACUAAUUUACAAUACCAUACCAGUUUUACUUCAUGGUCACUAUUUAUUCAGAUAAAAUAAUAUUUCUCCAACAUGAUGUUAAGGAACAUUGAAUUGUAACCAAUUUCUUUCAUUAGGUAAGUCCAGCUAAACAAUAUGUACAUAGCGUAACACAUUUAUCUACAAUCUACACUCAUAUCAAAUUUAAAAGAAAUCCUCUUUAAUUAAUUCAUUGCUAUUGCAUGAAUAGGUACCAAAUUUCUAACAUAAGGUAGCAACUGACAAUGUUUAAUUAAUAAAGUGUGCAGUUUCCUCCCCUUUUGUGUUCAUUAUUUCUUUUUUCAUUUCUCGCUCCAAUGUGAUUCUUUACGUUUAUAGAUGCCAAAUUAUGUUAGAACCCACUUAAUUAGAGAUACAUAAGAGUAUUUCUUAACUACUAGUAGUUUAUCUCAAAAAAUAUUUACUAUCAAGAAGUAUAAUUAGCCACAAUUACUCAGAUAUCUCAUAAUCCUAGAAGAAUCCCUCUUUAGAGAUCCAUGAGUGUAUUUCCCAAUCAUAAGUAGUUUAUCUCAAAAAAUAUUUGUGAUCAAGAAGUACCGCUAGCAACAAUCACUCAGAUACCUUGUAAUCUCGAAGGAAUCCCUCUUUGUUGUACUCCCUAUUUCAUUCGUGUAAUUUACAAUGAUUCAAUUUACUUAUCUUUAUCUUUGUAUGUGUUAAUCUACUAUGAUCAAGAAGUACAGCUAGCCACAAUCACUCAGAUACCUUGUAAUCUUGAAAGAAUCCCUCUUUAUUGUACUUCCUAUUUUAUUUAUGUAAUUUACAAUGACUCAAUUUGGCUAUCUUUAUCUUUGUAUGUGUCAGUCUACUGUGAUUUGAGUACCCAUACACAGUUGGUAAUGCAGUCUAAAUUGUACGGUGUCAUUGCUAUCUUGCAACAAGAAAAAAAAAAGCAACAAUUACCUUCAUAUUCUCCCUAUUAUUUUAUAUAUUUAUAAACUUCCUAAGUCAUUUAAUUCGUCUGCUGAGUCAAAUUUACAAACACUUGACGUGCAUAAGUUUCCUCUGCAUACCUCCCCCAAGUUGGCUCUUAGUGUAUCUAACUUGUGUUAUCCACAGUUUCCUCAUUUAGGAGUUUCAUCAGAAUUUCAAUUUCAUUAUUCAUGUCACACCAUCUUAAACAAGUUGUACAAAGAAAACCAUACAAGUAAGUUUAUUCUUCUUCAGUCACAAAACAAGCCAAAUAUUGUGAUGAGUUUGCAAUAUUCUUACCUAUGUGAUUUAGUCCAAUUUGAUUGAGUGUAUUUCUGUUUCAGAUCUCACCAACUUUCACCAUUUUGUAGCCUUUAUGAAAAACUCUUGUCCUGCAGCAGUUAUUUCUUGUGUUCUCUCAGUACAUUGAUUGAUGACACUAUAUUUCUGCAACACUUCUUCCAAAAACCUCUUAUCUGAAACCAUUUUACAACACUAUCACAAUCUGAAACUAUUGUUACUAUUUAUUCACAUAAAAUAAUACUUCUCUAACAUGAUGUCAAGACACACUGAAUCGCAACCAAUUUCUUUUACAAGGUAAGUUUAGCAAAAUAAUAUGUGCAUAGUGUAACACAUAUAUCGUACAAUCUGCACUUAUACUAACCAAGUUUAAAAGAAAUUCUCUUUAAUUAAUUCACUACUAUUGCACGAAUAGAUACCAAAUUUCUAACAUGAAGUAGCAACCAACAAUGUUUAAUUAAUAAAUUGUGCAGUUCCCUCCCCCUUGUACCCACUAUUCUUUUUUUUUUUUUUUUUCCACUCAAAUGCGAUUCUCUAUGUAUAUAGAUGUCAAAUCAUAUUAGAACCUACUUAAUUAGAGACACAAGGGAGUAUUUAUUAACUAUCGGAUACGGGACAAGGACGGUUGCCAGUUUAAUUGUUCUUGAACAAUGUAACUUCUUUUGAAUAUUUUGUAGUUAUAUGUAAAUUUCUUGCACAUUCUUACAAUAGAAGUGUGAUAUUGUGUUAUUGUUCAUGUGGAUCUCAUAUAUAAUAAUUCAUCACUGUUGUUAAAUUUUACAAGUAGUUCAUUUAAAGUUACACAUUGUUCAAAAAAUAUUACAUCAUUCCGAACAGUUGUUACUCUCAACCGUCCAGACCCUGCAUCCUUAACUAUCAGCAGUUUAUCUUAAAAUAUAUUUGAUAUCAAGAAGUAUAGUUAGCCAUAAUCACUCAAAUAUCUCAUAAUUUUGGAAGAGUCCUUCUUCAGAGAUACAUGAAAGUAUUUCUCAACUAUUAGUAAUUUAUCUAAAAAAAAUGCUAUUAAAAAGUAUAACUAGCCACAAUCACUUAGAUACCUUGUAAUCCUGGUAGAAUUUUGUUGUACUCCUUAUUUCAUUCGUGUAAUUUACAAUGGCUCACUUUACUUACCUUUUAUCUUUGUAUGUGUCAGUUUACUAUGAUGUGAACGCCCAUUCACAGUCAGUAAUACAUUCUAAACUGUAUGGUAUCACUACUAUCCUACAACAAGAAUGAAAAAAGCAAGUAAUGAUUACCUUCAUACUCUUCUUAUUAUUUUAUAUGCUGAUAAACUUCCCAAGUCAUUUAAUUCAUCUACUAAGUCAAAUUUACAAACACUUGGCACGCAUAAGUUCCUUGUGCAUACCUCCCCCAAGUUGGCUCUUACCUUAGGUGACAAAUCAUUAGAUGUAGUUCAGGACAUGGUUCAGUGACAUUACCUUCGUCGAAUUGGGGGAUUAUGUUUCACCAACGUCAGAUGGCACAGUUGCUGUUACUUAGUUGUUCGACAAAAAUGGAGACUGUUGUAAAUGUAUUUCCUCUAUUCCCUUCUACUUUGCUGCCUGCGCUGGAAAGGAUGCAGAGAAAUUGUCCUAACAAUUUUUAACCUCAUUCAAUUGUUGCAUUUCCUCCCAGAGAUGUCUACAAAGAUAAAUUGGUCCUUCCAUCUUCACUCAAAGUGCCUCACGAGCUUGGCUUCCUCUUAAUAGAUUUGGCCUCCUUUCUUCUUCACAUAAACAUGCUCUAAAUUUCUCCUCCCACUUCAAUGUUUGUAUUUUUAUCUCUCAAUUAUUUUUGACAAAUAUCUGUAGAGAUAGCAAGACUUAUUUUGGUGUACAAAAGAAUAAAUCCAUGCUUUCUCGACUUUUUCUUCUCAUUUUAUGCUGUUGAUUCAAAAUUUUGCAUUUGAUAUUUGAAUUUUGAAUCAAUCCGUUUGCCCCAAAUGAAUACCGUUAGGAUUUCAAUAAAUUUUUUACUUUUUUAUUCUGCCCACUUAAUGAAACGAUGUCAUUUUUCUUUAUUGCUGCCUCUAUUAUACGUGGCUUGUUGCAGUCCUCUCAUUUCCUUUUAUGAGAGGACUGCUCGGGGACGGUCGACCUGAUGACCGUCCCUGCCCCGAAUCCAAUCCCCUGAGCUGUGUACAGAGUCUUGUCUCACUCACAUGCUGAAAUUGAUCAUGGGACCGGAUCUGUUGGUAAUUAUUAGAUUACAAAAUCAGUCGAACUAUCACGGAACACGAUUAAUGAAUAUGAUGAAUGAUACUAAUAGAUUUGACUUUGUGAUUUCUUCCAAUUCCAGCCCCACCCCAAUCCCCAUCAUUUUUUUGAAUCAAUCCCUAUCAUUCACUACCACCGAACUUAUAAGAAUCUAAAUCACAUAAUGUCCUUUGUGUAAGAUUGGACGAUAUAAGUCAAAGAUGUUGCUUAUACAAUUGCAAGAAAUGUAAAGCAAGCAAUAGAAUUUAUAAUAUACAUCUCUAGACAGCUAGGAGGAGACAGCUAGCAGGCGGUUUCUUGGCGAUUCUCUCUUCUCUGUAUGGAUAGUUUGCUAGCCCAAAGAUAAAUCAACCAUUAUAAAUGCACCUCUUUCCGAAGAUUUUAAUCUCUUGCCUGGUUGCGACAAUUUUUUAUUUUUGGUUUUGAAUAUCGUGGCCAUGGAUUUUGAACUAAAUUGGCAUUGUAAAACCGAAAAUAAUAUCUCAAUAAUGAAAUUUUUAAUAAAAGGAAAAUCAGUUGCCUUUAAAAUAUGGUUUCCAAACUAUAAAGUGGAACACUUUAGUUUCUAAAAUGGGCCUGUUUGGAAGCUAGUUUUUUGGACAAGUUUUUUACUUACAAGUUUUUUAACAACUUUUGCUACAAGAACCUAAAAAAAUCUUUUCAAAAUUUUUUACCUACACACUUCAAAAUACGCAAAACACAAAAAAAAAUUCCCUUCCCUUUUUUUCUUCUUCCACCCCAAAGCCAGUGUCGACCACUACCGCCGGGGAAAGGGCGGGGGGUUGCGCCUAGGUCGGGCUGGGGAAAGGGCUGGGGAAAGGGCGGGGAAGGACUGGGGAAAGGGCAGGGGAUGGCAGGGGGGAAAGGGCAGAGGGUGGCGGGGAGAGGGGGUGGCGCUGGGGAAAGGGCGGGGCAGAGAGAGGUGGCGGGGGAGGGAGUGGGAGGGUAGAGGGGAGGAGAAGGGGAAAGGAAGGAGAGGGGUGGUGGGAGGUGAGUUGGUGCUGGGAGGUAACGGGGAGGAAAGAAAAAAAGAAGAAGAAGAAAAAGGAAGAAGAAGAGAAGAGAGAAAAGAAAAGAAAAAGGAAAGAAAGAAAAAGAAAAAGAAAAAGAACGAAAAAAAAGAAAAGGAAAAAAAAGUUUUUUACCUUACAAAAAUUUCUACAAAAUUUUUCACCUUACAAAAACUUCUACAAAAAAUUUUUUCAAAAACUUUUACAGUUCACUACAGUAAAGUUUUAGACAAACUCUCAAAAAACUCAGGUUCCAAACAGAUCUAUCACACUUUAGUCUUCAAAGUUGAAAAUCUAUCCUACUUUAGUUCCUAAAGUAUCAAAUUUGUCCUAUUUAAGUACAAAUGUCAAACUUCUAUCAAUAGUUUUAUUUAGGUGGGAAAGAUUUAUACUUUAGGGGCUCAAAUAUUUUAUCUUAAAGUUUAGAAUUAGAGUGAUAAUUUGAUUAUAGUUCAAGGAUAUAAAGUUGAAUAAACCCUCAAAAAUAUAAAAAAAAAAAUAAAGGCUAACGUUAGUUUAAAUUUCAUACCGACAUACAUGUUAAAUGACUUUCCCAAUAACAAAUAGGGAUGCACUUCACAAUUCAAAUUUCAUAAGUCCACUGAAAACACACUAAUUUUUAGAUGACCCCUAUUCUUUGUUAAUGUUUACAUUGUCCCUCAAACUUUUAUGUUGGAUGCUUUACACCCCUAAAACUUAUCCCAAGUAAAUAAAUAAAUAAAGGUCUCAAAUCACCUAAAUUCUGAAAAUGUUAUUGAAAGUAGACAAAUUGCUCGUAACAGCAUAUGCAUUUUUUUUGGGGGUUAAUUUCUUAAGUGUAAUGCAAUUUUCUACCUUUAAGAAGGAAGCACAAGAUGGUGUGCAGUACAUAAGUGUAUUGUUCACUAACGUUAUUUAAAUGUAUUGUAAAUCCUCAAGAUAAAAGUAUGAGAUCUACUGAUAUAAGACCAGAACUAGUGAAAACAUUAAAGAUGGAUAAUUGAGAUAGUUUUGAGGUUCUCUUCUGAAGCAUCUAAGAGAAGCAAAAAAUAGACUUUACUUGAGACUUCCAAAAAGAGAAUCACAAAAAUGGCCAAGAAAUUUAAUAUGCAUGAAAAUAUCAUACGUUAAUAGGACUAGCUUUGAGCAUCCUUGUACUAUAUAAGAAUGAGUUGUGAUCAAAGGAAGGUUUGAAUUUCAACCGCAAGGAUAGGGACUUUUUGAAAAUGUGAAAUACUAUGUAGUUUUUUCAGAACUUUUGGCACAACUAAAGGUAGCAUGUGUAUAGAUAUAUUUACCGAAAUGCCCUCAUUUGGUACAUUUAAAGGUUUGAUUUUAUGAAGACAUUUGGGUAUUUCUAAAAUAUGGAAUUAUUUUGCAACCGUUUGUGCAUCGAAUACAACUCAUAUAAGCUUUUGUGCUGGUAUAAUUAUUGAAAUGGUGUUAUAGACACAUUUAAUUGAAAUGUGGCUUUUGUUGUGUAAUUAACACAAAGACAUAUUAACAUGUUGUGCAAUUAACGCAUUGCUGUAAUUAGCCGUUGGAGGGUAUUCUUUUGUCUGAAACAACUUAUGUCUUCUCUUGGACAAUUUUCAAUUGACAUCUAUAAAGGCCUUUUGGGAAUGGUAAAAUUGUAAAAAUAUUGAUAAAACAAAGUGUACAAGUGUGUGUUGCAAUUAGGAUGUACUAUUAUUAGCUUUGUUAUAUUUGAUGACCAUUUCUUUUCAAAAUUAACUAUUAUUUGUUCAAUAAAAAAUCUUCUUUAAUUACAGGCAACAAACACCAGCGCAAUACGGCGGCUCUCUCUCCCUAGUAGUAACUAUAGGAACAACAUCAGACAUGUUAAAUAUAUGGCUAACAUAAAGAAGGAUAUUAUUCAAAGAAUCCACCUUAGAAAGAGAGAUUUUGAACAUGCCAAAGGUCCAACUAUGCUAUAAAGUCCAAGAUGCGCAGUAAAAGUUGAAAAACUCGUAAUCUUAGCUUAUUGGGAACAAAAUAUUAUACUCCACGAAUAUGUGUCGAAUACGCAUGCAAAGUAAAAUUACAAGGAAACUUUUAUUAUUUGAAGCCAUUAAUGCAACAUCCAAAAUGGCCGUACAUAGUCUGUAUUACUGCUGACAAACCUCAAAUUGGAGAACCCACAUUCGGAUUUGUCUUCAACUUAAUCAGGGUGUAGUAUAGAAAUUACAACUGAGCAAUAGUCCAAGAAUACAUCUGCAACUUGAUUAUGAAGAUUGGAAACAGUAGUAAUUGUAUAGUAACUCUUAGGUGUAUCCAUCUCUGUAGGAUCAGGCAGUCGUGGUCUCGAGAAAUGGAUAAUCAGUGUAGCCAAUAACAGGAUCAGAUAUAUAAAAAGUAGAGCUGUCAUACUUGGUCAGAGGAGCAUUUAACUCAAAUCUUCUGGGCAAAUCAGGAUUGGACAAGAACCAUCGUCCGUAAGCAAUGAGAUCAGCCCCAUUUUCUGCUAUAGCUUCAUUGCCAUCUUCCCUUAGAUAACCACCAGCAGCCAAGAAAGUUCCCUUGAAUGCCUUUCUCAUCGGCAAAAGACUGCCAUCAUGGCGUUUAAAGUUUGGAUUGAACCUGAGUUUUGGAUCAACCAUGUGCAAGUACAGAAUCCCAUAUUUAUUCAGGGCUUCAGCCAUGUAAAGGCCUAAAGCAUUUGGAUUUGAAUCGGCGCUAUCAUUGAAAUAUGUGAAGGGUGAAAGCCUUAUCCCAACUCUAAGAGGUCCAAUUGCAUUGGAAACAGCUUCAACGAUUUCCAGAGCAAAUCUGCACCUGUUCUCCAUGGAACCUCCGUAUUCGUCCGUCCGAUCAUUUGCUUCGUCUUUCAUGAAUUGCUCUAUUAGAUAGCCAUGCGCCCCAUGGAUCUCCACCCCAUCAAAUCCUGCAAAUUAGAGCAUUAUAGUUGAUAUUGACUGCUUUGAUCUUUUGCAAAAGGUUGAGUUGUUGCAGCAAAAAUGCUUACCAGCUUCAAUAGCAUUAAUUGCAGCGAGCCUAAAAUCAUUGACGAUGUUAGGAAUCUCUUCUUUCCUCAAUCUUCGAGGAGGUGAAUAAUAUUCUAAAUCAAAACCAGUACUAUUUGACUGAACGCGGGGAGUUAACGCUUUAUCUGUAGAUGAGAUUGGAGCCUGUCCAUUAGGCUGAGCAUCUGCAAAUGACAGUAAAAUACACCAAGGCUCAUUAAUGAAGAGGCAAAGGAUAUUAUGGGUUAAAUACGUUAAAUAAAGGUCGAAAGACUACCAUAUACUCAAGUUAUAAACAAGAUCCAGGUCAACUGGUAGAGACAUCAACUAGAUAAUCAUGCGGUUUAGUCACUACUGUAAAGCAGAAACUUUGAGCUGCUGAGGCUACUUCAAAUUGAACAGUUUAAGAUUGUAACACCGAGAGUAAUUUAUACACUAGGCUGUUUAUCAAACAAGAAGACAAGGUAACAACAUCAAGUUGUGGAUAUUGAGGUCCAUCUUAGGAAUUUUAACUCCUAUGUACAGAAAUUUCAUGAAUUUUGUGGCAAAGAAAUGAAGCCAAUACAUAACAGGGGUCCCACAGGCUAUCCUUUGGACUGUGGAACGACUAGAGAGGCAAAACAUUUAAAGAGGUAAUGUGUAGAAGAAGUUACCAUAAUUAGAAACUCUUCCCACAUGCCAAAGCUGGCAAAAGAUUAUACCGCCUUUGGCAUGGACAGCAUCAACAAUGGGUUUCCAGGCCUCAACAUGUUCCUUCGUCCAGAUACCAGGUGUAUCUGUAUACCUACAAACAUUACAAAAUUAAUUGAGAGGUAAAGAAAGGGAACUACAGCAUGAAACUUGUACUGGUAUAAUUUUUGCCAUGUAAAAAAUUACCCUUGGGCUGUAUCAGAAACUCCUGUGGCUUCAGCUAUCAGGAAACCGCCUUUGGUAGUUCUUUGAGAGUAGUACAAUGCAGCAUGGGGUUGUGGUACAUUUCCAUAUGAUCUUUGCCUUGUCAGAGGUGCCAAAACAACUCUGCAAUGGGAGUUGCCAAAAACCCAAAAAGGGUAAACGAAAUGCAGAAAUUAGUCUCAGAUUUGCUAAUAUUUUGUGAAACAUUGGGUUUCGAUUGCAGAAACAAGAAUGUUAGUUAAAGAAAUGUCAAGAAAGCUUAAACAAUUCUUCUGAAACAGGGGAGGUCCAAAUAUAGUAUUGCAUUGCAGCUGCUAUUUCCCAAAUGGGAUUUUAACAAGAAGGGCCGAAAUCAUUUUCUCAUGAAAAAUGUAUAAAAAGAAGCUAGAGAAAGAUGGUACCUAUGAGAAAGCUGGAAAGGCCCCAUUUUGUAUGGAGUUAGUAAAGGAAUUGGUUGCUCUUCUUCUCGACCAUUAUCAAUCUUCUUCUCCAUGAUCUUUCUUGUUUGUACUAUUUCUUCACUUUAAUGACUUUCCCGUCUCAAAAUUCAGAGAAUAAUGCAACUAAAGGUGCAAAUGAAGCUAAUGCAUCCUCGUCCAUUUAUAGAGUUGAAAAGAAGGAUCGCGAUGCACUGAUGGUGAUAGGAAAACAGAACAAGGAACAUUAUUAUUAUUAUUUUAAAAAGAGUCCUUUCCUGGUUAAAGCCGCCAGGGUAAUAAAAAAAGGGGGCCGCCAGGGCCCACACUCCAUAAAAUCAUUGUAGUCAAAUAUAAUGUACCAAAAAAUGACAAAUUAAACUUAAUCCCCUAUAGUUUCUAGUAUUAUGAUUUUACAUCUCGAUUUAGUUUCUAGACCUCUAAGGUCAAAACUCGAGAGUUCAAGUAUUUUUUCUGCUUUCUCUUUCUUAAAUUUCAUCCUUUUUCUAUUAAAAAUUUAAAAAAACACUUUACUUUCUUUAAGUGUUUAAUUGUACUUGUGCAUGAUUUAGGAAAUUUACAAACAAAAUUACCCCGGCAGGCCACCAUUUUAGAUUAGUUCUCAUGUCAUGUAAGCACCGUGUGCUCUUGGGAUCUACCUUGACACAUCCCACGUGGUAAUGAUUAGGGUCGAAUCCAAUAGAAGUUUUUUGCACUUAAAAUUAAAAAACCAAAGCCCGCCUCUACUAAAUCUAGAGCACUUCAAAAAUGCCAACUCCAUGAUUUUGUCCAAUCUAUUAAUCACGCCAAUUCCACAUUAAUUAGCCAAGAUCAUCUAGACUAAUUGCUACUGACCUUGGACUUCUCUGGCUAUGCAAAUUAAUUUUGAAACGGAAGUUUAAGCUCAUUAACACAGUUUAUUUUUCAUGAUCCAAAUAUUUAUAUUGAUUUCAUAGAAAUAUGGAGUUGUAAAGUUUUAUGAUGACUUCUACUUCAAAUGAACAAACAUGACAAAAUUCAUGAGUAUUAUUACAAGGAUAAAAAAAAAAUUUUUGGCACUCUCAACAUAUACAUGAGUGGAUGUAGAUACAUGCCACAUAAUUCAGUUUCAAACUUUAAAUUCACUAUUUUAUAUAUAUGGCAUACAUCUAUACUUGCUAGUAUAAAAAAUUCUCCACACUAACAAUGCAUAAAAACUUAAUUCUUAUUACAGUAUUUAUAUAAAAAAAAAAUUGGUAUUAUUAUUGUAAUAAGCAUAAAACUAUUGAAUAAUGUAGCAUGACAAGGAAAACGAUAGUUUGAUCCCAUUAAUGUAUAUUUUAAGCCCUAGAACCUCCAAAGUUGUUUUAAACUACCAUAAAUUGUUAAAUCACGUCAAAAUCAAUCGCUAGCCAUUGGCAUAAGAAGUAAAUUUUGAUUGAAUUCAAAGUUUGAUGAACCAAAUUAAAAAAAUCGCUAUAUUUCACACUAGAUUUAAAUUAAGUUCUUUGAAAAAGAAUCGAUGAAAUCUUGGUCUAAUGAUUGAAGUUGAGCCUCUAGGAUUUAAAUGUCUUGGGUUCUAAUCCUCUUUUCUUCUUUCCGCUUCUUAAAUCCAACACCACCCCUAUUAGAAAAAAGUUUUAAAAAAAUAUCUCUGCGGAAAAAAAAAUAUUUUUUUAACUUGGUCCUUUAAAAUUUCAGGAUUGUGUUAAUUGAUCCCCUAACAAAAUACUUUGGCUAUCUUAUCAUAAAAUCACGUCAAACUUCCUUAGUAUAAGCUAUCCGUAUAGGAACAGUAGCACUUAAUUGCAGUUAAGGAGCUAAAUCGAAAAGUUUGAAAACUUAUAAUCCAAGUCAAAAGUUAUAUAUGUUUCAACUUCUACAGGUCAAAAGUUUCUUGUAUUUAAGCUGGACCCGGUUUUGACCUUCGACUAAUGAAGUAUGGGCGUACGUCUGUGGAUUUUUAUUGACUAAUACGCACUCGCUGACACAUUUAAACGAUACCUAACUACUCGCGUAAACACAUACAAUCCCAAUUAUUGCACUUUUGAAAUUUAGACAAUUUUUCAAAUUAAUUAUAUUUAAAAAAGAAUAACAUCUAAUACCUCUUUAACAUGAUUAUCCUUUAGGCAUCCUUUAACCAAACUGCAUGUUUAUUACCAAAAAGAGAAGUAUGACCAUACGUUGCUAUUAAUUAAUGUUUUUCCCACUUAUUUAGGUUAGAUUUAUCAACUAAGGGACUGGAGGGUUUCGAACUUUCAGUUCAUCUGAACAAAGAGUAAAUUGUUUGUUCGAUAAUGUAAAUUACUUUGAACAGUGUAAACCAAGAAAUACUAGUGUAGUAUUUUGCUUAAUAUUGAUUACAAUAAUGUGUAAUCUGUGUCUUAUAUUUUUGCGUUAAAAAUUUUAGGGUUGUGUAUUAAUUGGUACCCCCAACAAGUUUUUUGGCUAUUAUAAAAUCACGUCAAACGUUCUUAGCAUACGGUAAAAGAAGAGUAUCAUUUAGUUGAAUUUAAAGAACUAAACUGGGAGUGCCAACGGCUGAAAACAUUUUAGGUUCUGCUUGCAUUGCUAGUUUUUCAGGAGAAUAAUUUGAAAUAUUUUUUCAAUAUAUUUUUCAAUAAUCUUUAUAUUUCAUAUAUAUAUAUAUAUAUAUAUAUUACAUCAUUACAGUAUAUUUUUGUACAAAAACUCCCGAAAACUCCAAUUCAAGCAUGCUUUUAAAAUGAAAUUGAACCCAUGAUAAGGUUGGGGGUCAACUUGCACAUUUCAACUUCUAGAGGUAAAAAGUAAAAACUUUCUUGUACUCAGACAGAAUCCUAUUUCGACACCUAGGAAGUCCUGUUUGGAUUGCUAAUUUUAGGACUUUUUAUAAAAAAAUAUACUGUAAUGAUUUGAUGUAUAUGAGGUAAAAAAGUGAUUGAAAAAUAUAUUCAUGAAAAUGUAAAAACUUUUCUUCAGAAAAAUGCAACCCAAACAAGUUUACUACUCAAAAUUAUACUGAUGCAAUAGUUAAAUGGUUAUCCGUAUAUUUUGAGUCCUUAGUGGACUGAUCAUGGUACAUUAUUGCCCCCUCCAUCCCACUGAAAGUAUCCUACUUUUCACUUUGGAAUGUUUCAAAUUUUUGUCCUGUUAAAAAAGUCAAAACACAUUUUAGUCGUUCUUUUUAAUUAAACCAUUCUCGCUAAUCAUAUGCGUGUUAUCAUUUAAAUUUAAAAUUUGAAUUUGUGAGACUAAAAUUGAAAAGAGAAGUACAAACAUCACAAUCGAUCCACUAUCUUUAAAAAGUUUGAUUUCCGAAAUAGGACCAAAUAAUUAUGACAGAGGAAGCAUUUGAUUCACCAUUUAUCUACAUUUUGCUAGAGGGAGAGGAAAGAAGAAGACAGAUUCAAACUUACCACGGAUACCAUGUUGUAUGGGCAUGCGUUUAUUAUCAAACUGGGAAAAAAAAAUAGCAUCAUGCGUUGCUGCCGUUUUUGUCGCUUAUCUAAGUCAAAUUUAUUGACUUAGGGCCUGGACGGUCUAAUUUCAUUGAACGAAUUCUAAACUGUUUGUUUCAUAAUAUAAAUUAUUUCGAGCACGAUGUAAACUAAGGAACAAAUAAUGUUUGGAUUAAAUAUUAUUUAAAAUAAUUAGUAUAGUAUUAUUUGUGAUGUGAUGUACAUAAAAUAUAGAAAUUAUUAAAAAUGUAAUUGAGGUACAAAUACAAAUUUCAAAUAAUUACAUAUCCAACACCGUCUCACACAAAAUGUUGAAAUCAAUUGCAAUAUUGUGUCAUAUGAGAUUUUACACUUUUCAAAAUUUGGUGGAUUAUAGCCGUGUGGCGGUUACAAGCACCGCCCCCCUCCUCUCUCCUCCUUCUCCCUCCCUUCCCCCUCUCUUUCUCCCCACGAAAAAACGUAACAUCUUACGACAACGGCAUUCCCACUCUUCUUCCUUGAGUAACGUAACAUCUUGCGCCACCAAAUUCAUUUUGCCAAAAAGAAAAAGGUAUUGAAAAAUCAUUUUCCCAAAAGGAAAAGGGAAUAAAAAUCCUGCACCACAAAUCUUGCAGCCCAUUAGCCAAAUCAGUAAAAAUCUGUGAUGUAUGUGAGAUAAAAAGAUGAUUUGGAAAGACGAGUUUGACCGUGACUCCCUUUCAUUAUAAUUACUCCCUCCGUCCCAUUGUUAUUGUCAUAGUUCACCUUUUUUUAUGUCCCAAAAUUUGAGUCACACUACAAUUUUUUUCUCUAACAUUCCAUUUGUAGCCUCAAAAGAGACAUUGAUAAAAUAAAAAACAAGUAUGAUGGAACCCACAAAAGCAAUAAAUAGACAUCCAAAAAAAAGGUGCGUGGACAGCACCAAAAAUUUUGAUGGCCAUAAAUAGGCACGUGCUUGGCAACAGCAUGAAAAAGAGCUUACAUUUUACAUGGACCCACAAAUUCUUUUCACAUCACCAUAGACAGCAAUUAAGAUUUGAUAUCGGUCAAAGGGGCACGAUUGGAAAAAAAUGUCUCACAUUCAAAUUGAUUGAACUGUGCAUAAUAAGUUAGAAUCCCCAAAAACGUCCCUUAUUUUGGGACGGAGGGAGUAAUAAACAAGUAGAAAGCUAGAUUUCCCAGCUCAGGUACCUUCCCCAAGUUUAGAUUUAAUUUCCUAUACACUUUUCUUAUUUUAGCCAAUUUUAAAAGGAUUUAUUCCAUGUAGAUUCCUUAUAUACAUUGAAGGAGGUGGUUAAUCAAAAUGAUAACAUCAAGGAGCAUUGUUAUGAUAAAAUUUGGUUGUGCAAAAAAGCAAUUGUGUGGAGGGAACAACAUAGUAGUACUAAAGUACUGAAGAUUAAAGGGGAAAAAAAAAACACUACUAAUUUUGUCAUAUUUGGUUGCUUGGGAAGUCAACUUAUCAAAAUGACAAAUUUAAUCACCUACUUCGCAAUCUUUACCCUUAGCAUACAAUUCAGAUAUUCAAAAAUUUUUUUUUUCCUUCAGUGGGGUAUCCAAUUGCAUUGGCAACCGACUAGUCCUCCACUGGGCCCAGAUAUUCAAAAUUUCAUCUUCAAUUUUCUCAUACAAAAUAGUCGUGUGAGAAUAUAAGUGUUAAGUGAAAAAAGUGUGGUUUUACAUUUUUUUUUUUUUAGAAUGCUAUACUACCCAAUUGUCACCUUAGUAAAAAGCAAGAAUUAUUUUAGGCAUUAAUCUUCUAGAUGCGUGCCAGUUAAUUGCAAUUUAAAUUUAGGGUCUGUUUGAUAACAUAAAAAACAUAAAAAAGUGCUGAAUCUGAAUUUUUUCAGACAUUCAGAUGUUUUGAGUGUUUGAUAAAUGAAAAUCUAUUUACUGAACUUGUUAAGCAGUGCUGAACCUGUGUGUAUUUUUUUCAACACAAGAAUCCUAACUGAAUGGUUAAUUCUGAUAAGAAUCAAUAGAAUUACUUCAACUACCUUGUCUUAUCUACCAAAUCUACCCUUGUUUGUUAAUUAUGUUCAAAAUUCUUAUCUAAUUAAAUAACAUAAUAUUCUCUAUCUAACAAUUUUUAGUUUCUCUUUUCUCCCUUUUUAAUGACUUUCACAUCUUUUCCAUACUUCUCAUAUAAUAUAUUUCAUCUUUUAUAUUAAUUUAAUUCAAAAAUAAAUAUUGUCAUUUUCAUACCUAACAAUUUUAAACUAAUUAAAUCAUAGAUUCUAUUUCUUUUUUGAAUGAAAGGAUAUAAGGGCAAAAUUGUCAAAUUAAAUUUAUUAAGCAUUCAGUUAUAAAUAUUUAUCAAACAGUAUAAAUAGAUUUAGCAUUAAAAUUCAGACAUUCAUAUAUUUUUUUCAGUGCUUAAAAUUUAGCAAAUUAAUUGUUUCGGUAUUCAGAUUUCAGAAUUCAGAUUCAGUUUUAUCAAACGGAACCUUAAACUUUAUUUUUGAUGCAUGUAACAUACAUCUAGAGUUACUAGAGUAUCUAACGGUACUCAGCAUAUACAUGAUUAAUCUUUAUUUUAAAAUGCAAAAUGCUAUUCGUUUGGAUUAGCUAUUUUUUAGGAUAUUUUUGAAAUAUUUUACUGUAGCAAUGUAGGUGAAAAACUUUUACUGUAAAUGAGGUUAUUUUUGAAGUUAUUUUUGGUAUUUUAAGGUUGUUUUUUUUGUGUUUUUUGUUUUUGUUAUUUUUGUGAUGAUUUUUGUUUAUAUAGUAUUAUAACAUUGUAAAUAAAAAUCUUAUCUUUAAAAAAAGACCGAUCCAAACGCAAAUCGUCUCAAGAAGUCAAGGUAUACUUUUCUUUUCUUUUUGUCGACGGAGUGGGUGUCCGGGUCAAGUCCGUAAAGACGGCCCGACUAAUCCCACUCUGGCCCGAUCCAGCGCCCCAACCAGACCUAGCACGGUAUGUGCACGGAGAAGUCGAUGUUGCUGCGGAGGUUCGACCUCAGGACCUGACGGUCCCGAGGAAGAGGCGCCAACCACCAGCCCAUUCACGUGGGGCAAGAAGUCAAGGUAUACAAUCGUCUCCCUCUUUUCCUCUUUCUCGAUAAUCGCACAACAACAUUACCAAUGACGCUUUGUCCAUCGAAUAGUCAAAUGUUGUACAGGGUUUUGAUUAUUUUACUUUCAUUUUCAAUUUUAGGUAGGUUAGUUAUUUCAAAUGAACCCCCGUAAUACAAACUUGAGUUUUUUAUCAUGUAAUGAUGAUAGAGUAAUCCAAAUAUCUCCUUUUAUUUAAUGCUGUCUUUUCCUUUUUUCUUUUUUUUUCGACAGUCGGUAAUAGUCUAUUCUACACUACUCCUACUUCUACUCUAACCUAUUUAGAAGGGGAUUCAACUAGACCUAUAAAAGGGCCGACGGGAACUGAGCCACAAUCGGACCAAGCGGAUGUACUACACACCCGUCUAAAUUUGAAAAGCCACAUACUGUGACAAUUUGUGGGAAGCAAACUUUGACCUCACCAAGCCUUAAUCGCUUGAUGGUGGCCAUCAACCCAAAGGCGGGUGAUUUUUUCCUGUUUUCUUUUUCCCUUCAGCAAAAUGUGGACAAUUGAUCAAUGCUUACGUUGCAUCAUCAGCCCAUCAAAGGGUCAAAAGGUAUGAAAAUCAUUUGGCUCUUGCAUUGGUAUAAUUUUCAGUAGUGAACUACUUCACCUUUCAGAGUUUCAGUUUCAGAUCACCCAUUAAACUAGGCCACAGUCCUUGGGGAUUAGCUGGUUGAAGCCCUUCCAUCCACCAUCCCAAUUAAGCUCUUCCUUCAUCCAAGACGAAUAUAUGGGGACCAAAAUUCUCCAAUGGCUCUCAAACUAUUACGAAAUUUAACUUUUGAUCCUCAAAUUAUUAAUUGAUAAAUUUUAUUCCUUCAACUAAUUAAAGCAUAUAAUUUUAGCCCUUCCAUCAAUUUGAGUGUUAUGUUUUUUUUUUAAAAAAAAAAAUAGCACAACGUGAGUAGCAAUGGCCCUCAAACUAUUAUAAAAUUUAACUUUUGGCCCUCCAACUAUUAAUUAAUAAAAUUUACCCCUCCAACUAAUUAAAAUAUAUAAUCCUAACAUUUCCAUCAAUUUGAGUGGUUAUGUCAAAUAGAAACAUCACCACGUGCGCGGUAAGGACAUAACCAAGGGGCAUUUUCAUUUUCACAGGAUAUGUGCUAGGGUAAAAUUAUUUUUACUCCCAUUUGUCUCUUAAACUAAUUUACCAAAUCUCCGAUUGCUGAAAUUGACCAAAAUCAAUUGAAAGCCCAUAAUCUAAAAUCCUGAAUAGAGAAAUUUCAGCAAGGACAGGUUACUUGAAGAAAUUGAGUUGUUUUCAUUUGGAAUUUAACUCAUUUUUUCAGUGUUGUUUUAGAUUCAUUGGGUUCACGUGCUUCUCUUAAUGACAUUAACCUGGCAUAUAAUACAUUUUUUGGGAAUAUUCCAACAAUUGUUGGUUCCGUUCCAAACUUAAACUUUCUCAAACUCUCAAAUAAUCAAUUUUCUAGUGAAAUUCCUCAGAACCUACAUUUUUGCCUUCUUGAUUUGUUAAACAAUAGGUUGGUUGGGCACAUCUCAGAUUCUUUGUCAAUUGAUGUUUUUAUUCGACAUAAUGACUCAAGUUGAUGAAAGGACUAAGUUUAUACAUUUUAAUUAGUUGGAGGAUUAAAACUUAUCAAUUAAUAGUUAGAGGGCCAAAAGUUGAACCAUUUUGACCAUCUCAUGAAUUCUGAAACUCUGUUAGACAUAAUGGUUGAAGUUUAUGGAAGGGCUAGAAUUAUCUGUUUUAAUUAGUUGGAGGACUAAAACUUUUUAAUUAAUAGUUGGAGGGCCCAAAAUUAAAUUUUGUACCAGUUUGAGAGCUACAAGGGCAUUUUGCCCUUAUAUGGGCAUAAUACGAAUGGCUGGAGUUGGGGGAAGGGCGGAUCGGAUUGGAUUAGAUGAUAAAGGGGGAGAGAUUGCAAGUAAGAGAUUAUGAGUUCAAAACUUCUUACUUACCAAAAGAAAAAAAAGUAGGGAUAAUUUCAGAAACCUCCCCUGAGGUUUCUGACAGUCUCAAGGACCUCCCCUGAAGUUCCGAAAAUCCCUUAUACCUCCCCUAAAACUAAGUAGAUAGUUUCAGGUCCAACCCAAUUGAGGUGGACAAUGAAUAUAAAAUGUGUUUCAGGAGAGAGAAAAUAAUCAAAUUCCACCUCUGCCCUCAAGAUUGUCAUUAGUGAGGAUGUUUAUGUUAGGGGCUGCUUGGUUAAAGGGUUUGGGAAUCACAAAAUGGAAUAAAUCCCUUAUUUGUUGCUUGGGUUAAGCCUAUUGGAAUGCUAUUUUUGGAAUCAUUCCCGAGUAAAUUGGGAGGUUUUGGACAAAACCCUCAACUCAUUCCCUCAGACAAUAUUUAUCAAACCAGAGUCUUCUUCUUCAUCAGUUUUUCAAUCUCUUCUUCUUCAAUCAAUCGCCACCCAUCACCUUCAUCGGACAUCUUCUUUCUCAUUUCAAAGUCCCAAAUUCAGGUUCACAAAUAGUAGCAAUAGCUUUCCAAGAUCUGAAAGUCUAAACGAGAAAUUAGAUCAUGUAGUAGAUGAUUUGCUUGAAAAGGUUGAAGCUUCCAAGGUGGAAAUUGGAGAAGAGAAGAUUUUAUUGAUUGGGCAAAACAUUCCUUAGAACCAAACAAUGUCAUGAGUGGUGAAGUUCUGGUGAAAUUUUUUGAUUGUGUUCUGGUAAAUCUGAAGGAUCUGCUUAAGUUUGAAAACAAUUUGAUUCUGUCUUUGAAGGAACAAAUCUCAACCCUUGAAGUGAAUUUACUAUUCUUGAAAAACUUUGUCAUCUUCACAAAUAGGCUAUGCAAUGGGUAUGCGAAUAUCGGACUGUUUUUUACUUCUAUUGAAGAUGCUGCAAAUAAUGGUAUUUCGUUCUGGUGUUGGUUGGGAUGGAAGAAAUAGGGAGUCAAAAGUUGAUAGUAAUAGAGACAGCGACAUUUUAACCCUUCAUUCUAAAGCCAUAAAGAGCUGGUGUUUUAUGGGAAAAUAGGUACUCUGUUCUUAUAAAGUAGGAAAGUCAUAAAGAGCUGGUCUUUUAUGAAAAAAUAUGACUAUUGUGAAAGUGACCGCGAUUUGGUUUAUGAAAUUAUCCCAAAAAAAUAGCAGAAUGAAUUUGUUUGUUUUGAAAGUUGUAUAACGGUCGUUAAACUUCAAAUAUUCCUUCCUUAAACUUCAAAAUCUACAAAAUCUCAUAUUUUGAACCCAUUGAAUGCCGAAAUUAAAAUAAAAUAAAAUAAAUUUAUUGAAUUAAAAUAAAAAUUUUUUCGGAAAAAUCAUGCCAAAAUAUGGAAGCAUCAUACGAAACAAUGAUGGGAAACUGAGGUACAUGACCUUGCAUUUGUUAAAUGCAAGGUACAUGAUCUCGCAUUGAAGGAAAAUGGGUACUCUGUAAGUAUAAUAAACGAAAGCCAUAAAGAGCUGGUCUUUUAUUUAACAAUGGGUUUAAAUUUAUUUUAUCCGAUAAAUAAAUUUCUAGAAAAUUUUCUAGGCAAUUUUCUAGGAAUUCGUAUUUAUCGGAUGCAAGAUACAGUCCAACCAAAAAGCUUGCUAGUUUGAUGCAAUUUUUGGCGCCUUUUCUCUUAGCCCAAAUUAGCAAUUCAUUUUAUUAUCAAAUUCCAGUUAAGUUACUUAAUCCUUUCUAUUACUCAUUUCACUAAUUAAUUCAUGUUAUUAUCAGAAUAUAUUACUUCAACAGCAGGGAUAUUUGUGUCAAUUCAACGUUUUUCAAGUCAUUUUGGGACCCAACAAUCUGACAGGGGAGGUAUAAGGGAUUUUCGAAACUUCAGGGGAGGUCCUUGAGACUGUCAGAAACCUCAGGGGAGGUUUCUGAAAUUAUCCCAAAAAAGUAAAUUGUCAAAAAGGGAUCGUUAACCUCACGUAUUUCGCUCCAUUUCAAACUAAAGCCGCAAAUUCAGUUCACAAGGGCUAGACGGAUUGCUGGUGGCAGCCUUGGGUUGAGCGUUUGCCAAGAAAAAGAGCAGUGAAAAAGUUGGAGAAGAUGGGAGUAGCGGGAGGGCUGGAGAUGUUGGAGAAGCAGCAGUAGCGAAGGAUGGAGCAACAAAGAUAAUCAUUCUUUGCAGGAUUGUCUCAGAGCAGUGAAAAAGUUGGCGGAGAUGAGAGCAUUGGAAGGGUUGGAGAUGUUGCCAACCAGCAGUAGCGAAGGAUAGAGCAAGAAAGAUAUUCAUUCUUCGCAGGAUGGUCUCGUCCGUUCUGUAGUAUAUUUCAUGGUAAUGCUAUUCCUUUACACUACCAAGAGGCCCAAAAGGUACCAACCAUGCCCUUAGAGCUAAAUUUCCAAUUUCAUACCAGAAGACAAUGGAGCAACAGCAAAGUUAAUGACAAACUAAUCCUCCACGAAGAAAGAAAGCAGCCAAAUAUAUACGUUGGAGGCAGCAUCACGAGACAAAGUAAUUCAUCCACCGCAAAGUGCGUUGAUUCUGAUGGACAGAAUCAGUAAUUGCGUUGAUUGGAUUUCUGUGAAUCACAAAAAAUCGAGAAAAGCAACAUGCUAGUGUGAAUCAACUUUAAAAACCACAAGAACCAGGCAACAUACUUGCUAGUGUGAACCAACUUCAAAAACCACAGGAACCGGUUAAACUAUCCUUUAUAACUCACACAUUAGCAUUCAACCUUGAGUCUUAUAAGACAAAUUGCCAAAACAUAAUCUAGAAGCAGCACUACAAUGAGACUGAGUUCUCUAAGGAGAAUGAUACUUGUUCUAGAAAUGGAAGCAAAAUAACUUAGGAAUUGGGAGGCAAAAACGAAGGUAGACUAUACGUCAAGAUACAGUACUCGUUCCAAAAAACAUUGAAAUUUUAUUUGAAGCACUUCGCAUCCAACAGAGGCUCUCCCUCGAAAGGCUCAUAAUCUUCAAUCAUCUGGUUGACACGCUCUUUUUCGGCUUCAUCACUGAUGUCUACCUCCUUCUAGUUAUGCAGCUCCAUAUCAUAAAUCUCAUCCAGGACAAAUUUGGGGAUUUGUUUACUGCGGAAAAGCCACAACCCCUUGACCUUGGAUGCGGGCUCUAAACCAAUGGCCAACAUUUUCCCAAAUGCAUACUUGCGUGCAAGAUCCAUUCUUGGCAGAAAUCCACCAACCUUGUUCAAAGUAACAAAAGAAACUAUGUUUUCAUCAUUGUACUUGUCAUCGCAAAACCAGAGUGAGUAUCCUUCAGGAUCAUACAUGUCCCAAAAUAUUAUAGUCCACGAAUAUGCAUCGAGUAUGCAUGCAAAGCAAAAUUACAAGGAAACUUUAUUAUUUGAAGCCAAUGCAACAUCCAAAAUUGCCGUACAUAGUCUUUAUUACUACUGACGAAACUCGAAUUGGAGAAUCCACAUUUGAGUUUCUCUUCUACUUAAACAGGGUGUAGUGUAGAAAUUACAACUGAGCAAUAGCCCAAGAAUACAUCUGCAACUUGAUUAUGAAGAUUGGAAACACUAGUAUUUGUAUAGUAACUCCUAGGUAUAUCCAUCUCUGGAGGAUCAGGCAGUCGUGGUCUCCAGAAAUGGAUAAUCAGUGUAGCCAAUAACAGGAUCGGAUAUAUAAAAAGUAGCUCUGUCAUACUUGGUCAGAGGAGCAUUUAACUCAAACCUUUUGGGCAAAUCAGGAUUGGACAAGAACCAACGUCCGUAAACAAUGAGAUCGGCCCGAUUUUCUGCUAUAGCUUCAUUGCCAUCUUCCCUUAGAUAACCACCAGCAGCCAAGAAAGUUCCUUUGAACGCCUUUCUCAUGGGCAAAUGACUAUCAUCAUGACGUUUAGAGUUUUCAUUGACCCUGAUUCUAGGCUCAACCAUGUGCAAGGUCAGAAUCCCAUAUUUAUUCAAGGCUUCAGCCAUGUAAAGGCCUAAAGCUUUUGGAUUUGAAUCAGCACAAUCCAUGAAAUCUGUGAAGGGUGACAGCCUUAUCCCAACUCUAUGAGGCCCUAUUGCAUUGGAAACAGCUUCAACUAUUUCCAGAGCAAAUCUGCACCUGUUCUCUAUAGAAACUCCAUAUUCGUCCGUUCUGUCAUUCGCUUUGUCUUUCAAGAAUUGCUCUAUUAGAUAGCCAUGAGCCCCAUGGAUCUCCACCCCAUCAAAACCUGCAAAUUAGAAAGUUAUAUACGAUACUGACUGUUUAAUCUUGCAGAAACUUCGAGUUGUUUUUGAAAGUAGACUGUAACAUUAUUAGAACAUUUACCAAGGCGUUCAUUUAUUUAAGUUUCUUAUAAAUUUUGAUUGCUGCAAAAAAGCUUACCAGCUUCAAUAGCAUUAAGUGCAGCAAGCCUAAAAUUGUUGACAAUAUCAGGAAUCUCUUCUUUCCUCAACCUUCGAGGAGGUGAAAAUUUUAUAUCGUAACCAGUAGUACUUGUUGGAAGGUGGGGAGUUAUUUCCUUUUCUGUAGAUGAGAUUGGAGCCUGUCCAUUAGGCUGAGCACCUGCGAAUGACAGUAAAAUACAACAAGGCUCAUUAAUUAAGAGGCAAAGGAUAUUAUGGGUUAAACUAUGCUAAAUAAGGUCGAAAGGCUGCUAUAUAAAUGAUGAACAAGAUGCUCAUGAGGUUUAGUCACUACUGUAAACCAGAAAAUUUGAACUACUGAGGCUACUUGGCAAUGAACAGUUUAAGAUUGUAAUACCUCAAGUAUUUUAUACACUAGGCUGUUUAUCAAACAAGAAGUCAAAGGUAACAAUGUAAUAGGGCCUUAUCAAAUUGUGGAUAUUGAGGUCCAUUUUAGGAAUUUUAAUUCCUAUGUGCUCAGAUUUUGUGAAUUUUGAAGCAAAGAACAAAUAAACGGACAAGAAGUUACCAUAAUUAGAAACUCUUCCCACAUGCCAAAGCUGGCAAAAGAUUAUACCGCCUUUGGCAUGGACCGCAUCAACAAUGGGUUUCCAGGCCUCAACUUGUUCCUUCGUCCAGAUACCAGGUGUAUCUGGAUACCUACAAACAUUAAAAUCUUAAUUGACAUAUAAAGAAAGUAAACUAUAGCAUGAAACUUGUACUGGUAUAAUUUUUGCCAUGUAAAAAUUACCCUUGGGCUGUGUCAGAAACUCCUGUGGCUUCAGUUAUCAGGAAACCGCCUUCGGUAGUUCUUUGAGAGUAGUACAAUGCAGCAUGGGGCUGUGGUACAUUUCCAUAUGAUCGUUGCCUUGUCAGAGGUGCCAAAACAACUCUGCAAUGGAAGUUGCCAAAAACCCAAGAACGGCAAAAGAAAAUGCAGAAAUCAGUCUUUUGAUUUGCUAAUAUUUUCUGAAACAGGGGAUUUAGGUAGCAGAACCAAGGAUAUUAGCAAAAGAAAUGUCAAGAACGUUUAAAAAGUUUUUCUAAAACAGGGCAAGUCCAAGUACAGUAUUGCAUUGCAGCUGCUAUUUCCCAAAUGGGAUUUUAACAAGAAGGGCCAAAAUCAUUUUCUCAUGAAAACUACAUUGUAUUUAAAAAAAAAAAAAAAAAAAAAGCGCUAGAGAAGAGCAGAAAGAUGGUACCUAUGAGAAAGCUGGAAAGGUCCCAUUUUAUAUGGAGUUAGUAAAGGAAUUGUUUGCUCUUCCUGCCCAUUAUCAAUCUUCUUCACCAUGAUCUUUCUGGUUUAUACUAUUUCUUCACUUUAAUGACUUUCCUGUCUCAAAAAUCAGAGAAUAAUGCAACUAAAGGUACAAACGAAGCUAAUGGAGCCUCUUUUAUUUAUAGAGUUGAAAAGAAGGAUCUCCUUGCACUGGUUGUGACAGGGUAACAGAACAAUAAACGUUACUACUAGAAGAGAUUUGGGGAGGGGGGGGUAGGGAGGGGGAGUGAUCCUGCCUUGGUCAUGGUUCAAAAUUGUGGUCGCAGUUGUGGCCCAGAUCGUUCCACAUCAGUUUCAACAUAUUAGUCGCGGUUUUGAUAAAACGUAAAUUUUGAAACAUUUAAUAUUCUAAAAAUUGUGAAUAAUAUAAAAAAAAUAUAUGAUAAACAAAAGUUAUAAUAAUAUUAGCAAAAAUAAUAAAAAUUGAGUUGAUUUAGGAUGAUUCGGAACGACUUGACUAGGGAUGUAAUCGAGCCAAGUCAAGCUCGAGUAUUGCUAUACUCGAGCUCGACUCGACUCAUAUAUACCUAGGCUCGAGCUCGACUCGAGCUUGACCGAGUACAAAAAAUCGAUACUCGAAACUUGACUCGAGAAACUCGCUUUAAACUCGAGACUCGACUCGAUCUUUAGUCAAGCCUUAUCAAAUCGAGCCUAAUCAAGUUUUUUGACUCGACUCGACUCGACUGGACCAAUCUCCCCUUUUUUAGACAUUUUUUCUUUUUAGGUCUUUUUACAAUUAUGUUAUUACUUUUUUGCCAUUAUGAAAUUUUAUUAUAAAGAAGAGUUUAUUGUAAAUUCCGUAAAACUUAUACCCAUAAUGGUCAUUUUAUAAUUAUAAUACAUAUAUAUUAUUUAAAUUAUAAAUAUAUUAUUUAAAUACCCCUGACUCGACGAGUAGCUCGACAAGUCUCGAGCCUUAAAAUAUUGGCUUGAAACUCGACUCGAAUGACAAUCGAGUAGCUUGAGACUCGGCUCGAACUCGGGUUGCCCGAGUUCAAGCCAAACCAUUGACCGAGCUACUCGAUUAUGACUCGACUCACUUAUAUCCCUAGACUUGACUGUUUCUAUUCGUCUUAGAGACGUUUUGACCGAAUUCUUAGUGACUCGAUCGAAUGCUCGAUGAUUCAUUAUCUUGAAAUUAUUUCAUCCCAAUAUUAUGCCAGAGAAUUUCGUUCCGGUGACGACUCGGUAGAGUUUUUGAAACAUGGUCUUGGUUGAAGCCGCCAGGGUUGGGGGAUUGAUCCUGCCUUGGUUGAAGCCGCCAGGGUCCACACUCCACAAUGCACCCAAUGACAAUCAAAUGAAUGUAGUAGUCAGCAAUGACGUACCAAAAAACACGGCAAAUUACAUUAAAUCCCUCUACUUUUUGGUAUCACGACGCACUUGCAGAGGAGGCUUUAGUUUAGUCUACUGAUCAAGAUUGAAAAAAUUUUAAAUUCAAAUUCUUGUUCUCUCUUUGCUUGUUAAAUUUCACUCUUCUCUUUAAGAAAAAUAAAAAUUUUAUGUUGUUCAAGUCUUUUCUUAUACAUGAUUUAGGAGAUUUAUGAACAACAUUAUCCCCGCAUAACUUGUGCAUCAUUUAGAAAAUUCACAAAUAAAAUUAUCCCCGUGUUCUAAAUUAUUUCCAUAGUCAUGUAACGAAAAUUUUUCCAUAGGAAAGUUGUGCUCCUGGAGUCUACCCUAGUACACGGUGGUGGUGAUCGGAGACGAAUCCAACAAAACUUUUUCACACUAGAAAAAAUUUUACCCUCGAAGCCUGCCUCUACCAGAUCUAGGGUACUCCAAAAUUGCCACUGUUCCUUAGCUAACUAUACUCUUAACCUCAUGAUUUUGGCCAGCCUAUUAAAAAAUAAACAAACAAAUAAAUAAAAAGCUAAUCCCACAUUAACACACCAAGAUCUUCUCUGGACUUCUCCACUCUCCUCCAGUUAAUUUGUAGAUGGAAUCUCAAAUUCAUUAACACAUCUUUUUUUCAUGAUUUAAAUAUUUAAGUUGAUUUUACUGAAAUAUGGAGUUGCAAGUUUUAUAAUGACUUCUAGUUCUAAUGAACAAACAAACACCACAAAUUUGAUGGGUCUUUUUUUUAAAUAAAAAAAAAAAAAGUUGAGUAUUACUGCAGUAAUAUGUAUAAAAACUACUGAAUAAUGUAGCAUUACAAGGAAAACGGUGUUUUGAUCCCGUAAAACAAUCGUGUAUAUAGUUCGAGCCCUUGAACCUCCAAAGUUGUUUUAGACUAACAUAAAUUGCUAAAUCACGUCAAAAUCAAUCCUCAGCCAUUGGCAUAAGAAAUAAAAUUUGAUUCGAUUUCAAAGUUUGAAGAACCAAAUAUAUUUAAAAGGUCAAUUUUUUAGCACCCAAUUGAAAUUGAGCUCUUUGGAAAAAUUUUUUUUUUUCUUUGAACUUGGUCCUUUGAAAUUUCAGGACUGCGUUAAACGCUUCCCCAACAAUUAUUUUGGCCACUCUAUCAUGAAUUUGGUCAAACUUCUAAGUAUAAGCUAUCGGUGUCAGAACAGCAGCAUUUAGUUGAAAUUAAGGAGCCCAAUCAAAAAGUUUGAAAACCUAAAUGACAGUUCGGCGGUCAACUUAUAUGUUUCAACUUUUACAGCUUAAAAUUUUGUCGUAUUUAAGACAUCCUGUUCCGCCUAAUGAACUAUGGGCAUUAGCUUGUGGACUUUUUAAACCGGUGGACGCCUGUUAGUACACUUAAAUUAUAUCUAACUUACUCCCUCUGUCCCAUUUUGAUAAUUCUAAUUUUUUUUUCACACAGUUUAAAAAAAAUAGUUAAUUUUAUUGAAAAAACAAAUUUAAAUUACUAUUUUUCUAAAAUACCCUUACAUUAAAUAAAGUUGGCUUUUCAUACAUCAAUAUGUUUUGGAAAAUCUAAAUGUAUUAAAUGGGGUAGGUUAUAUUCAAUACUAACAAUCUAUAUUAAAUAAGGUAGUUUAUAGUAAUAACAACUUACAUUAAAUAAGGGUAUUUUAGAGAAAUUAAAAGAUAACUACGCCCUCAGGGGCUUGGUCUGGUGGUUGAGGUUGCUGAAGAUGGGGCUUCAGGUCCCUGGUUCGAACCUUGCUGCCAGCAAGUUGUUGAGGGUGGUGAAUAGUCUGCGGGGUCCACUCCCUGCGGGACACACCUUAAAAAAAAAAAAAAAAAAAAAAAAAAAAAAGAUAACUACAUUUUUUAAUUGGAAAGUGGACUACAGUUUGGGACAAACGAAAAAGAAAAACAGUACUAUCAAAGUGGGACGGAGGAAGUAUUAUGUAAACACAUAUCACAGUCAUCGCACCCCUACAUUUAGAUUCUUUUUUUCUAUAAAACUAACACUUGAUAUCUCCUCUUAUUGAAUAUCAGCUCUAUUAGGCAUCAGUUAGUCAAACCGUACAUUCAUUACAAAAAGAGAAGUAUGGCCAUACACUGCAAACGUUAUGCUCACUUAGGUUAAAUUUAUCGACCAAGGGACCGGAGGGUUUCAGUUCAUUUGAAUGAAUUGUAAACUGUUUGUUCUACAAUGUAAAUUACUUUGAACAAUGUGAAUCAAGAAACACUACUAUUUUGCAGGUCUCACACAAAUCAUAAAAUUGAUUUCAACGUGUAAUCUGAAUCUUAUAUUUUUAGCCCAAAAAAAAAUCUUGGAUUGCGUAUUGAUUGGUACCCACAACAAGUUUUUUGGCUAUUAUUAUAAGAUCACGUAAAACAUCCUUAGUAAACGGUGUAAGAAGAGUAUCAUUUAGUUGAAUUUAAGGAGCCAAAUCAGAAAAUGCCAUUGUUACGAAAAACUUAGGAUUGCAAGUUUUUCAAGAAAAAAAUUUGAAAUAUUUUUUUGAUGUAUAUUUUAAUUAUAUUUUUUACAUUACAUAUAUCACAUUGUUACGGUAUAUUUUUAUAUAAAAUCCAAACGGGCUAUUGAAAUGAAAUCGAGACUGUGAUAAGCUUGGCGGUCAACCUGCACAUUUUCAACUUCCAGAGGUCAAAAGUUUCCUGUACUUGGACAGUUUACUAGUCAAAAUUAAACUAAUGCAAUAGUUAAAUGGUUAUCCGUAUAUUUUGAGGCCUAGGUCGGCUAAUCAUGGUACAUAAGCAUUUGAUUCAUCAAUUGACUAAGGGCAGGACGGUUUAAGUUCAUUGAACAAAUUCUGAACUGUUUGUCUAAUAAUGUCAAUUAUUUUAGGAAUAAUUUCAGAAACCUCCCCUGAGGUUCCUUAUAGUUUCACUUUGGUCCCCUAAAGUUUCAAAAAUUACACCUUCCUCCGUUGUCCAUUUAAAAUGACAAUACUAACCUUAAUAUUUUUAAUAAAACUGUCUUGUUGCCAUGUUUAGGCAAAGGAUGGAUUUUAUAUUUUUUUUACCAUUUUCCUUUUUAUUCAUUUCUCUUAUAUUUCAUUAGAAGUAUAAAAGAACUAUCAAUGUUGUUCCUAAUAUCUAUUCAAAUUACGUUAAACUAGUAAUAUUUUUUUGAUAACUUUUAACAUUCUCCAAUUUUUUUGGUAGUUCUCUUUUUUAGUAUCAAAAUCAAGGAUAAGUCAAUAAUAAUUAAAAAUAAAUGGUCCAAAAUCACUACCAAAUUAUGAUAGUUCCACCAUUAAACUAGUCCAUAAAUUUUCAUUUUAAAAAAAUAGUCCAUAAACUUUAAAAGAAACAAAAUAGCACUCUCUAUCUUAAAAAGAAUUUAUAUUCCCAAUAAAACACUAUGAAAUAUACCCUAUUAUAACAAAAGAUUUAUUGUUAUGGUUGAUUAUUAAAUAACAAAUAUUAGCAUGAAAACUUGACACUCUUUUUGUUUAGAAGAACAAAUUGAACUUUUGUAAGAUAAGAGCAUUUUAGGGUAUUCAUUAAAUUUUUUACUCUAUUUUAAAGUUUAGUUACCAAAGUGUCAAAUCAAGGGAAGUAAGUGUAAUUUUUAAAACAUCAUGAUAACUAAGUGAAAUAAUAAGAAACCUCAAGGGAGGUUUCUGAAAUUAUCCCAUUAUAUUAUACACAGUGUUUCUCUUAUGCAAGGGUUUAUUUGAUGAAAUUGAAAUCUAAAGAAUAAAUUUGAAUCUAUUAAGUUAUUAAAUUGUUAAAUAUUAAAAUCUUUAAAAAUUUAAAAAACAUAAAGAAAUCUUAACAUUUGUGCGUAUUAUGUAUUAACUGAUUGGUGAAUAACUUUUCACUUAUCUUUUUCGAGUAAGUUGUGUCAAUAUAAUUCGCAUUCACUUCAUUAAUUAAAUUGUUCUAUUUUUUAUUAUCAAAUAUAUCUAAUCGUGUUAAAAUUUGAAUUUAUUAAAUUUAAGUAUUGAAUUAAUUGAUCAAAUAGGCCCAAUUCUCACGCAAACGUUGAAAUCUAUUACGUCACCAGCAUAUGAGUUUUACAUCUUUUAAAAUUUGGUGGAUUAUUGCGGGGGGCCCUUCGGCCAUUCCCAAAUCUAGUGCUUUGAGUGGUAACGUAACAUCUUACGUCACCAUCAUAAAUUCAUUUUGCCAAAGGAAGAAAAGGAUUAAAAAAUUCAUUUCUCCAAAUGGAAAGGAGAAUAGAGAUCCUACCACUACAAACCUUGCAGCCCAUUAGCCAAAUCAGCAAAAAUUAUUCAUCAUUCUCUCACAAAAGUUGUUUGUUUAAAUUCUAUUUCUAAUGUGAGAGUUGUAUUCGUGGACGAUUUGUAAGAACCCUUGUAAAUGACCUUCUGUUGCCAAUAUAAAUGUUAUAUUGAUGGGCGAUCAAUAAGAACUCUUGUAAGUGACUUCCUGCUAUCGAUAUGAGAGUUAUAUUGAUGGGUGAUUUGUAAUAAUUAUUACAAGUGACGUGUGAUUCCGAGGACAUGUUAUGUACCAUAGUUGUAAUUGGAGUUAAAUCUAUCCAAAAAAAUUUUUACCAAAAAAUCAAUAAAUAAAUAAAUAAAGUAAAAAUUAUUGUAAUUAGAAAGACGAGUUUGACAAUGAUUCCCUUUCAUUAAUUAAUACACAAGUACAAAGUUUUUUGCCUUAUUAAAAGCAAAGAGUAUAAAGCUAGAUUUCCCAACUUAGGCAGCUUCCUCAAGUUUAUAUCUAAUUGAAAAAGUCUUGAUGGCCCUUGAACUUUGAUUGAUAAUUUUCUGCAAGUAUACAGGACCGAUCGUAGUAAUAGGAUCACUUGAAGUAUUCCAGGGUCGAACCCAAGAGAUGAGUUAAUUUCCUUCUUUAAUUACUAUGAUAAAAAAAAAUUGAAAGAGUGGAGAAAUUAGAGAGUAACUUUGAUGUAAUGCGAUAACAAAACAAAUUAAUUGAAAGGGAGAAAAUCAACAAGUACGUGUAUCCCAUAAUCCUGAAUUAAUUUCCCUAAUUAUUUUCUUACCAAGUUAGGAACGCAUCACACGAAUAUAUUUUAGACUACCUCUCGAUGCAUCUAAAGUAUGUUUAAUUAAAUCUUACGCCUCUCUUGAUGGUCAUAAUAGUUCAAUUAAAUCCAUUAAAAUUCUCAAUGAUUUAGGUGCGUCAUACAUACCCUUAUCUACUCUCAUAAUUAGUCUAUGUGUAUUUAUCUAUCUAGUACACGGUUGUAUCUCAUUUCUCAAUUUGACACAAACAUAACAUUCAUGUUCAUGGUGAUCAAGCAUAAACAGUCAUCAAGAACAAGAUAAAUAAAUCGUAGCAUAAGAUAAGAAUUUAACUGGAGGAAUCAAUCAAAAUCCUUUCGUAAACCCUAACCCUAGAAAAUAUUUUGAUUAAAAGCACAAAUCCAAAGAGUUAAUACAAAAGAGAGAAUAGGAGCUAGGGAACUUCUCAAUUGUUGCUCUGAUUCACCGCUUGUACGCUCCUUGGUUUGAUCUCCUACGCUUGACUUCUCUAAAGAAUAAAAGUGUUUUUAGGCUAAGAGCUACGGUUGCUACCCCCCUCCCCCACCCCACAAAAAAUGACCUAAAAAAUCCCUAUUUAUAUUUAUCACCAAUUGCCUUCGAAUCCCCUUCAGAAUAGGUUUCUUAUCGUAGACGAAAUACGCGCGUGAGACCAGUCUAAUGAAGACCGGAGUGAAGUCCGGCACCGGUCUUCAUACUGCAACUCGCAGUAUUCAACUUCUGGUGAUGCCCGGCAUAAAGUUCGGGAACUUCUAUUGAUGUUUGACGUGAAGUCAGGCGCGCCGGUCUUUGAGCAAUUUCCCAAAUUUUGUUUUUUGGCCCUUGAAUUUUGAAUCUUUCAUGCCUUUUCCACCUAAUUUCUUCAAUUCGCUCAAUUAUGUCCUUGUGAUACCAAAAUAACUUUGAAUAAGCAGCUUUCUGUCCAAUUUAAGCACAUAAAGCAUAAAUAUAACUCAAGAAUACCUACAAGAAAAUCUUAUAAUCUACUCCCUAUCAAAAUUUUAGCUGCGUAAAGUUUUAAUUCUUGAAUAAUUAUUAAAGAAAUUUUAACCUCCUGAUCUAUCAAAAGUGCAAACCAUUAAUCAUUUUAUCAAUUUCAACUUUUUUCUUUGACCGAAACACCAUCACAUGCGAUGAACCAGGAAAAAUCAAGGGUAAUCUAGUCUGUCCAAAAGUACUUAUUGACUAAAAUCAAGGUCAAUCUAGUCCUCUCUCUCUCUGAGUUGAAUCUUGGAAUGGAACCUAGCAAUUGUUGCAAGACUAUCCGAGGUAUAGAAGAGAGGGGGAGGAAGUAGAGGAGGUGUAGGAAAUUUUUGACAGAAACAGAAUAAGUUAGCCCACUUGGGCUUCCAUGUCCAGCCCAUCCAAACGCCAACCAAGACUGCAAUCCAAAGAGAAGCAAGAAACAUCAUCAGCCCCGUUAUGGCAUCCCAAAUAGAGGAGACCCUUGAUAUAUUUCCAACAAAACCGAUGCAUGCCAAAAGCGUCCUAUAAUGCUUUAAUGAUACCAUAAAUAAUUCACCCCUUAAAUCAGGAACUAAAGAAUUCUUUUAGAAAUGUCUAAAUUAAAAGACCUUAUACCUGAAAAGAAAUAAGCCCUAGAUUCAAUAGCAGAAGGUGCAGCUUUUAAGCACAGCAACGAGUUCAAAGUUUUUCAAAAAAAGAAAGACAAAAAAGAAGAUAAAAAUUAUCAAAAAGUUUAGAGAAUAAGGGAAGAAAAAAAGAUAUGGGAAGAGGAGUGAGAAAGAGAGCUUAGGACAAAAAAUCUCAAUGACCCUUCAUUUUUUGUUGUUAUGUCGCACCUGAUGGUGUUUCCGUCAAACAUGACGACUCAAAUUAAGAGAAUGAUCAAUGAUUUCCACUUUUGAUGGAUUGAGGGUCAAAAGUUUUUUAAUAAUGGCUCGAGAACUAAAACUUUACGCGAAUAAAAACCCGAAAGCUAGCGAAACUUUCUACCAUAUUUAAUUACUUAUACACUUUUCCUAAUUUAGACAAUUUUAAACGGACUUAUUCCAUGGAGAUUCCUUAUGCUUCAUCAAAAUGAUAACAUCAAGGAGCAUUGUUACGGUAAAAUUCGGUUCUGCAAAACUCGUAUUGUGAGAAGGGAACGACAUACUAAGCUACGGAAGAGUGAAGAGUUUAUCAUAUUUAUUCACUUGGGAAUUCAACCUUACCAAAAUGACAAAUUUAGUCACCUACUUCCCAAUCUUUACCCUCAAUAUACAAUUCAGAUUUUCAAAAUUUCAUCUUCAACUUUCUCAAACAAAAUAGUCAUGUGAGGGUUAAGUGAAAAACGUGUUUUGCAUUUUCAUAAUGCUAUGCUACCCAAUGCUACUUUAGUGAAAGUCAAGAAUUAUUUUAGGAAUUAUUCUUAUACACACUGACAGUAUACACACGAAUACCUAUAGAUGUAUGCCACUUAAUUUCAUUUUAAAUUUAAACUUUAUUUUUGACGCCUGUAGCAUACAUCUAAAGUUGCUGGUGUAUAUUCUAUGAGUAUAUACAAGAUUAAUGUUUGAUGCUAAACAUUUUAAAUGGUCUCAUGAAGUCAAGGUAUACAAGUGUCUUUCUCAAUAAUUGCUCAACGACAUCAUCAAUUACGCUUUGUCUCACAGUCAAAUGUUGCACAUGGGUUUGAUUAUUUUACUUUCAUUGUCAAUGUUAGAUAGGUUAAUUAUUCCAAAUGAACCCCAGCAAAACAAACCGUCAUUACUGUUUUGAGUCUUUUUCAUGUAAUGAUGAUAAGAGUAAUCCAAAUUAUCUCCAUUAAUGCUGUCAUUUCCUGUUUUCUUUUUCCAUUCAGCAAAAUUGAAGACAAUUAAUCAAUCGAAUGCUUACGUUACAUGACCUGCCCAUUGAAGGGUCAAAAAGGAUGAACAAUCAUUUAGCUCUUGCAUUAGUAUAACACAAAUGGAUCGUUAACCUCACAUAUAUAUAUAUAUAUAUCAGUUCACAGGCUGGCGGUGUGGUGGGCUGAGCGUUUGCCAAGAAAAAGAGCAGCGAAAAAGCCGGGGAGUACAGAGGAGAGUAAAAGAUGCUGGAGCAGCAGCAGCAGCAGGUAAAGGAUGGAGCAACAAAGGCGAUCAUUCUUUGCGGAUUGUCUCGUCUGUUCUGCUGCGUAUUUCAUGGUAGUUACGUUCCGCUAGUCCACCAAGAGGUCAAAAGGCACCAACCAAGCAUUUAAAGAUAAAUUACCAAUUUCAAACCAGAAGAAAAUGGAGCAACCGCAGAGUCAAUGACAGAUUAAUCGUCCACCAAGAAAGAAAACAGCCAAAUAUGCAUAUACUGGAGGCAGCAUCACGAGACAAUGCAAUUCAUCCGCGACAAAGAAUUUAACAUCCCACAGGACAAAGUGCUGUAAUCUGCUAGACAGAAUCAGUAAUUGCAGUAAUCGGACCUCCACGAAUCACAAAAUAUCCAGAAAAACAACAUGCUAACGUGAAUCAACUUUAGAAACCACAAGAACCGGUUAAACGAUCCAUUAUAACUCAUACAUUAGCACUCAACCUUGAGUCUUCAAGUUUAACCCAAACUAUAAGACACACAGCUAAAACAUAAUCUGGAUGUAGCACUACAAUAACACCGAGUUCUCUGAGAAUGAUACUUGUUCUAGAAAUGGAAGCAAAAUGACUUAGAAAUUGGGAGGCAAAAAUGAUGGUAGACUAUACGUCAAAAUACAGUACCCUU
rnacentral:lncRNA from 1 species